AAAAAAAAAAAAAAAAAAAGGUCAGAAGUUAAUACUCUCAAUGAUAUAAGAUUGAAAAAAGACAAUAGUGAGAUUAUAGAAAAAUAACUAGAUUGCCAAAAAAUUUGUGACAACAUUUUUGGCCCUUCAUUUCAGUCCCCCCUCCCCUCCCCCUCCCCCUCCCCUCGGAUAUGAAGCAACAAAGUAGAUUUAGAUUCUAAAACUACAAAUAAUUCUUACCUAACAAUUAAACGCAUCCGCAAGGCACAAUUGCAUUCUAAUGAUUCCAAUGCAAAAUAAUUCAAAACCGUCAACGCAUCAAACAUGAAAAAAAAAAAAAAACUUGUUACCUGCUCAAUAAGUGAAGCGGCAUGUGAGGUCGAUGGGCGACCAUAGCCGUGGGUGACGAUAGCCGAUGACAGAUGAUUAUGGAACUACAACCCACACUCACAUCGUCACAUUCCACACAUUAGUUACUAUUUACCAACUCAAAGAAUUGACGAGAAGAUCAAAUGUCAAAACAAAGGUAUCUUACAAUUAAAAAAAAAUGUCAAAGAUAUAUAACCCCAAACUGCAACUUUUCUUCCAAUUGAAAACUUCAUCACAGUCCUACAAUUUUUACAGGCUUUUGAUGUACAUAUUAUUAUCAAUUACGAUGAUAAUUGGAUUAUUAUAUUUAUGUUUUAUGUAGUUUAGGAGCUUUUGUAAUCUCCAAGAACAAUUUAAAGCCAUUAAACAACACAGAGAAGAAAAUAAAUAAACACAUGACAAAAGAAAAUAAAGUUAGGCAUGUUCUUCAUCAAAAUUUAAAUUUAUUGCAUGUGAAUCCAAAAAAUUAAGAGAAAUAAUUUCAGUCCAUAUGAAUCAAAGAUAUUCCUAAGUUUGAUAAGGCUGGUGAUGAAACCUUUCAACCUUAAGGAAGAUAUCAUACUCUUUCAACCUUAAGAGAGAUUAACAAUAAAAAUUAUGGAUUAUUCUCUUCUAUGUAGCCACCCCAUUGUUCUUUAAGAAUCUCUACAAUUGUGACAACAGUAGUGAUUGGUGUAAUAUUACAAAGAAGGAUUUGAGCCAACAAAACCAAAAAUUCAUCAGAUAUAUAUCCAUAAGCGUUAAAAUAAACUACAAGAAACAAAACAAUACCCAUUCCCAAGGCAGAAAGCUCAACUUCAUUAUGAUGUUGAAUGUACCUCUGAAUUUAGGGCAAACAACGAUUAGAAUCCUCAAUAAAAAAAACAACCAAAACAACAUAGAAACUGAAAUUAAUUAAACGAUUCUCCAGGUAGUACAAUUACUCAAAUCAUAAACAAAACGAGAAUCAAUAAAAGUAUAACUUUGAAGUCACUUAAACUAAUAUCAAUAAAAACUCAUAAGAGUAACAAAAACUAAUCCAAUUCUCCUAAAUUACUCAACUUGCCAAAUAUCACCAAAGAAGAUUUUGCACGCAAAUCAAUUCACAAGUAAACAAAAACAAAAAGUUUGUAGACCAUAACUCUUAGAAAGCUCUUAAAUGACAAGAAUUAAAAGGUAGGAAUUGAUAAUUCAGGUAAUGGAAAACAACAAAAGAAUCACACAAACAUUUUAUAGGAAUAAGUUAGACUUAUUGAAUUGGUGAGAUUUUCAUAAGUUGUAGCCAAAUUUGUCCAGUCACGCAAAUAAGAAGCUGCACCAAUUUUGGGUUGGAACGUAAACAUUUAUUAGCAAAUUAAGUUAGCAUGCAUAGUCAAGUAAAACUUUAGGCUGCUUAUAUUCUAGACUAAUACUAACAUUUUUAAAAAAACUAAAUACAACAAGGUAUUGUCGUGAAUAACGAAAUUACAACAAGUCUUGUCACUAACCAAAUAUCAAUCACUUGCUUGGUACGUAGCUGCAUUAUUAUAGUAGAUCGAUCGGUUAUUGGUGUAAAACCUAAUAAAAACACAAUAAUGUUUUAUUUGAGUUUGCCGGAAGAAUAUGAAUUAAAUAAGUUUGUUAGUUGAAUCUUUCUUCUACAUAAUGUGUUGAUUUAUCCCUAGAGUAAGAAAAGUAAAUGAUGAAAGAGAUAAAUUGAAAAAACUUGUAAUUAUAUAGAAAAGAAAUGUGAAUCGUGGAAGUUUAGAAAAAGAGUAUAACAUACAAGGAAGGAAUUUAAUUCUUGGAUGUACCACUAUAGUAUGCAAGAUCACAUUUCUCCAUUUAUAAUUUCCAAAACGAUGUUGAAAAAGAUCUACAAUAGCUUAGUAUAAACCAUCAAUUAAUGUAUAUCUUCCUUUUUACUUUAAUUUGAGUUAUUUGAAUUGAAAUCACAUACCAGAAAAUCAAGAAAAAAUUUAUAAGAAAGCAUGCCAAGUUUAUGCAUAAAAUAGCAGCACAAAGUAUCCUAUGAAAGCCACACUCACCUUAUUCUGCUUUUGUCAAAAUUCCAAACAUUAGUUCGCCAUGUAACAAUAACUUUCUCGUAUUCUUCACAACUUUUUCCUCCAUUUUCUCAUAUUCUUCACAACUUUUUCCUCCAUUUUCUCAUAUUCUUCACAUUAGCUUCCCUGUUAUACCGAGUUACCAGGGAAACUACGAUAUGCUUUAAAAGAAAAAUCAUAAGAUUUACUAUAGUCUAUAGUCCAAAUCCAAUCUAAUUGUAUAUUGGGUUCUCCUCAUUCUCAUCCACGAACAUUCUGAUAUUUCUGUUUAAGUUCCAAGUUUCAAAUUCUUAUAACAUGAAAUGGCUCAUCUAUCAAAACAAACAUUAGAGUUUGACUCCUCUCCAAAAAAUAAAAUCCAUAGUCAUCUUAAGCUUCUACUUGUCUCUGGUUGCUUUGCGAAUUAUCUAACUUUAAUGGUAAAACCAUCUUGCUACUUGUUCUUUGCUUCUAGUAAUAAGUUCCCCAAAUCCAACCAUUGUCAUAAUUUACUAAAGAAACAUGAUAGUUCACUUUAUCACUAAUACUUCAUAUUUGAGUAUGCUGACAUGCGCUAUCCAAUCAACUUUUGGUUUGAUAUUGAGAAAUGGACAACAAUGUCGUUUUUGAAAAUGUGGAUGAUUAAUGUCGGUUUCAAAUCGACAUUAAUGAGAGAGGUUUAAUGUCGUUUUAAAACCGACAUUAAUCAUCCGCAUUUUCAAAAACAAUAUUUAUGUCCAUUUCUCUCUUUAAUUUAUUAACUAUUAUUAUUUUUUAUUAUUUUUAAUUUUACAAAAAGUCAAAAAACAUAUCUCUUAUACUCUUUCUCAAAAUCCCCUUCCUUCACGAUUUUUCUUCAUCUCUCAAAAUCUCACACUACUUUUCUCUCUCUUCUCCAAACACAAACAGUGGCCGCUGCCGCCACCAUAGUGUACCUCGUACCCAGCCCGUGCCCGCCGUGCUAAUCCCUCACCACCACCUUGUCUUUUUCACGAUAUGCUCGUCACCACUAAGUUGAAACCCUCGUCUCUUUCACACUUGCCUCUUCACCAACGUCAGAAUCCUCAUCUCUUUCACGUUAUGCUCGCCACCACCGUUGAUUGUUAACUACUUUGGUUGAUUCUCACAUUUACUUUAUUGCAUCAUUGCAUGUAUAAGAUUGCAACUUUAGUUCUCUAAGAAAAAGAGACUAGUUGGUUCUUGCAAAACCACCAGUCUUGGUUUAGGAAUUACAACAUAUCGGAAGAGAGGUGUUAUAGAUAUAUAUAAAGCUAUUAAAAUAAAGUAAACAAUAUCAAACUAAUGUGAAAAUAUUUGGAUGAUUGUUCUUACACUAAAAAAUUGUGUUAAAAAAACAAAAGUGGAAAAGAAGUGUUAGCUGAAUUUUUUAAAAUAAAAAUUAAGAAAAAACGGUUGUGAAAGGCAUCUUAGUAUAUUUUUUUAAAAAAUAAUUAAAGUUUCCUUCCUUAUAGAUUAACUUACAUGCAUCUACUUUUAUUAAUAUCACAAUUCAAUUAUGGAAGGAAGGCAUUUGAAAUGUUCAUGUUGAAAGAAAGUUCCUAAUAAUUUAUUUACAAAACUAAUAUUUCCUUAAAAGAACAAUAAAUUUCUUUGUUUUUUUUAGUUUUUUACUUUGUUGCAAAGAGAGAUCACACAAACUUGUAUCCCAUGUGCUUCACUAAUUAAAGAACUAAUUUCACAAUUAUUUUUCAUAGCCCUAGGUGCCUUUCUAGUAUGAAAUGAUAGUUAAAGAACAACUUAUUUUUUAUCUUGCUUGAAACUUUAAUUCAAUUAUAAUAUAGAACUAACCGGUCUAUAAGCUAGUUAGCUAAUGCUAUAUAUAUGAUAACUAAUAGGCAACUUGAAUAAUCAUACUCAUAAUUAUAAUAAUAAUAAUAUUGAAAAAUUGAGUUUCCCUAACUCCUUAUGGUGAAGAUAUUUAUCAAUAAAGUAAGUUAAAUCAGUUUUAAGGAUGUUGACAUUAAUAAUUAUGAAAUAUACAACUUUAGAUUAUAUUGUUGUGAAGGAAGGCAUUCCAUUGAAGAGAGAUGAAUAACCAAAAUAAAAGAAGUGAAAUUUUUUAGGAGACACUCGUGUGCGGUGAUUACAUUGGGGUCGGUGCCCACUUUUACCAAAGCCAGUCAUCAAAUAAAGUAAGUUAAAUCAUCUCUUCAUGCAUGUCAUUAAAGAUGUAAAAUAAUAAUCAAUGAAUUGCACUUUGCUUUACACACAGCCUGCUUCAAAUUGAAGCCAUAUAUAUGGUUUAAAGGUUUUGCUCUAUUGCAUAACUAUGCUCUUUUUUCCUUUUCUUUUUUAAUAUUGCAGUUAUUAACACUCCUUCUCAUGCGUAAAUUGGAAUAUAAUAGGAAGUUAAUUUAGUUUCUUUUCAACUGAUCUCUCUUGCAGUUCUUUCUGAUUUCAUGAAUUGUCUGUGAAUAUGGGGAUGUUAGGUUGUGAUUUUCUGUUUGUUCUAUGAAUUAAAAAAAAAGGUUUUUCUUCACUGUCAACUAUGUGUUGUAGUUUGCUUUUUUUUUUUUUUAAAGAAAAAUUGGUGUGAACAUUUGAACAUAUGAAAAACAUUAGUGAAAUUAAAUGUGACAAACUUAUGAAUGGGGUAGUUUGGGAGGUAUAAUUUGGUUGGAGAGAAUUAGAGAAACAGUGGGAAAAAAAAAUCUAAAAAUGGCUAUGUUUGGAGGCCCCCCUCCUACUUCUCUUCUACUCCUAUUUUACAUUUUUCUCCCAAAAAACCACUUGGAUUUUCCCCCAUUUCCUUCCUUAUCACAUCAACAAAAUCACUGUCUUUGCCCUUUACUCGUUCCAAUUCCUAAAUAUUUGUCGUGGAGUAAUAUACAUCAAACGAUUAAAGCAAAACUAAGUAAUAUACAUCUAACACAUACCUAAUUUUAUUGAUAAAGUAUUUACUUUAUGAAACCAUAUGAAAUCAGUAUUUUCCUAAGGGAAAAUGAUAGCUUACUGGUCUGCUUGAUACUAACUACCCAACCAAAGAAAAGAACUAAACAUCCAUGUAGUACAUAUCUAUAGUUAUGUAAAGUUAAGAAAGUCAUAGAUUUAAUGGCUUGGUUUGGUAAGAGUUACAGAAGGAGGAAUGAAAAUCAAAUGGCUGUUUUGAGUUGAUUCCAGCCAGCCCCCAUUUUUAUAUUUUGCACAAAUUUUUUGUUUCAUGCCUUGAUUAUUGCAGAACUUCAGGAUCUAAAAAGAGAAGAAAUGUUGGGAGAGAGGCCAAGGUAACUACAAUUGCCCUAUGUACUCUAUUGUUGUCAGUAGUUUUAUUUUUGAAGGUUGUACUGAUGUCUCUUUAUUUAUAGUGAAAUUGUUUUAGAUUAUCAUCAUUGGCCAGAUGUAAAUAUAAAUUUUCGUAAUUUGACUGAAAUUCUCAUUCAAAGUAUCAUAAUUGGUUUGUUUUGAUAUUGUUUGUAGAAUGAUUGAAGUCAUAUCGGGUUGAAAGCUAAGUGAUCGUGUAGACAACCAGACAAUCGUUAAAGGUUGAAGACUGAGAAGACGUCUAAGAUUUCUUAUUUAAGUCAUGUAUUAGGAUCUUGUACUCUUGUAAAAUAUAUACAUAACACAAUAUUAAGAUUUCAUUUUGUGUAUACACAAGUAAAUGACAAAUAUUGUAGUUUCUAAAUUAAUAUUAAUUUUAUUGAUAUGUUGGCACGAAAAAAAAAUAUUUAUCUACAAUUAAUGUUGGUUUAUAAAAAAAUGGACAAUAAUGCAACAAUUAAAUAAAAAUAAAAUUGCAAAGGUGGACUAAAAACUUAGGCUUUAACGUCGUUUUUAAACUGACAUUGUUGGCCUCUUUAAUGUCAAUUUUAAGGUCAACCGACACUAAAGAUCUUCAAUAACACUAUAAAAAAUAUCGGUUUAAAAAUGACAUUAUUAAUUUCGUUUCUAAACCAACAUUAAUGAGACCUUUAAUGUCAUUUUUAAACCGACAUCAAAGAAAAAACGACAUUAAAGACCUUUAAUAACGCUAACAUAGAUGUCGGUUGCCAACCAACACUAAAGGCCAUUAAUAUCAGUUUUAAACCGACAUUAAAGGUAAAAUUUCUUGUAGUGGUUGGAUAAGUAAAGAAAAGAUCUAUGAUAUAAGUAAGGACAACUAUAGCUAAUUGCACGAGACCUUUGGAGUAAAAUUAAAAGCAAAGCUAUGAAGGCUUUAUGCUUAAAAAGUAGACAAUAUCAUAUACCAUUUUGGAGAUAUGUUGGAGACCUACGACAUUGUGGAUAUAUGUUAGAGGGUUCGUUGUGCGACUGUCUCACAAGUAAAAAUGAGCCUAAUUACAACACAUCUAGAAACUAAUCCAACCCAAGAAUAUCACAAGAUCCACUAUUUCUCAUCCGAGUCUUGGAUUAUUUCAAAAGUAAGAGGCCUCAUUUCUACCAUCAUCUACCAAAUUACAAGACUAAUUCAACUAUAUAUAUUUCAAAAAUCAUAAGACCAACAUGAAGGUUUUUUUAUGAAGAAUUCGUGAAAGGUUUAUUUUACGCUAAUCAACCUUGUUGGGAAUUUAAUUUGUACUGAAAAUCAACCAGUUUGAUAGAACUAAUGCAAAAGAUUAACAUGGGGAAAAAAGUUUCAACAAUAACCUUGAAGCUCGAUAAUAGUGAUCGGUGAUUGUAACCCUAUUACUUAAGAGUGAUGGCAUAACUCUUACUUAAGAGUGAUGGCAUAACUCUCCAAUAAUGUAACUUCUGAUUCAAGUUGUGUAGCCCUUUAAUUUCCUUUGUUUGCAUCUAGAGGCAUUGAUGACUCUAAAAUUUACAUUCACUGUCUUGCAGCCGUUGUCUCAGUUCUCUAUCCUACAAUGUGUUUAUUGAGCGGAAAAUAAUUAGAAGGUAGCAUUGAUGAAUAGAAAAAAUUGACCUUUCUUCUGAUAAGAAAGAGAAACCGAACUUCAUCAAAGAAUUAGGGAAACAAAAUAUAAUGGGAGAUGAGGAAUCGACCCAAAAGGGCAUCACGUGAGUGGUGAAAAGUUCUUCUAGUAAUUUUUUGAAGAAAUAAUAGAAAAAGAGAAUAUGAAAGUGUUUUUGUAAGAUCACUCGAGUACAACUCAUUUUAUGGUGUAAAUAACUAAUAGUAUUAUUUUUUUAAUUGCAAUAUUGAAUAACUAAUAGUAUUAUUUUUUUAAUUGCAAUAUUGUCAUGUGGGUAGAUGAAAUAUUAAAUCAUGAUGGUACUGAAGAGAGAGAAUGAUCAAAAGAUGAACUAUAUGUAAUAAUUAAAGCUCAGUGCUAUUCAUCUUACAUAACCUCAAUCUCCAAACUUCAUAUCAUUCUCUUCCUCUUUAAUCAGUAAAAUUUGUAGUUGAAGGACAACACAUUACCACCAAAAGUAAUAGUAAAACUUAUUAUAUAAUAAAAAGUGUCAUAGAAAAUUUCUCCGUUUUAGAAUUUUUUUACAUACUAUAAAUAUAAAUAAUAUACACACACCCACGUAUGAAUCAUUAGAGCUUAUAGAUAUAAAUAUAAAUAAUAUACACACACCCACGUAUGAAUCAUUAGAGCUUUUAUAUACUAUAUACUAUUGAUAUAGAUAUAAAAUAUAUAUAUACACCCACACACAUGAAUCACAUUCAAUCACAAAUACAUAAAUAUAUAUAUAUAUAUAUAUAUACCACUUAUCUUCAUGAUCACAAACGUAUAUAUAUAUACACACACUCACAUAUGAAUUAUUAGAGCUUUUAUACAUAUUAUAGAUAUAAAUGUAGAUACAUAUAUAUCCACACAUGAAUCACAUUCAAUCACAAACAAAUAAAUAUAUAUAUAUAUAUACCACUUAUGUUCAUAAUCACAAAUGAAUAUAUAUAUACACACAGGCACAUGAAUCACAUUCAUCACGAAAGAAGAUAUAGAUAUAUAGCCAUUAAUCUUCAUGAUCACAAAUAUAUAUAUUGAUUUGUUUUAACAAUUCAAGAGAUGUGCUCAUAGUGUUAAGGGUAAAUUAAAAGUAAUGCUAAGAGAGGUCAAAUACGGUAUUUGCUUAUUAGGCAUCUGACAAAAAUCACUUCCAUAUAUUUAGUGAACAUUACCUCUCUCAAACUUUCAAUAUUGAAAUUUGAAAUUUGAGCUCGAUUUUAUUAUAUACGAGUGGUAAAAGUGAAUCCUAUAAUUUGUAAUAGUCGUAGGAAGUUGAACACUAAAACUAUAAUAAAAUGUUAACUUUCAAAUUUAUAUUAAAUGUUUUGAUCUAUUUACUUUUUUUUAGUUUGAGAAUCCAGUUUUUACUAUCAAAAGUUUUAGAACAAUUGCAGUUACCAUCCUAAUUUAAUUAGGGGUAAAUUCUUUUAAAAUUUUUCUUGUUUAUUUAAAGUUUGAAUUCAUUGUUAUUUCUAAUUAGGUUCUAAAUUUUCAUAAAUGUCAAUGUACAUUUUAUCAAAUUAGUUUUGAAAAAUAUAUUAGGGAAAACUUUAAUUUCUCAGUUUUAAUGUUUGGAUUAAUUUAGAACUUUUGUUAGAAAUAUAUUUGAAUAUCGUUAAUGCAUUAAAUUCGUACAUGUGCGUAGACUUUCAGACUUUAGCUAGAUUAAUAAGUUGCAAUUGAUGAGAAAAUACCAAUAAUUUUUCUCAUAAUUUCUAGAAGUAAAGAUGGUAUUGAUGGUUUCUUAAAUCGUAAAGAAAAAUUAUUUUAAAUGACAAAAAUGUUGAAAUUUUUUAUCAAUAUAACACAAAUAUCGUAUUUUGUUAGCGAUAGAGACUACUAUCUAGAUCUAUUACGACAUAGAUAAUAGUUCAAGAUGGUUUAUCAUUGAUUCAUAGACGUAGACAGUAAAAUUUUGUUAUAUUUAUAAAUAUUUUAAUUGUUUUACUAUAUUAAAAAAUAUCUAAAUAAAUAUGAACACAAAUUAAUAUUAAUAAUCAAAUAUAGCCAUGGAAGUAUUCGAAUCUUCCACCCAUAUAUUAUAAUAUAAUAUAAUUAUAUAAUUAAUAACUGACAAUUUUGUAUAGGUUUUUAUGUUGGGUAGGAAUAUAUAUAUAUAUAUAUAUAAAAGAUAGGAGAGAAAUUUCCUAGUUAAUGUGGACAUAUUAGACUUAAUUAUAUUUAAGUUGUUAUUAAGUUAAGAAAAACAUGUGAUAUUGAAUAUUAAAAAAUUUGUUCUUUUAAUUUAGUUAUUAGGUCUUUCUUAAAUUGACAAUUUUCAAUCUAGCUCAAAGUUGACAAAUUAAUAAAAAUAAUUUUAAAAUAUAGUAAGAAUGAACAUAUAAUAAUUAAUAAAUACAUACCAAUGUUGAUUGUUUGGUGAAAAUCAAAGAUUGGUCGUGGAAUAGACAUAUAUGAAUUACGUUUGAUAUUUGAGAUUCCACAAUUUUUGUUUUAAUUUGAUUAGUAUAAUUUACUUGUCACCCCCAAGAAAAAAACAAUAAUAGAACUUUUUCUUAAAGUUUAAUAAUAUAAUGAAACUUUAACGUUACAAUUAUAAGGUCGAAAUUGAAGCUCCAACGUCUAAGAAUGAAAAUAUAUCAUGUCAUUACCUUGAAAUAAAACUAAGACUCCAUUGACUGUGAGAAUAUUAGUUAAUGAUCGUUUAGGAUCCUCAUAAGUAUGAAAUUUUUCUCAAUAUAAUGAAUCAUAUGCUCCUCCUAAUUAGGUGUGAGACUUCCUCUUACCAGUAACUUUUUAUCUUUCCACCUUUAAAUGAAAACAACGAAUCUAUUUGAUAAACUUAGUUCAAGAAUAAAUCAAGUUUCUAAACAAUCUAGAUAAACAAUUUAAGACAUUCUCUCUUCUUACUUCACAAUCACUAAGAUUGACACACUUAUGAUUUACGACAAACAUCCAAGAUAGUGUAGUGAUAAUUCUUCAAUACAACCAACCCUAAAAGAAAUACAACAACGUAACCUCUUAAAAUUUGCCCAAUGAAGGAGAAUGAAACAAAUGCAUAUCAUCACCAACAAAUUUAUUAGUGUAGGCACAUGGGGGCUUGAGACCCCCUAGGGCCUCAUCUUUAUGCUUUUUGUAAUAUAUAUGUUACACAUACGUAUAUAACUGACAUUAUAUUAAUAUUAGUAGUUGACCAGUUGUAAAUUAGUUUUAUCGAUCUCCUCUAAACCUAGGUUUAAGCCCUACUCUAUACAGUGUAAUGCCACACACUACAAGAUUUGUUGUUUUUUCCAAAAAAAAUUCUGGCAACAUAACAAACAAAAUCGAUAAAGAUAUGUGUUGCCUGCAUAUUUUCAUUACGUGGAAACAUCAUUUCUACCGAUGAAAAUAUAUAUGUGGGAAAAAAAAAAUUUCCAAUGCAUGGUAUGUUUCGUGGGAAGAAUUGCAUUUUUUACCCACGUGUUUACUUGUGUGGGUGUUUAUACUGAUGCACGCCAUAAAAUCGUGGACAGAGAAAAGGACGACAAGCUUUUACCAUGAUACACAUGCUCAAGCAAAAACAAAAUGUCGACAAAGGUUUUACCAACUUUUUUCUUAACAUUUGUUGACAUUUUUUUGUGUCGAUGGAGACUAACACUACAAGAAAUAGGAACAAUUGCGACGUCAAAAACAACGUUGGUGAAAGGCGCAUCGUCAUUGAUCAUCUUUCGUCGAUGCACGCAAUGUUACGUCGUGGAAAGCCCCUUUUCGCGACGUAUAGGAACAAGACGUUGUUGAAAGUGUAAAUUUAAAUUUAAUGCGUUCAUUUUUUUCUAACGUGUGGUAGAGUGCAGGUUGGGGAAGAUUAAAUAAUAACUAUUGUUUAAACUUUCCUCGAUAUCACCUUGCCACACAUCGCGAAAAGGGAACGCAUUAAAUUUAAUUUUAUACUUUUCCCGACGCUGAGUGGAGUAAUGUCGCAAAAAGUUUAAUAAUAAUAAUUGUUUAAACUUUCUCUGACGUGCAACCUGCCACACAUCGUGGAAAGUGUCCAUAUUGAAGUGACAAUGGUCACCUUUCCCUAACGUGUGGCAGGAACACGUACGUCGAAAAAAGUCAACAUUAUUUAUUCUCCCUUCAACACAGAACAAAAUGCAAAACAAAAAUAAACCCAAAAUCGACCAAGAGAAAGGGAGGGGAGGAGAGUUGUACCGCUACUGUCGUCGUCCAUCUUCAUCGCCACAUUCAUCGAAAGUGUCCUCUUUUCUUCUCUUUUUCUUUUCCAUUUCAACUUUUUCGUUUCACUGUACCCUUUCAAAUCAUAGCAGAGUCAAAAUACAGAGCACCGCAAAAUGUGUUUAUGAAUCCAAACUGAAACACAAAGUUAAAAAAACUAUGAAGAAACUACAAGAAUAAUAGAAGUAUGCAAUUAAAACAGAACGUAACAAAGCUAGAAGAUGAUGAUGAUAAUGAUGAUGAUAAACAAAGAAAAGAAAACAUAAUGUAAAAGAAAAAAACAAAGUUUAGGUUUUUUCCGACGUGACGUGAGGAAGGGUUUCCUCGACGUGUUGACAAUGUGCGUCGGUGAACGUUUUUCCGUCGUCGACGCGAUUUGUGUCGGAGAAAAUAUUUCUAACGUGUUUUUCCUAAUGUACAUGAUGACGUCGACUGAGACGUCAGAGUAACCUUCCCCAACAUGUUUUGAGAUUUUAUCGAUGUGGGGCUCUAUUGGGGAAAACUCUAUUUCUUGUAGUGUAAAUUUUUUUUUUAUAGUAAACAACUUUAAGAAAUAAUGCGACCACCAAAUCUCUAACAAAAACAAUCAUAUUAGUCUUUUAAAUUUUUUAUAUUUUGGGAUAGUUGGAUUACACGCUUCUAAUUCAAAGUCAAAAAAUUAUUUUUUCUCUUUUUUUUCUUCAAAAAAAAUCACAAUAAUGAUCUAAUAACUAAAAUAAUAUUAUUUUUUAUUUAUAUAUAUAGAUUUAAUUAGAUUUGUUUUUAAAUAUAAAAAAAGACUAAAAUAUUUAUAAAUAUAGAAAAACAUGGUUGAUACAUAUUUUAAUAAUCACUAAUAAAUGCUAAUAUAAAUUUGAUAAACAUCUACAAGUUUCUAUCAUUCAAACUAUUUUUCAACAAAAAUAAUUUUGUCUUUUACAACAAUUUUUUGUUUUUGUUACCUAUUUAAUUUUAAAUAUUAAUUGGAACUAAAAUAGUGUUUAAUUAUUUAAUAAUUAAAAUUUAAUAUUUUAUUUUGAUUAUGAUUGAUCUUAUUUUUUACAACAAUGAUAGAUUUGAUUGUUCUGCUUAACGUUAUUUUUGAAAAGUUCUUCUUUGAUUAUUAAUUUCUAAUUAUUUAAUUAACUAAGAGUUUAAUUAUUCUAACAUAUUAAAUAUUUAUAAUAAGUUCUCAUUUUUUUAUCUUCUAGUUUUAAUCCAUAGAAAUUAAGUUUAUUAUUUAAUUUUCAAGUCAAAUUUGAGUCUUUUUAUAAUGCAUUUAAUUUUUUUUCACAACAUUAUUAUAUUUAAUUCAAGUUGUACAAUAAAUUAACGUUAAUUAUUUUUUAAUCACUUUUCACAUUCUCACACAUUGUCAUGAUCAAAAUAUAUAACUUGUACUUAAAAAUCUAUUUAUAUACAUAUUAUAUAUAUAACUCUCUUUACAAACAUUUAAGUUUUUUUUUGUAGGUUGAGGUUUGCUUCUCUUGAUCUUCAUAUUCAUUGUCUUGCUUUUAUUUAUUUGGGAUUACUUAACCUAAUUUUGAUCAAAACAUUUUCAUUUUCAUUUGUUUGUCUUCGUAUUCAUUUUCAUCUUCAUAUUUGUUGUCUUAUACAAUUUUAAAGUAUUCUUUAGUAAAUAAAAAAGGUUUUUUUUUUAAUCAUCAAAGUAUUAAUUAUUUAAUUAAUUUGAAAUUAAUGGUGAAAAAGUCAACAAAAAAAUAUUUAUACAAAUUAAAUAUUCUAGAUAACUUCUAUGUUUAGAUCUCUAUUGUAGGUUCCAUGAAGUUUUUGUUUUCGUUUUUUUUAAUACGUGAUAUAUAAUAAAUGGAAAACAAAGCUUUUCCACCUAUAUACACAAUUUUUUUUUAAAAAAAAAAAGUCAAAGAAAUGAAAGAAAAAAAAAACAAUGUGAACAUUGCUCAAAUGUCAUAAUUGUUAAAAUAAUACUAAGAAGAAAAACCAAAUUUUAAUUAUAAAAAGGGAGUCAAUUAAUUGUAAAUUUUGCAGUGCCAUCUUCCACAAACAGCUCCCCACUUCAUAAUUUUCUCCUUAUUUCAUCAUUGCAUUAUUAUUAUUCUUCCCUUCAAUCUCUUAGAAUUAGAGAUGGCAAAAGUUGCAAAUCAGCCAUCGUUAAUUCCUAUGCCUUUUCUAGUCAUCUUCUUCGUUUUCUCAAUCUUUUUUGGUUUUGGAAUAACUCUCUCUAAGGCUGUUUCCCAAACCAGAUACUACAAAUUUGAAGUUGAGUACAUGUUUUGGUCCCCGGAUUGUAUCGAAAACAUUGUCAUGGGAAUCAACGGUACGUUUCCCGGUCCACCAAUUAGAGCCAAUGUUAAUGACACCGUGGUUGUUGAGGUGAUUAACAAUCUCUCCACCGAAGGUGUUGUUAUUCACUGGCAUGGAAUUCUACAACGAGGAAGUCCUUGGGCCGAUGGCACUGCUUCCAUCUCGCAAUGUCCCAUUAACCCUGGAGAAAACUUCACUUACGAGUUCAAAGUGGAUAAGGUGAGAAGAAUUAAAAUGUGAAUGUCGACAGAAGUGUCAUGAUUACAUUUGAUAAAAUCUUUUCAUUUAUUGAUUUUUCUUUAUUAUUAUAUAAUUUCUAGCCUGGGACAUAUUUCUAUCACGGUCAUUUUGGGAUGCAACGAGCAGCUGGGUUGUAUGGAUCCUUAAUAGUGGAUCUAGAGGAAGGAAAAAAAGAGCCCUUCCAGUACGACGAAGAGAUCAAUUUAUUACUUAGUGAUUGGUGGCAUGCAAGUGUCCACGAGCAAGAAGUUGGCCUUAAAUCAAACCCAAUGCGUUGGGUUGGAGAGCCUCAGGUAGUACAUGUGUCUAAGUAAAUUAUGUUCAUAUUGACAAUCAAAUUGAAAAGGACAAAACUUAAUAUUUUUCAUCAAAAUUUGACCUAUAUUUUACCAAAGUAGAUAAUAAAAUAAUGAAACUUAUAGGUAAAAACGAAAGUAUUUUCAAGCUUAACAAUUUUAUUUAACAACCAUCUCUUUCUCCCUUUUAGAAUUUGGAUAUCGAAAUAUUUUGAAAUAAUAUUAUCACAAAGUUAAUUGAAAUUGCUCAAUCAACUUAGCUAACUCAUCUUUUUAACAUCUUUUUAACAUUUGUCACCUCAUUUGCUUUCAUUAGUUAACUAACAAAUUUUAGAGACUAUUUAAAACCAUUUCUUAAACUCUAUAAAUUAAAGUUUUCAUUUUAAAAUUUUGAGAUUAAACACAUACAUAUGGACUAGUUCAUUUUAUAAUUUUAAUUUUUAGCCAAUUUUCUAAUGGAAAUAUCAAUUAAAAUUUUAGCCCAAAUUUAAAGGACAACAAUUUUAGCCCAAACUAGAAUAUAUAUCAUCAUAAAAUUAACAAAAUAUCAUAAAGUAUAACUAUUUUAUUAUAACUUUGAAACCAUAUAAGAAAGUAGAUAAUAAUAAAAAUUCAACCAUAAGGCUAAAGUUGAUUUUUAUUUUCUUGAAAUUUGUCGUUAGUAUAUUUGUUUGAUUCAUGUAAAAUACUUGAGAUUUAAAUCUAAAAUUUCUUUUCCUCUUGUUAUUGAAGACCAUACUCAUAAAUGGGACAGGGCAAUUUAAUUGUACAAGCUUAGAAAAAUACAACACGAGUUCAGAGCAUUGUGAGUGGAAAGAUCAAUGUGCACCAUUUGUGCUCAAAGUCGAACCCAAUAAGACUUAUAGGAUAAGAAUUGCAAGUACCACUUCAUUGGCUGCUCUCAAUUUUGCCAUUUCGGUAAUAUAAUCUCUCUCUUAAGUAUAUUAUUUUUACAACAAUGUAAAGAUAAAAGAUCGAAUCAAAUGUUCCACCUUAGGGAUGAAAACUUAUAUCAUAUGUUUAUCUUUGAAUUUUCAGGUGUAUGUCUAUUUAACUAAAUAAACAAAUUGUUCGUUUAUAAUACGUAAUGAAAAUGAAACUUUUAAAGACAAUGGAUUGUGAAUUUAGAUUUUCUUUUUUCUAAUCAUUAAUUUUUCAUUAUUUUUAUAGUUUUGAAAAAAGAAAAAGUUCCAUCAUUUUUCUUUUCUUUUUCAGAAUCACACAAUGCUGGUGGUAGAAGCCGACGGUAACUACGUUCAGCAAUUUGUAACCUCCGAUAUCGACAUUUAUUCCGGCGAGUCCUACUCUGUUCUCGUCACCACUAACCAAAGCACAACGCAAAACUACUGGGCUUCCAUAGGCGUCCGUGGUCGGGAGCCUAAAACAUCGCCGGCACUCCUCCUCUUCAACUACCUUCCCAACUCCGUCGCCAAAUUACCCAUUUCUCCACCGCCAGAAAUCCCCAAAUGGAAUGAUUACGAUCGAAGUAAAAACUUCACAUAUAGAGUCUUAGCCUCUGCCAUGAACACAACAAAACCACCACCAAUCUUCACUCGCCGGAUCUCCCUCCUUAACACCCAAAAUCUUAUGAACGGCAACUUCAUAAAAUGGGCAAUCAACAACAUUUCAUUAACCCUCCCCUCAACCCCGUACCUCGGCGCCAUUAAGUUCGGUCUGAACUCCACGUUCAACCAGACCGCCCCACCAGAAACAUUCCCAAAGAACUACAACAUCAAAAUCCCACCGCCGAACCCGAACACGAACACCGGAAACAGCGUUUAUCGGUUCCGAUCGGGGGAAAUAGUGGAUGUGAUUCUACAAAACGCCAAUGCGUUAAGCAACAAUACAAGUGAAAUUCACCCUUGGCAUUUACACGGCCAUGAUUUUUGGGUUUUGGGGUAUGGAGAGGGGAAAUUUUCCGACGAAGAUGAGACGAAAUUGAAUCUGAAAAACCCACCGUUGAAGAACACGGUGGUGAUUUUCCCAUUUGGGUGGACGGCGAUUCGAUUUGUGGCGGAUAAUCCCGGCGUUUGGAUAUUCCAUUGCCACAUUGAACCUCAUUUGGAUAUGGGAAUGGGGGUUAUCUUCGCGGAAGCAGUUGAAAAGGUCAGGGAAAUUCCUCCGUAUGCUUUGGCUUGCGGCCGCACUGCCACACCUCAGGUUGUUCCAAUAAUCCCACGACCCAACCCACCGGGACUAGAUAACCCAUAUUACAUCAUUUGGAUUGGGUUAGUUAUAUUUUUGUGUGUGAUUGGAUUGUGUUAUGUAUGUCUUUAUCGUAUCCGAUUCAAUAAUUUGAGUUGGAGACCUUAUUUAGGUAUUUCGGAGAGUCAAUCCAACCAAAUUGAAUUUUCAGAUUUGUCUCAAUCCAACCCAAAUCCAAACCCAACUCAUGAAGAGCCCUAACGAGAACAAUGAUUGGUAUAUUCUUCCUUCGAAGCAAAUCUCUAGAACAGCCUAGAACACAAUUUUUUCGGUGUAAUUUGGAGUAUGUAGUUUGUUCGGUAUUUUUAAGAAAUCAUUUUUUUUUUUAUUGCUUGUUCAUUUGUUGACCUUUUUAAAACUUUUUUGUUAUUUACUAGAAUUUCACUCAUGUGUUUCUUUGAACAUGGAAAUUAUUACUGUGGUUAAGGUAAUUUGGAUUAAAAGAAACAACUUACUAAAUUUAAGAUUUAUGGAAAUUACAUCAACUAAAAUUUGGAUACAGUUGGAUAUUGUUCACUUCUUCAACCUUUAUUGUUAAUGCAGCCUAAAAGUAAAAUUGAAUGAAAUUUGAAAUACAUUGAACAAAAGACCAUUUAAUUUUAAUCUUUGGAGUGAGUGAAGUGUUCUAAUGUGAACAAAAAAAAAUGUAAUGGUAAAAGUGAGGUGUGUGAUCAUUUUCAUCCUUUUGUUUUGUAUAAAUGAUCUAAAAUUGUGGAUUUGAAUUUGGGAAAAUAUCAACUUAAUUACACCUUAAAUUAUAGGGUUUGCUUGGUUGUAUUAAUUUAGAUUUUCAACUAAUAAUUAUAUCAAUUUAAUUUUUAAACUUUGGAGUUAUCUAUCCAUCUAAGUCUCAAAAUAAUUUUGUAUCAAUUUUAGGCUCUAAACUAUUUUAAGUGUAUCAAUUUCAAUCUCAAACUUACAUGAUUGUAUCAAUUUAACCCUUAAAUAUAUGUUUUAUUUGGAUAUACACUUAUGAAAGUCGUACAUUUAUGAAAGUUCAGAGUUUAAGUUGAUCCAGUUGUGAAAGUUCAAGGUUUAAAUUAAUACAAUUAUUAGUAGUUCAACGUUUAAAUUGUGAAAGUUCCAAAUUCAAAUUUUAAUUUUAUAAAAGUUUGGAGUUUAAAUUGAUACACUCUCAAGGUUUAUGGUUUAAAUUUUUUUUGAAAAAGAUAAGGUUAAGUGUACCGAAGCAUCCCUUUUAGCACCAUCCUCAUCCUCUAUCAAAUAUAUUUAUUCAUUGAAGUGCAAGGAACAUGAUGAUCCAAAAGAACAAGGCUAGAGGUAAGCCCAAAAAAAAAAAAAAACAACGAACAGAGAAGAAUAGUCAAGUAAAAACACUAGAGUUUAGAGCGAUUACAAUUGGAGAGUAGUUUGAAAAAAUCUUGUUUUCAAAAGACCAACAUCCGAUGAGACUGCAUAUAUUCUCUUCUGUGUUGAUAAUUCUAGCAAAGUUUAUGGUUUAAAUUGAUACAACUAUUAAUUCAAUGUCUAAAGUGAUUGUACAUGAUAUUUGUACGCUCUACAAAUUUAUAUAGCAUAUAUAUCUUGUCGGUUUAAGGAAAGAAUUAUUUUAGACAAUUCUACCCCUUGCCAAAUUUUAAAUUUACAACAUUAUCUUAUACUUUAAAAUAAAUGUUAGUGGUUGCUUAAAAUUUUUUUAAAAAAUUAUAAAUUAUAUUAUUUUAUAAUUGAUUUACUAUUUUUUAUUUAUUUAAUAUUAAUGAAUAUAAUAUAUAUGUAUUAAUAAUUAAGGAAGUUAUCACUCACAACUCACAUCAAAUGAAGUAUAAUAUAAAUAAGGAAAUGAUUUGAAUUUGAUUUCAAAAGCUAUAUAUAAUUAAUAAUUAUGAUAUAAUUGUCCUAAAAAUAUACGAAAACCUAAUCAAGAAAAAAAAUCAUAAUCUAGUACAUUCGUGAAAUUUUCUAGUAGAUUUAGGUUUUUUUUGUCUAAAUAUUUCUAAUUUAAAAGAGUUGAAGAAAAAUAUGAUUUUAGAGACAGAAAAUAGAAAAAUUAUAUAAUAUUAUUCAUUAUAAUAUAGUUUUAUCUGUGUACGAAGUUGAAAAAAAACUAACAGUUUUUCUCUUUUUCUUCUUCUUCAAUUUUUUUGUGGAUAGUUCAAGUUCAAGCUAAAGAUGAAUUUUCUUAUUUAUCUUUUUCUUUAUCCAUUUUAUUUUAAGAUUUGAAUUGUUGUAUUACAGUCAAUUUAUAAAGCCAUUUUCAUAAAAUUUAUUUUUAGAUCACAUUUAGAACUAUAUUUUUUUGUGCAAAAUUAAUGUGAACAUGUGAUCAUAGAUUUUUUUUAGAGAUAACGUGAGAAUAGUAAAAAAUUAGAUUAAAAAAUAGAAAAUUCAAAAAAUAUUAAGAUUUAUAGCAAAAUCACGGUUGUAGACUUUUUUUAACCGAUUAUACCAUUUGUAUAGGAAAUUUCUUUUCCGUGAGAUACAAUGUUUUUGCAUAGGUAAAAAUGAUACAUGAUAUCACAGAUUUACAGAUUCAGUGUAUUUGCAAAAAUCGUUAAUUUUGAAAAAAUCUUAAAUAUUUUGAAGUUAAAUUUUAUAACAUCCACUAAAAUCAUCAAUUUUGAAUUCUUUUAAACUAUCUUAAAAAUAAUGGUAAACAUAAAUUCAACAUUUUUAGAUUAUUUAUAUUUCUAAAUAUUUCUAAAAAAUUUGAAUUUAAAUAACUCCAAAAUACAUUAAUAACAAUUUGAAUUUAAAAUUUUACCAUCAUUCCUUCAAAUUGUGCUAAUUAAGAUUAUCCAUUUAUUUUAUUUAAAAAAAUCACUCAUAAAAUCAUGCUAUUUAGUUUAGUUGUCGCUAAAAUAAUGACAAACAUAAAUUUAAAAUUUUCAGAUUAUUUAUAUUUCAAAAUAUUUAUAAAAAUUUGAAUUUAAGUACAUCAAAAAUAUAUAUUGUUAAUAACAAUUUGUAUUUAAAAUAGUAUCAUUUCCUAAAUCGUGCUAAUUACAAUUAUUCACUUAUGUUAUUAAAAAAUUAUAUUAUCCCCUAAAAUCAUGCUAUUUGAUUCAUAUCUCUAAAAUAAUGACAAACAUAAAUUUAACAUUUUCAAAUUAUUUAUAUUCUAAAAUACUUAUAAAAAUUUUGAAUUUAAAUACCUCCAAAAUACAUAUUCUUAAUACCAAUUUGAAGUUAAAAUUUUGUCUUCCCCUAAAAUCGUGCUAAUUGGUUGAUUUUUAUUUUUAAAAAAUUAUUUUAUUGUGCUAACUAUAUUGAAUAAUUAUUUAGACGUUAUUUUUUUAAUUUACUUUAAUAUUCACAUUUAUUUUCAUUCUGUGAGAGUCUCAAAUACACCUUAAGUGAUCCACGAUCCUUAAAAUUUCAUAGUCAUUCAUUAUACAAACAUAUUACAAUUAUUUGGCACUAUUCCAUUUUCAAAUAUUAAUAUUUAUUUGCUCAUGUAAUGACAAAUAUAAAUAAUUUUUGUAUAUUUUAAACAAUUUAUUAAAUAAUACAUAAUAUAGUUUUAAUAAAAAAUUGAAUUUAAAUUUUAGAUCCUCCCCUAAAAUAAAGCCAAAUAUAAGUACAAGAUUUUCACAUUUUUUUAUAUAUUUUAAACAAUUUAUUAAAUAAAACAUAAUAUAGUUUUAAUAACAGUUUGAAUUUAAGUUUUAGAUCAUUUCCAAAAAUAAUGUUAAAUAUAAAUACAAUAUUUUUACUUUUUUAAAAAAAAAUCUUAAAUAAUAUAUAAUAUAUUUUUAAUAACAAUUUAAAUUUAAAUUUUAGAAUUGUAACGAUGCCUCAAUAACAUUUUUGUAAUUAUUUAAAUCUUCUUCCUUUAAGUUUUAUUCGAGAUUAUUUAAAUCUUCUUCCUUUAAGUUUUAUUUUCUUUUCUCGAAUAAAACCUAUGUGAGUGUUUUUCUUGCAAAUCAAGAGAGGAGAAAAGUUUCAACGUCAGCAACAAAAAUCAUGGGUCUUGUGCCAUUACAUACAAAAGAAUGCAUUUUUUGUGUUCUUAAAUCCCCUCAUGUCCAUCAGAAUGCAAGAUUCCAUUUUGAAAUCAGAACUCACCAACGCCUCAUUGAUAUUUUGUACCCUACUGCCCAAACGAUUGAUUCUUUGACGCAACUCGACCUUCCAACUAUUAUUGACGUAGGAGGAAGAAAUUGAAGGUUUUCAAGGUUUUGAAGUUGAUUUGAAGAAGUUGAAGGUUUUGGUAGAACAAACCCUAAAAAAUUAGCAAACGAAAUAUUUUAGAUAAAUGAAACUUGAUCUAAUAAAACGGGUUUAAAAUAUUCAUAUAAUAACAAAAUAUUUAUUGUUUUGUAAAGUUUAUUAAUGAAAUAUUUUGAUAGCUUUUUUAAAAUAUUAAUUAAAAUUUUAUUAAUGAUAAAUAUAAUUAGUUUAAUACAAGUUUAAAAUAAUGAAAAGGAAUAAAGAUAUUUUAGAAACUUUAUUAAACAUAUGUUUUUCCGAGAUCUUAUAAAAAUAAAAUAAAUGUUAUGUAUUAGAUAAAUAUUUAUUUUCGAAGUUCUAAAAAAUAAAUAUAUAAACAUUUAUUAAAUAUAAUUUAGGAUAUAAUUUUAUUAAAUAAAUAUAAUAAAUAUUUAUUAGAUAUAAAUGUUCCAUUAGGAUACAACUAAUUGGAGAUAUUAUGAAUAAAAAUUUCAUUGAUAUAGGAAAAUUUUGGUUUAAUAUUCUUCAGCAAACAAAUGUUGCCAUUCAAUUAGAAUCUAACAUAAUAUCCAACUUUGCAAAAUAAAUUGUGUUUCACAAAUCUAGUCACCUUACAAAGGUCUUAUACGUUCAUAAUACUACGUUGAAAAUCAUAACAUAUCACGAAAUCACGGGCAAAGGAAUAAAAAAGGCGCACGUCAUGUACAUUUCAAUUUUCAAUUGUAUUCUUCAAAAUUAAAGUUUUGUAUUAUAUAUCGUAUAUUUUUUUCUAAAUUAAGUGAUAACUAUCUUAAGAAUAAGGCAUUAAGCAAAAUCAUAAGCUUUCAUAAUCAAUCUAAUAUUAUCAUAAAAGGUAAAACAAUUAUUUAAUGUUAUAAUUUCAGUUUAACACAUCUAAUCUCUGAUCUCAACAUUCAACAUAUUAGUAAUGAAUGACUAAUCAAUUAACAUCAAAUAGCAUAUAACUCAACAAUAUUCAUUAUAGCCAACAUGAGUUUAGCUCAACUGGCACCUGUAUGUUCGUGUGGACAAGAGGUCCUGGAUUCAAAUCGCACAAGUGAAAACCAAGGAAUACUGAAACGAAAGGGACAAGUCUUUCAAAAACCAAAAGGUUAUGUCCAAAAGUUAAUUAUUUAAAUGUGAACAAAUGAAUAAACAGUUGAGACUAAAUUUAAAACUUUAUUAAAAAUGGAGAAUUAAAAUGGAACAAACUCCAAAAUACAAACACCCCAUUCAUAAUUUAACCAAGAAAGAAGAGUGCUAGCAAAUAACACAACAAGAGAAUAGAGUAAAUUACUUCAACAAACCCUAAAUAGCCACAUUUUCUAUAGCUUUUUCAGGAGUAUUUUAGGGAUUUCAAUUCUAGGGCUUUUGAGUGGGGUUCCGAAUAAGCGCUUUCGCAGUGCCACCGCAAGCCAUAGCGUUCGUCGGAAUUCUCCCAACCUUAUGAACUCCUUCGGCGAAUAUAACCCCCAUUCCCAUAUGCAAAUGAGGUUCAAUGUGGCAAUGAAAAGCCUAAACCCCUGGAUUAUCCGCCACAAAUCGAAGCACCGUCCACCCAAAUGGGAAAAUCACCACCGUAUUCCUCAACGGCGGGUUCUUUAGAUUCAAUUUCGUCUCAUCCGCAGCAGAGGAAAAUUUCCCCUCUCCAUACCCCAAAACCCAAAAAUCAUGGCCGUGUAAAUGCCAAGGGUGAAUCUCGCUAUGCUUGUCGUUCAAUGUGUUGGCAUUUUGUAGAACAACAUCCACGAUUUCCCCUAUUUGGAACCGGUAAACGCCGUUUCCGGUGAUGGUGUUUCUGUUCGGUGGUGGCUUGUUGAUGUCGUAGUCUUCUGGGUAUGUUUCCGGUGGGGGAUUCUGGUCGAAGGUGUGGUUUAGCCCGAUUUUAAUGGCGCCAAGGUACGGCGUUGAGGGGAGGGCUAAAGAGACGUUGUUGAUUGCCCAUUUUGUGUAUCCGCCGUUCAUUUUAUUUUGGGUGUUGAGGAGGAAGAUGCGGCGGGUGGAUUUUAGCGGUGGCUUUGGACUGCCCAUGGCAGCUAAGAUUUGGAAUGUGAAGUUUUUGCUUCGGUCGUAAUCGUUCCAUUUGGGGGUUUCGGGUGGCGGAGAAGUGGGUAAUUUGGAGACGGGGUUGGGGAGGUAGUUGAGGAUUGUUAGGCCUGGAGGGGUUUUGGGAUCACGGCCGCGGAUACCGAGGGAAACCCAGUAGUUCUCCGAUGGUUUUUGGUCGGUGUUGAUGAGGACGGAGUAAGAUUCGCCGGAAUAAAUGUCGAUGUCGGAAGUUAGAAAUGGUUGAACGUAGUUGCCGUCGGCUUCUACCACUAAUAGUUUGUGCUUCUGAAGAAGAAAAAAGAAAUUACUAUACAAUUUUAAAAAUAAAUAAAUUCUGAAUAAUUAGCAAGUUGAAUUUGACGUUUUAGUUUUAAUACACAUAGUAAAAAGAGAGAGAUAGUUACGUACCCCGAUGGCAAAGUUGAGGGCAGAGAGUGAAGUGGUACUUGUAAUUCUAAUCCUAUAAAUCUUAUUGGGUUUGACUUCGAGGAUAAAAGGUGCACAUUGUUCACUUCCACUCAACUUACAUUGCUCCAUUUUCUUCAUGUUCAUGUAUUUAGCUGCAAUUGAACAAUUGCUUUGCCCUCUCCCAUUUAUGAGUAUGGACUUUGAACAAGAAGAAGGGGACAUAAAAAUACAUUUAAUUAAACCUCUCAAAUAGCAUUAAUAGAAUCAACAAGAGAAAGUACAAUAAUUAUAUCCCUAACAAAAUAAUUUACCUAAAUCCAAUUAACCAAAUCAAAACCCUUACGACACUUUAUCUUCUAUUUAGGUUGGUUUAAUUUCCAAUUCUUUUUACUUUUUUUAACUUCAUUACAUGGUGAGAUUUCAUCUAAGGAUAUUAUGGUAACUUUUGAAAAUAAUAUAAAAUGUUUUUUUUUAGAAAAAAUAAUUCAACAAUGAUAAUUGGAAGUUUGCAAAAAAGUUUAAGAAACAAUGUCUAAUAUAAAAAGUAAUUGUUAUGUGUAUAACAAAAACCAUGUUUCAAGCAAGUAAGGUAUUUAUAAGAGGGACAAUAUUACUUUCCUCAAUAUGUUUUAUUUUGGUAGAAAUUAUACCUUAUGUUAUUUAUGUGUCUCAAAAAGAGACAUAUAUGUUUGAUUUGUUGUUUCUUUUAACGGAAAAAAAAAAAAAAAAACUAAACGUGUUCGAACUCUUAUAGUUUGAGCUAUCUUGUGUUUUUAGUGUAGAGUAAGAGAUUUAAAUCAAUUUCAAUUUUUAGAGAUAAAAGUAAUGUGAAUGUCAAUGAAUCAAACUCACUCCGUUAUGUAAUUUUGACGUUGAAUUUUAUUGGAAAAUUGUUUUAAAUGGUAAAACGGUUGAAAAUACUUAUAAAUACAAUAAAAUUUCAUGGGCUUUCAGUCAUAGACAACUAUCCAUGAUAUUUUGCUAUAUUUAUAAAUAUUUUUGUUUAUUUUGUUAUAUUUGAAAACAAUCUAAUUUUAUAAAAUGUUUUAGUUAUUUUUUUGUCUAAGGAAGUUUUGUUUUUAAAAUGCCAUUGAGAGAAUAUUUUGUGGACAUUUUUGUUUGUUUGUAGUUAAAGCAGCAAACAUUUUGAAUAUUAAGAAAUAAUUAUUAAAAGUAUAAUUAUACCAUUUCGACAAAAAAAUCUAACAUUAGUUUAGUUAGAUAAUUAUUAAUAAUAAAGUAUAAUUAUACCAAAUUGCUACCUAACAAUACUUUUAUUUUUUGCUUUAAAAAAAAUAUAAGCUUAUAAUAUUAUUUUCACAAAUAAUUAUCUUCAUUAAUUUUAUUAAUCUACCAUUUAGAUAUACAAAAUCAAAGUUUUGAUAAAUAAAUUUGUAAAAGUAGAUUUUGUUGUAAAAAUUUAACAAAAGAAUCCUACACAAAUGUUUCAAUUAUCUCUCUUUUCAUUUGAGAUAUGCUUUAUUUUUAUACAUAAAAUUUUAAUUUAAACACUGUCCUUCAAAAAAUAUCCUAAAAUAUAAUAUUGAAACAAACUCCAUAAUUCUUUCUUUCUUUAAUUUCUUCUUCUUCUUCCUUUUUUUUUUUUUUUUUUUUUUGGUUAAAGUAGGACUUAAUUUUUAAACCUUGACCAUGAUGCCAAUAUUCAUAUUUUUGAACUUGUAGAAAUAAAAACACUCUCAAAGGUGUAUAUAUAUAAUAAUAAUAAUUUUCAAAAUAAAUAGAGGGAAUAUAAAUGAAAGUUUUGUUAGAGAAGAGUAUAGAAAACCUACCUCACAUCUCAUGAAUAUUCAGUAUAAUUUAAGAAAAUAUCAUAUUUGAUGGUUAGUCCAAACAUAAUUAGGAGAUAAAGAUAUAACUUAAACUACCUGUGGUUCACCAAUCCAACGCAUUGGGCUAGAGCUAAGGCCAAUUUCUUGCUUUAGAAUGCUUUCGUGCCACCAAUCACUAAGCAACAAGUUGAUUUCUUCGUCGUAAUGGAACGGCUCUUUCUCUCCUUCUUCUGGAUCCACUAUCAAGGAUCCAUAUAACCCAGCCGCUCUCUGCAUACCCAAAUGACCAUGAUAGAAAUAUGUCCCAGGCUGCCAAACGCAAGUUCAACAAAACAAAUAAAUUUUGUUAGAGAUUAUAUUUUAUGUCACUUUAUUCAGCAUCGACAUUUCGAAACCUUCUCACCUUAUCUACUACGAACUGGUAAGUGAAGGAUUCGCCUGGGUUAGUCGCACACUGCGAGAUGGAAGCAGUGCCAUCGGCCCAGGGAGUUCCCUUCUGUAGGAUUCCAUGCCAAUGAAUGACAACAUCUUCAGUGGAGAGCUUGUUAAUCAUCUCUACAACCACAGUGUCACCAACAUUGGCUCUAAUAGUUGGCCCGGGAAACUGGCCGUUGAUUCCCAUGACGAGGUUUUCUUUACAGUCCGGGGACCAAAACAUGUAUUCAACUUCCCAUGUGUAGUGUCUAGUUUGGGAAACAGCAUCAGAGAGAGUUAUUCCAAACCCAAAAAUGAUUGACAGAAGAAAGAACAUGGCUGGAAAAGGCAUAGGAAACAAUGGCUGAUUUGCAACUUUUGUUGCCAUCUCUUGGUAAAGAGAUGGAAGGGAAGAAUAAUAAUGCAAUGAGCAAAAAAGAGGAAAUUGGGAGUGGGAAGUUUGUGGAAGAUACCACUGCAAUUUACCAACGGCUCCUCCUUAAUUUAUAAUGAAAUUUUGUGAGGUUUUGAUAAUACAAAUUUAUGUCAACUUAUUUUUUCUUUUGUCUUCAUUUGUUUGAUACUUUUUUUUAUUGGUUUUAUAGUUCUAAAGGUUUUUUCUUCUAUGGAAAACUUGACGUUUAUAUGAUGGAUAUUGAGAACCUAGAGAGAGAUUUAAAUGUAGAAGUUUGUUUGGAUGUUUAAUUUUUUUAAUUAAAAUGUAUGUAUAACAUAAUAUAAUAACUUUUUUUUAAGAAUUUGCAUAGUAGAAAGGUACUGAAAUUAUGUGUUAUGUAAGAUUGUCUUUGCUAAGCUUUAGGUAAUCUAGAUACUAUUAAUUUCAUAUAAUAAAGUUUAUCUAAAUUUUUUUUAAGCUGAAGUAAAUUUAUUUGUUCUAACAUUUUCAUCUUAUAUUUUUAUAUCAAUUAGUUUAUAUUAACUUUAUUUUUUUUGUUUUUUUUAUCAUAAAUAAAUUUAUAUUAUAUAUUUUUUCAUUUAUACAUAUUUUAUAUUUCACAUUUUCAUUUUUUUAUUUAAACAUGAAUUUUUAAUGCAUGCAUGAGAGUCUUUCUAAAUACAAAAGUAUUAUGCCUAAAAGAAUAUACAAACGUAUUAGGUAGUUGUGGGAAAGAUAAAACGAACAUUGUAGUUUAAUAUAUAAUUAAAAAGAAUCCAAAUAUUAUUUGACUUUAUCUAAAGUUAAUUAUUAAUUACAUAUAAUUAAUCACAACCUUGCAUUAAUUUAUAUUUAUAUAAAAACAAGUGAAAUAGAGAAAGUGGAUAAAAAAAAAAAAGAAAAAUCCACCAAACUCAAUCAAAAUAUCAAUUUCUUUUUGCUAUAUUUUUCUAUCUCUAACGAUUUACCUAAAAAAAUGAGAAAAAUGAUGGGAAAAGGGUUAGUAAAAGAUUCUUCAAAACAUGAAAAGUCUUAAGAACCGUGAUUAAAAUAGAUAUUAACAUUAAUAAAAUGUUUGGUUAUAAUUAGAAAUAUUGAGGUUUCAAACCUUACGAAAAUAUCAAUAAAAAAUUUGAAUAAAUUAUGGAAUGAAAUCGUUAUAAUUAAUUAAUAAAAGUACUUUUAUUGUGACUUAAUUAGAAUUAACCAUUUUUAAUAGCAAUGUCUAUAAAGUAAGACAACCAUUUAGGUGCCUAUUGUUAGUGCAUGUGCAAAUGUUAAUAAGAUAACCUAGAUUUAAAAAUAAAUGGAAAAGUAGUUACCCAAGUUUAAGAAUGCUUUCGAGUGAAAUAUUCCACGAGGUUAAAAGUAAGUUGAAUUUUUUGGUUGGAGGAAAAAUACAAAUAUAACAAUUAUAUAAUCAAAAUAAUUAAACAUACAACAACAUUUUAAAAAAAUUAUAAAUAUAUAGCAAAAUCUAUUAAAACCUGUCAAAGAAAGAGUUAUCUCAAUAGAUUUUGCUAUAUUUAUAAAUUUUUAAAAAUGUUUUUAUAUAAUUAAUAAUUAUUUCUAAAACUGCUAUCCAUUAUAAUUAUCCUAAUUAAAAUUUAGAGCUCUUCCUCUAAAAUUUCGAUUUAUAUUGUCCAUGACUUUCCUACGUGUCAUUCAUUAUUGUUAUAUUUAUUUAUAUUAGUAGGUUAAAGAGUUGACCUUUUACUAUAUUUAAUAUUAUUUAUUAAUAUGUCAAUAUGAACUUUUAAUUAAUUUAAGGAAGCCCUAAUAAUUCCAUUAAGAGAUUUUUUUUUUCAUCAAUAUAUAUAUAAUGUAUUUUUAACAAAGCUAUAAUAGAGGUUGAGAUUAGAAGAAAAGUCUUCUAAAGUAAAACAAUGAGAGACAAAACAAAUAUAGACAAAAAAAAAUCAUAAAAUUGCAUCACACACAAGAUCAAACGAACCAAAAAUAUUUUUUAAAAAUUGAAUAUUCAAUCUCACUCUCACAUGUUACUUCAAAUUAAUGUACUCAUUAACUAAUAAAAGUACUUUACCUAUAUAUAUAUAUAGGACAUGAGGUUUUUUAAAAAAAAAAUCAUUAUCGACGCCUUCUCCUCUCAUCGUCUAUUUUAAAAAAAAAGUCUACACAAAUACACGUGUAAGAAUUUAUUAUAUAAUAAUUUUAUUUAUUAAAAAUUUAUAAGAUGUAAAUCGAUCCAUAUCUAAAAGUUUAGAACUAAGGGCUAAAGUUACGUAAUUUUAUAAUUACGUUUGGUGAUAGAAAAUUAAGGUUUUAGGGGCAUAAUUGCAGUUAGAAUUAUAUGAAGGGUGCUUUUUGCAAUUACUUCAUACACUCAACAUCAAAGUGAGUGUUUAGUACACAAGGCAUGUCAUUCAUUGUAUGUCCACUCCACAUAUAUAUACAAUACAUAUAUGCUCAAAGGUGUUAUUAACAAAAAUGAUAAUUUUUUGAAAAAAAUAUCUUAUAUCAAAACAACUAUGUCUUUGUCCUUACUAUCAGUUAAUUUCCAUCUAUAUCUUUAUUCUUUUACAUUUCUACAUUUUCAAUCUUUUUCAAGGGGCAAAUUGACAUUUUAUGCCUUUUUUAUAUUUAUGAUAAUUAAUUGCAACCUUAAUUUUUAUAAAUAUAUAUAACAAAACUCUAAUAUAUUUACAAUCGUGUAACAAAAUCAACAAAAUUCAUGAAGCUAAUAAAAUAUUUUCAUAAAUUCCAUAUUUGUUCCUGAUAUUGCAAAUGAUUCGUCGCUUCUCUUUCCUCUUCUUCUUUACAAUUUUUUUAUCUUCUCUUCCAGAUUUCUUCAACUCCUUUGAUGUUCUUUCUUCUAUUUUUAUUCAUCUUCUUUUUCUUUCUUUCCUUCGACUCCUCUUCUAAAUAUUAAUUUGAUAUGAUCUAAACAAUCGCUUACCUCAACAUGAUCAAAUAGCAUGGUCAACACGAUUGUUUAGAUUUAAAGUCAUUUUCCAUCGAUUAAAAAGAACUACACGAUCGUGUGGAAACGAUUUAAGUGAUCACUUACCUAGUCAACAUGAUAUAUAUAUAUCAUUUAGCAUGGUUAACACGAUCAUUUAGAUUUGAAGCCAUUUUUUCUAUCGUUUCAAAAGAACUACACGAUCGUGCAGAUAUGAUCUAAACGAUCGCGUACCAUAGUCAGCUCGAUCGUUUAGUGUGGUUAACACGAUCUUUUAUAUUUAAAACAUUUUAUUUCAUCGUUAAAAAGAACUACACAAUCGUGUGGAUACUACCUACACGAUCAUGUAUCAUGUUCUAUGUCGAAGUGUCUCAUGAUCGUUAAUUUAGAAAAAGAAUUAUACAUGUCCAUGCGGCCGAUUAAUCGUGUGUUGACUAAGAUAUUUUUUAUAUAUUUUUUUCAUCAUUGGCCCGUAACUUCUUCCAUUUUCAAAAUUGUUCUAUACAACGUAAAUAUUAUGUUAAUUUAUUAUAUUUUUUAAAAACACUAAACAAAACAAUAAUUUGGGUGUGAACUAAUAAUGUUUCAAUAAAAGAAUAUAUACAUUUUUUAAAUUUUAAAAAGGGAAUGAUUAAAGCUCAUAUUUUGUUUUCGUAUAAUUUUUCGAUAAAACUCAUAAUUUAAGGGAAGGGAAGGGAAUGACUAUAAAAACUCAUAUUUUGUUUAUAUUUAUAUAUUUGGUUAAAUUACAUUUUUACCCUUGAAGUUUAAAAUUUGUACGAUUAGUUCUAAUGUUUCAAAUUUGCAACAAAAAAAAAAGUACUCAAAUUUUAGAAAAUGCUCGAUUACGAUCCAAUUGGGAUCGGUUAAAUAGACAACAAAGAUGAGACAAAUUUACAAACUUUAGUAUGAUGUGUGACGAAAAACGAUUCCAUGAAGAUGUGGCUACAUUCAAAUAGUACCAUUAUUUGUAAGGUGAAGUUUUUUUCGUCAAUCUCUUCCCUCUUCUUACAAAAUUUGUUGUUACCAAUUCUUCCCAUCACUUGUCUACUUUUCUUGAUUUUGACAAGAGAGAAAAAAAGUUGGUUGACAACAUCCUCGAGAGGGAAGGGUGGGAAGAGAAAACAUUUUUUAAAAUUUUUAUUUUCUGAAUAAUAGAUUAAAGUUAACAAUAAUAGUUAAUUUAAUGUCUAAAUUGUGAGGAAGUUGAUUGUUUAAUUUUAAAAUGUGGAGACAUACUUUAGGAUCAAAGGUAUAAUUUCUUUAUAUUUUGAAAGCUACCAAAUUUAGUUCACUACCUCUAUUUUAUUUUUUUUCAUUUGUUUUUCACGUGGGAACAAUGAAAAUAUGUAGUUUCCUUUCAAAUUGGAAAGCAAUUCUGUCUGUUGGCUACAAAGACAAAAUACUAUUUGUUUUUCUUUUUAUUGUCUAAAUAAUAAUAAUACACGUUAUUGCUAUGUAGCUUUUAAUGAAGUAUGUUAGAAGUGUUAGGUGUGUCGGAGGAUAGAGGUAAAUUUAAACUUAACUUUUGUGAAAGUUGGGAGGUUGGACAUAGCGUAUUCAUGAAUUAAGCUCGAGUAAGUUGGAGCAUUUGAGAUUAGAAAUAUAAGACUAAUCAAUCUUAUUUAUGUUUUAAGACUUUUAACGAGAUUGACAAGAGUUGGAUGAAAAUUAGGAAUAGGUUUUAAUCGAUUAAGCACAGAGAAGAAAAUUUUCAAUUUUUAGAGGUUGCAAAAUAUCACGACAAUAAUUAUGGACGACUAAGGUGUCCAAGCAAGAGAUGUAUGAAUUCAAAUUGAGACUCAUUAGAGGGUGUGGAGCGACAUCUAUUAACAACUGGAAUAUCCCCCAACUAUACAGACUAGGUAUAUCAUGGAGAGCCUGUGAACUUACACAGAGGUAUGCAAAGAUUUGAUGAAGGAACUAGCAUUAGUAACCCCUUUUGAAAUGUUGGAUAUGAUUCAUGAUUUACAAACUCCAAACGAAUGCGAAGAAGAGACGGAGGAAGAUUUGGAGAAUGAAAUGUCGUGUAACAGUGGGGUAGAUAUAGAAGAAGAGACAACAAACGUCGUAUUUCAUGAGUUAUUAAACCAAGCAAGUUGUGAACUAUACCUCGACUGUUCAGAAUUUUCGUCCUUGAACUUUUUUGUUAUGGUAAUGCAUUUAAAGGUUCUUAAUAGUUGGAGCAACAAGUCGUUCGAUAUGAUGUUAGAGAUAAUAAAAUGUGUGUUUCCAAUGUGUGGCACCAAUAUCUCUAGUUCAUUUUACGAAGCCAAACGAAAAUUGCGUGAGUUGGACUUGGGAUACGAGAAUAUUCAUGAUUGCAAGUACGACUGUGUAUUGCUCUAGAAGUGUUUGGGGAUUUGCAACAGUGUCCAACUUGUGGUGAGUUUCGAUACAUGGUUAGUUCUAAUAGAUCAAGAAAAAAUUCUGCAUAAAGUAAUCCUACUACUUUCUGUUGGUGCCGAGAUUUCAACGCUUGUUUGUAUUGCAAGAAAGCUCGACAGACAUGAGAUGACAUAAGGAUAAAUGAGUGAGAACAAAGGAUUUGUUGAGACGUCCAACUGAUGUAGAGGGAUGGAAGCACUUUAACUCUGAAUUUCCUGAUUUUGCUCUAGAUUUACAGAACGUCUGUUUGGAAUUAGAUGCAAAUGGGUUUAAUCCAUUCGGUUAUAUGAGUGUCUCGUACAAUAUGUGGCAUGUGGUGUUAAUUCCUUACAAUUUGCCACCAUAGAAAUGCAUAAAAGAGUCAAACUUUUUCAUGCCAUUGUUCAUUUUUUGUCCAAGAUCUCCUGGUAGGGAAACGGAUGUGUACCAACAAACCAUUGAUUGAGAAACAGAAAGAGUUGUGGACUUUUGAUGUGCGUACGUAUGACUGUAUUACAUAUCAAUUUUUUCAAUUGCACGCAACCUUGUUGUGGACAAUUCAUGACUUCUCGACAUAUGGUGACCUAUCUAGGUGGAGUAUGAAGGGGUAUCAGACAUGUCUCAUUUCAUGGAAAAUAAAUCGUCGUUGGAUAAGAGAAAAAUAGCUUUCAUGUGGGACAUCGACGCUAUCUUUCAGAUAACUACAUGUUUGCCGUCGAAGUAGGCUACAUGAUGGAAAAGUCUAGCGUAAGCUAAGACUCCUCCAAUAGUAAUAAAUGAGCAUGAAAUCUUCAAACAACUAGAUUCGUUAGAAUUUCCACUUAUGACUAAGUAUCAUUCGUUAAAAGAUAAGAAAAGAAAUAAAGCUUUUGAUUGGUACAAGAAAAGUAUUUUCUUUGAUUUUCUUUACUGGUCGAGACUACUAAUUCGUCAUAAACCUGAACAACUUAAUUAUAUUUUUUUUGUUAAUUAUAUCGAUUUCAUAUUUUGUUUUAUAAUUUGUAAUUUUUUUAAUUUUAAUAAUAUGUUACAAAUUUUGUUUCUUUCAAUUUGAAGCGGAACUGAAAAUAAUAUACCUUACAAUAAAAAAUAAAAUAAAGAAAACAAUAAAAUGAUAAAAUAAUAAAAUAAUAAAAAAGAAAUUUAUCCCAACCUAGAAAACAGGUCGGGAUCCUGUGUUCACCCUGACUUACCCAUACGACAUCGGGGAAACUUUUCUCGAUGCAUGUCGAGAGUACCCUUUUCUUGACGCACAUAGACAACAUCAAGCGUAUUCCACUACCGACGUCUUGCCUGUGUCGGCAUGGACAGUGUUGGGAAUAACCCUAUGUUGACGUCUUCACUUUGAUGCGUCGUAGAAAGCUGCCCCGGCGUUGAAAUCCUGACGUUCUAGUUGACGGAGAAUUAUGCGUCGAUAAUACUUUGACUGACACCUUUACUAUUUUUGCCGACGAUUUGUGGUGUUAGAAGUCCUCCGCUUUCUUGUAGUAGGAGUUGCUCACAAGUCCUGACGUGUUAUGAAGUGCGAUGAGAGAGACUGCACCAAACGCGUAUAUGAAUCGACAUUAGGAGCUUGUCCUUACUUUCGACGUCAAAAUGAAGCGCGUUGGGAAAAGGAAACUCCUGACACCGAUUCAUAUACGUGCUAGGAAAUCGUCUCCCAAUGCAUUAUUUCUUUCAACUCGUCUCCUGACGGUCCUGUAUGCGUCGGGAUCCUUUCUAGACGCAUUUGGAUAUAUAUGUCAAUGCUUUUAUGUGUCGAAAGAGCCACUAUUUCUUGUAAUGAUAUUUGAUUCUUUGGUUCUUUCUCUUGAAAAAAUAAAUUUAACUAUUAAAUUUUCUGAUAUUCUUGGAUAAUCAAAUUUAGGCUUGAUGAACUUCUUCAAUGAUUGACCUUUAUUGGGUUUGUUGAUCUUUUAGAGAAUCGACCUUCGAACUUAUUGGUCUUUUCUUAAAUGAUCGGUAUUUAGGUUAGAUGAUUAAUUUGGAUUGAUCAUUGGUUUGGUGAUAUGCUUAGAUUUGCCUUACAAUUUUAAGAGAGUUAUAUUUUUUUGAUCUUAAGAGUUUUGAUCAUAUAAAUUUUAGAUUUUAAGAUCUUUAAAGCCUCCAUCUCCAAAAUUUGAGAACUUCAAAGUUUCAAUUUUUAGAGAAAUCUGUGUGCUUUAAUUUAGUCUUUUAGAAUAAUUUAAGAACGUCGAAAUCUUCCCAGCUUUCAAUUUUUCAGAAGGUGAUUAGUCUCAAGAUUGAUAAGAACUUUAAUGUCUUGAGAGCUUCAAAUCUUCAGAGCUUCGACUUUUCAUCGUCAAUUCUAUGGCCCAAAUUUUCAUGGGGCUUGAAUUCGGUCAGGUUCAAGAUACUUUAAUUAGAGAUAACUGUGAAACUCGCAAAAUAUUAAAUAACAAACUGAAGAAUAGCAAAUCCCCAAAAUAUUAAGAUUUAUAGCAAAAUUGUCGAUUGCAUAAUUUUUUUGACUUUUUUUGACUUUUUGCAUAGAAUAACAUUUUGAGAAUAUGAUAUAGUAAUUAUAGCACGUUGUUUUAGAAUUUUGCAAAUAUGACAAAAACUCUCCAUCUUAAAUUUGUUAUUAUUCUUAAACUGUCAUUCAAUAACUUAUUUCUCUUUCUUUUUUUAAUGCCUUACUCAUUAUUUAUUUAUUCUCUCACUUUUUCAAGUCCUAAUUAUUUGUUUAUUCUUAUACUAUAAAAAUUAUUUAUUAUUUAUGUCUUAAUCUUAAUUUUAAAAUUAUAGUACAAUAAUUGCAAUAUGAAAGAUAAUAUAAUGAUUGUUGAUCGAAGUAAUUUAACUUCAUUUGUGGUUCUUUUUUUUUUUUUUACUUUCUUCGAUGUGUAUUUUAAGUUGAAUAUGAUUCCAAAUGAUUUUAUUUUAUUUUUUUACAUCAAUUUUUUUAUUUUUCUUUGUCUCAGUUUUGUAUAUCAAUAUUGUGAUAUACUUGUAUUAUAUGUAGUAGUCAGUUAAUAUACUUAUUACGUGAUUUUCGAUUUUUUAAAUUUUAUGCAGUUUAUUAGAGUAUUAUUAAGUAUAUGAAUGAUGUAACUCGGUGUAUCAUUAUCAAGAAUAUCAAUAAUAUAUUGUUAAAGCAUAUCAGUAAAGUGAAUCAUUAUCGAGUAUAUUAAUCAAGUUUACAAGUGUAUAUCAAAUCUAUAAGUAGGACUUCAAGAAUAUCAAGUGCAUUUAAUCAAUCAAUUGUAUAAGUGAAGAAUACUAAAUGUAUCUGCAGUGUAACAAGUGUAUCAAACAUAUAUUAGUAAUGUUUUAGGUGUGUAUCAAAAGAUAUCGAGUGUAUCAAAGUGAGUAUCAGGUAGAUCAAGUGUAUCAAUCAAAUGUAUCGAGUGUAUCAAGAAGUAUCAAGUGUAUUAAGGGGUGUAUUAGGUGUAUCAAACGUAUAAUAGUAACGAGGGUAUUUAUGACAUUUUACCUCUUGAUAUGUGGGUCGGGCUUCAAUUUUGCCAUUUUCGCAAAUAAUAAAUUGUGUGUCCUAUAGACUUAAUUAUUAUAAUUUAUUUUGUCAUUUUUUUCAAGUACCCCUUAUAUAAAACAAUUCAUUUCUUACACAUACAGUGAAUGAGGCAGAAUAUCACAAGUUCAUGAAUAUAGUGUAUUUGCAAACAACAUUAAAUUUUGGAAAAUCUUAACUAAAUAUGAUAUUUUCGAGUUUGAUAAGAUUACACCAACAUCCCUAAAUAUAUGACGGUAAUUUAUAUCAUAUUUUUGGAUUCUUAAAAUUUAAAUCAAUUAAUUAACAAUUUAUUGAUAUAAUUCAUAAUAGAUAUGUUUAACAAUAAUGUGAAUUCAAAUUUUAGAUAAUGUCACUAAAAUAAUAGCAAAGAUCAAUUCAAUAGUUUUUGAUUCUUUAUAUUUCAUACUAUUUAUCAAAUCUUUAUUAAAUAAUACAUAAUACAUAUUUUUAAGGUGAUUUUUAAAAAUAAAAUAAUGGACAAACUAUUUCAUGCCCAUAGCAAAAUUUUAAUCCAAGACCAAAAUGGAUAACUAAAAUUUUAACCGAAGCCAAAGUAUUAAUGUUUUUUUUUGCUAUAGGAUGUAAAUACUUUCCAUUUUCUUCUAUUUAUGUAAAUUUAUUACAUGAACACAUCUUCAUUUUUGUCGACGAAAAUAUAUAUGUGGCCAAAAAAGUUGUGUAUUGCGUGGGCACAUCAUCGUCUUUGCCAACAAAAAUAUACAAAAAUAUAUAAGUGGACAAAAAUGUGUGUGGUGAAAAGGAAAAUUUUUAAGUUGGCUUUCUGCCGACAUUUACUUUUGUUUAUCACCACGUAUCGUGUGUUGGUAGAUAUUUUAAAUAUGUGCCCUCAUAAUUUAUGUGGCGAAAAAUCCUACAUUUUUAUACAUAUUUAUGGCGACGCUAGACCUAUACAUACGACGACGCAAGACUUAUAACGUAGGCAUAAGUGUUUUUUUUUAAAAAAAAAAAACCUAAUUUUUCCAAAUAUUUUCCUCCUUUUCUUUUCUCUCACGCAGUUCCUCCUUUACGUGAAUGGCUUGCUGCACCCCAAACACCAAGAUUUUCUUUGCUCACGUUGAUUGCCCAUCUUCGAUUUCACUCCUUGUCGUCACUGCUCUUCGCUCAACGGCUCGCUGCACCCCUUGCUUAUCGAUUUGUAUUAACUCAAAUAAGGUCUGAAUUGUAUUAUUGCAUUAAAAUUUCAGUACCUCAUCUGAUACACAAAAGCAAUAAUUCUCCACUGAAUUCUUAUGAAUUCUUAGUAAUUCUUUGGAUGUAUCUUCUUUUUCAUUUUCCUUACUGUAUUCUCUAAAUAAGAAAUUUUAACAUCCUCCCGAAGUUGAUCAAGGCUAAAAGGCUAGAUGCACAAUUGAGGUAUGUGAGGUGCUUAAAGUACUUGAACUAAUCUCGAGGUUUAGAAAAAACUUUUGCAUUAAACUGUAUGUUAGGAUGAUCGUAGCUUACUGUUCAUCAUUCUUUUACUUUAAGACUCUAGGAUGUGCAAAUAAGUGGCUCAAUCUUUGCAACCAUCCACCAAAUUUAGUUGAAUGUUCCAAGGCAUGGUGGUUAUUGUGUCAACCUUCUCCAAAUCAUAGCAAACUCAACUACCUAUCAAUGGAACAAAAAACAUCUAUAAGAAACAAAUAAAUUGUAAAACUUUUAUUUUGAAUGAGAAAAAAAAUAUCUAUUGAAUAUGACAUUUUUAAAUAUAUUAGUAAUUUAGAAACGUCACGUUGAUAACUCUAUUGAACAAAACAUUAAUUAAAUAGUGACUUUUUAACUAGAAUAAGAAACUUUUUUGAUAGACAUUAAUAUUACGCAUGAAUAUCCUUCAACUAUGAUAGCAAAUCAUGCAUAUAUUUCAUAUUUAUUGUAUGCUUGAAUUAUAAUAUGUUGUGGCUAUCAUAUCGCUACAGUAGCCAAUCAUGUAUAUAUUUUACACUUAAUAUAUGUUUGAGUUAAACUGCUACUUUGGACACGUUUUUCGAUAUUUUGUGUUUGAUUAUGAGUUUAGAAGGCACAUUUGAGCAUUUUGAAAGGAUUUUUUUGGACUUAAAAGGUGAUUUUUAGUUUGAUAUUUAAGACAGUUAGUAGGUGAGUUUUUGUUGGAUUUUAAUUUGAAAGUUACAAUUGGGUUUUUGGUUGUUUUGACAUAUAAAAGGCUACACAAACCCAUUUUUGAGUUAAAGUACCACUUAAACAUUUUGGAGGUGUUUUGGGGGUAGGGAAAGGAAAUGAUUAGUCAUUUCUAUGUAUGGGGGGCAAGAAUUAAGGUGGGAAAGGAAUAAAUUAAUUUCCCACUUAAUCCUUCUCUUUCUUCCAUAAAUACAAUCACAUCAAACUUUUCUCUUUUUUCAAAAUAUAGAUAUGUUUUUCUUAAUAAUUAUAUUUUAACAACUAUAAGUAUCUUUUCACUUUUCCAUAACAAUUUUAUAUAUAUAUCCACAAAUACACAUAAUUAUGAAAUUUCUAUUAAAUAAACACUCCAAGAUAUUUAAUUAAAUUUAAAUUCAACAAUACUAAAAAUCUAAAUCCAAUGGUUAAUUAAAUAUUCAACCCUCGAGUAUUUAAUUAUGUUCAUCCUCAUUUGUUUAAAUCGAAUAUUAAUGAUAUGCAAUAUCUUAACAUUGCACUUACAAUAUCAAAUUUAAAAAAUGGAUAUAAUUUAUUUCGCACGUAACGCAUCAAUUAAUUUAUUGGCAGGAAAACUUUCGUAUAAAACGUACACAAUUGACAUUGUAUUUACGAAAACUAAUAGAGAGCAUGUUUUCCAAUAAAAAAUCGAUAAAUUAAAAUUAUGAAUAUUUGUGUAUUGGAUUUACUAUACCAUUUUUUUUUAAAAAAAAUACAAGAGUAUGAAUUAAAAAAAUAAAUAAAUAAUAAUAAUAAUAAACUUUUUUUUUGUCAUAAUCCUUCCUCUAUAAUCCUUCUCACUUAUUUCUUCCCCGUAUCUUUGAAAAUGCAACAAAAAAAGAAAAAAAAAAGAGGAGCAUAAUUUUUAAUGUAUUGGAUUUAUAUAUCAAAUUGAAUAACACGUUAAAGACAAAUGAAAAAAAAAAUACAAUUUAUUUGUGAACUAAAUUUACAAUACAAAUUUCAAAAACAUAUUUCACACAAAGAAAUAAUAAUAAUACAAUUUGUUUUGUGUAUUGGAUUUAAUUUUUAAAAAAAUAAGAAAAAAAACUACUGUACAAAUGAAAAAAAAGAAAAAAAAAAACUUCACUUUUGAAAUUGUAAUGAGUGUACGUUAAAGUAAUAAAAUAUUUAUACAAAAUCACCAAAAAUAAAAAUAAUACAAAUUUUUGGUGUAAUUGGAUUAGGGUACAACUUAACUGAAAUAAUGAAUUUAAAUACAAUUUUUUGUUGUAAAUGUUUUAUGAUACAAACAGACAAAAGGUUAUACAAAUGCAAAAAAUAUUAGCACAUUUUCAUUUUGUAUUGGGUUCACGAAAAAAAAAACAAGAAUUUCAUACCCAUGAAAAAAAUUAGUUUUUUUCGUACAAUUUUUUUUACACAAAUGAAAAAAAAUACAAAUUUUUUUAACAUAAUCUUUAUCCAGAGAAAUAUUAUAAAUAAUCUCUCAUAAUCCUUCCAGUUAUUCCUUCUCCCCAAACAACGAUUAGAAAUAAUCAUUUUCUUUUCAUAAUUCCCCUUUCCUUAUUCAUUUCCCCUCAUUUUCCUUUCCUUCCCCCAAACACACCCAAAAAGCUAAUAUGUUAUGGUAAUUAUUGCUAUAGGGUCAACUUUUUGUUCAUACUAUUUGAAGAUGAAUAAGGAUUGGAUUAAACUAAAAAAUAGAUUUUCAAGUGAUUAUGUUGAUGGAGUUUCUUAAUUUAUGGAAGUGGCUAAGUGUCAUGUAAAUGAUGUAGGAAAAACUAGGUGCACAUGUAAGUAUUGUCAAAAUUCAAUGACACAAACAUUGGAUGGAGUAGAGCAUCAUUUAUUUGCGAAUGGAAUAUCUUCUUUAUAUGAUAAAUGUAUUUAUCAUGGAGAAGCAAUGAACUUUGCUAGAUUUGAACAGAGUACUACUUCGUUAGAAAGUGAUAGAUUAAGUAGAGAGUCUGAUGUUGGCAACAAGGACGAUGAUAUUUUAGAUCUUUUAACUGACUUGCAAGGUUCAAUGAUAGCAAGGGAAGAAAAUUUUGAUGACGGAGAUGUAAGUUUUGAUGAUGAAUUUUCAGAAGAUGUUGAUGACAUGGACACUAGUAACAUUUUUAGGAGUUGAUGAAUGAAACACGUAAACCGUUGUAUCCUGGAUGUACCAACUUUUUCUCAUUAAAUUUUUUGGUGAAGUUAAUGCAAAUCAAGAUUCUGAAUAAUUGGAGCAACAAAUCGUUUGAUAUGCUAUUAGAAUUGUUGAAAGAUGCAUUUUCAAUCGGUACAUUUAUAACUAAAUCAUUUUACGAAGCUAAGAGAAAAUUAUGUGACUUAGGGUUAGGAUAUGAUUUCAUCCAUGCUUGCAAAAUAUGACGGUAUAUUAUUUCGAAAAGAAUUUGCUAAUUGUCAAAGUUGUCCACUAUGCAGUAAAUCUCGAUAUAAACAGAGAGUGAAAAAGGAAAGAAGAUUCCAAAUAAGGUUUUGCGUCACUUUCCACUAAUUCCAAGGAUGAAACUAUUGUUUUUUAAUCAAAAUAUAUCGCUUCUAAGAUGAGAUGGCAUAACGAUAAACAGAGGAUGUUUUACGACGAUAUCUAGCUGAUGAUGUAGAAUGGAAGCACUUCGAUAGAGAAUUUUCUCAAUUUUCCUCAAAGCCAAGAAAUGUUCGUUUAGGCUUAGCUUCACACGAUUUUAAUCCAUUUGGGAAUAUAAGUACUGCAUAUAGUAUGUGGCUAGUGGUGCUUAUACCAUACAAUUGUGGCUAGUGGUGCUUAUACCAUACAAUUUGUCCCUUGGAAGUACAUGAAGGAGUCCAAUUUUUUCAUGUCUUUGUUUGUACCUGGACCCAAAUCUCAUGGGAAAGAGAUUGAUGUAUAUUUGCAGCCCAUAAUUGAUGAGUUGAAAGAGUGGUGGAAUAAUGGUGUGCGAGCGUUUGACUGUACAUAUGAAGAGUAUUUUCCAUUAUAUGCAUGUUUGUUGUAGACCAUCAAUGAUUUUCCUGUAUAUGGUGACUUGUCGGGAUGGAGUACGAAAGAAUAUCAAGCAUUUCCUACUUGUAAAUAAGAUACGUCAUCGUUUGGGAUAAAAGGAAAAAUAUCUUUUAUGGGACACCAACGUUAUCUUUCUUCUAAUAAUAGUUGACGUCGAAGUCGACAAUAUGACAAAAAAACCCGAACGCAGGCCUCCACCAAUUGUAAUGAGGGGAGAUGAGACCUUACAACAAAUAAACUCCAUGAAUUUUCCAGUGCUAAGUAAGCAUUCAUCCAAGAUGAAUAAGAAAUGAAAACAUACUAUUAAUUGGAAUAAGAGAAGUAUAUUCUCUACACUUCCGUAUUAGUCUAAACUUCUUUUGAGACAUAAGUUGGAUGUCAUGUAUAUUGAAAGAAAUGUUUGUGACAACUUGCUUGACACUUUAUUAAAUAUUGAUGGUAAAACAAAGGACACAAUCAAUGCUCGUUUAGAUUUAGGAGACUUGAAUAUAUAAAAAGGAAUUACAUUUGCAAAGGCAAGGAACUAAGCUGAUAAAACCACAUGCUACGUCUACAUUAACCGGCACCGAAAGAAUAGACUUUAUAAGUUCUUAAAAUCAAUUAAAUUUCCUAAUGGAUUUGUCUCAAAUAUAUCACGAUGUGUGAGUGUCAAUGAUGGAAAAUUAUAGGGACUAAAGACUCAUGACUCUCACAUUUUACUCUAAUGACUUAUUCUCAUUGUUGCACGAGCAUACUUACAUAAGGGUGUGUGUACAACUAUCGUUGAGUUAUGUAAUUUUUUUCAUGAUUUGUGUGCGAAGACAAUACAUAUCAGUGACCUGAAUCGUCUGAAAGCCAAUAUUGUGAUCAUACUCUACAAAUUUGAAAGAAUUUUUUCACCUGCGUUUUUUGACGUAAUGAUACAUCUUGCAAUUCAUUUACCGGCUAAGACAAAGAUUGUUGGUCCAAUAAUCUAUAGUUAAAUGUAUCCCAUAGAAAGAAGCUUACGAACAUUAAAACAAUAUGUACGAAACAAAGCUUGUCAUGAAGGUUCCAUAGCAGAAGCAUUUCUUAUGAAUGAAUGUUUGACCUUCUACUCGAUGUAUCUAACAGGAAUAGAGACAAGAUUCAGUAGGAAUUCACGAAAUGAUGACUCAAUGAGCAGAAAACUUGGUUGUGGGGACUUUGAUGUAUUUAAAUAAAAUAUGUGACUAAUGGAGGGGUCAAUUGUGAGGACGCUAUCUGAAGAAGAGAGACGAAUGUGUCAUUGGUAUGUUCUGAACAACUGUUCUCAAAUAGAAUCGUAUCUCAGGUACAUUUUAUACAUUCAUUUACUUGUCAGUUCAUAGUGUAUAUAAGUAAGUCGAAAUUCUUUUUAAUAUUUAAUAUGAUUGAUAAGCAGAGAAAAUUUGAGUUUGAUAAAUACCAAAUGAGAGGAUGGACUAGAUUUAUUUAGAAGGCACCAAUUAAAAUUUCCUAAUUGGUUUAAUGUACAUGUAAGUGUUGUUUUUAGCUUCAAAGUAUGAUGUUUUACUAUUGAGGUAUUAGUAGUUAUUCUAACCCACAUAAUAUUAUGUAGAUGUAUUCAUUACGUGAAAAAGGUGAAGCAUCUGAUGAUCUUUACUCCAUAGUGUUGGGCCUAUUAAUCAAGUUCGCACUUACAGUGGUUGCUUUGUAAAUGGAUUACAUUUUGAUUCAAUAAAGCGUGACAAUCGCCAGACUACUCAGAAUAGUGGAAUCAUGGCAUAUGGAGAAACCAAAGCCGACAAAACGGAUUACUAUGGUCUAUUGCAAGAGGUCUUGGACUUAGAAUACCCUAAGUGUAGACGUGUAUGUCUUUUCAAAUGUAAUUGGUUUGGAACCGAUGUUAAGAAGAACAAAUUUUGUUCUAAUUUAGGCUUUAAAAUAAUUAAUACUUCUCGUUUGGGUACACUGAUGACCCAGACAUAUUAGUUACACAAGUCGUGUAGGUUUUCUACACUGACGACCCAAAACUCCGCAAUAAUUGAAAAUUUGUGCAAAAUGUCCAAAAUAAACAAGUAUGGGAUGUCCCAUAAGUUGAAAAAUUAGAAAAAGAGUUGUUAGAAGCAUCUAGUUCAAUUGGGUUUGAUAAAUCCAUACAUGAUAUCCCAUUUUGUAGAGGCGAUGUUAAACCUACUGUUUUUUAUAAUCAAGAGAUAGAUAAUCAAGAUCAAUCCCCAAUCGAUGACGACUUUAUAAAUGACGAACCUGAACAACUAGAAUCUUUGGAUUCAUAUGGUAAUGAAUAAAGGGUAUAUAUUAUAUGUUUAUCAAAUUUAUUUACGACAUGUUAUUUUAAAGUCUAACCACUAAUAAUUAUUUUUGCAGCAUAAUGGUACAUACAGAUCAAGCACAAUUGGCAUUGACUGAAGUUGAACAAACAAACACUACACCAGUUGAUCCUUCCACUCAUCAAGACGGUAUUAAUAUGAUAUGUAAGUUUAUUUCUUAUACAUUACUGAAAUGAUCUAAAAAUAGUUUUACUUUUAGGAUAUCAAUCACAAACUAAAAAGUGAGGAAAUGAUGUGAGAGGAUACGGUCCAAACAUAGAAUUGGACAAAUUUGUAGAAAAACGUGGAAAGAUCAAGAUAGAGAUUAACAAAGAGGAAGAAAAACCAAUGACGGCAUUUGCCCCUAAAAUUGGGUUAGGCAUUGGUACUGUCGUUCGAAACACUAUUCCAUUGAGUUGAGGGAAUUGGGAGGCGGUACCUAUAGGCGUAAGGAAGCUCGUGAUUGAUCGGUUGGAGGUAUGUUUAUGUUUAAUUUAUGCCUUCUUAUAUUGUUUAAAUGUAAAAGUUGUCCAUUUAUACAUAUAUUAUUAAAUAUGUAGACAAAUUUUGAAUUUGACCCAACUGACAUAAUUGUGAGAAAAUACUUAGAAAAAAAGAUGCAUAAUACUUUUAGAGAUCAAUUUAGAGCAGGUUUGAAUUGUAUGUACUUGAGUUGAAAUAUUUUGUGGCUAUCCUGCGGUGGCAACCAAUCAUACAUACAUGACAUUUUCAUAAGAACUGUCCACGUUUCUCUGUAUCGGUAAAGACGAAUAUUCUUGUAGUGUUUGUUGUUGGACAAGAUUGCAACAACCUCCUAUAUGAUAAUGGUAAAUAUAUAUACAAGAUUUUCAGGUUUGUUAUAUUUUAAAAAAUUUAUUAAAUACUACAUAAUAUAUAUUUGAAUAACAAUUUGAAAUUAAAUUUUAGAUACUCCUCAUAGAAUAAUGCCAAAUAAAAAUACAAGAUUUUCAGCUAUUUUAUAUUUUUAAACAAUUUACUAAAUAAUAUAUAAUAUAUUUUUAAUAACAAUUUGAAUUUGAAUUUUAGAAUUGUAAUUAUGUCUCAAUGGGACUUUUGCAAUUAUUUGAAUCUUCUUCUUUUAUGUUUUAUUUGAGAAAAAAAAAAAAAAAAAAAGAAGAUUGAGAGGGGGGCAACCGAUGCAAGAGACAAACACUGUGUGAGAGAGAAAUUUUUUCUUUUAAACAAGAGAGAAGAAAAGUGCGAUCGACAGAGAGAAAGACGUCGGAGUUUCGACGUUAGUGGCUAUGGGCAUCUGACGGCAUCUGACGUUGGUCAUGAGUUUGCGGCAAGUUCUGACGUUCUGGCGUUUGUUGGAGUCAGAUUUAGCCAACUUUCAUGGAUUUAGCUGCAAGCAGGAUGAUAGAAGGCUCGAGCAGUGUUUAUGGUGAGUUUCAUCGUUCAUGUUUUGUUUUUCAGCCUUGGUUCUUCUUAGGGUUUUCAGUAGGUUAUUCGACAUGUGAGUCUCCGGUCGGAGGAGCCGGCAAGAUGAAAAUUUCACAAUCUUACGUCAGAGGAGCCAACAAGAAGAAAAUCCAAGUAUGAAGAGUUUGAAGAGUUUGAAGGGGACGAGCUGGAAACUCCAAUAGUUUCUGCAACUAUGGAAGUUUGAUGUUGAUAUGUGUUAAUUGUGUGUUGGGAGUAAGAUUUUAAUUAUAGGGUAUUUGUGGUUUGUUUAAUAAUUAUAUUUAGGAUUCAAUUUUUUUUAUUUAGGUAUGGGCAUUUAAGACAUUUGUUCGUGCAAUUAUUUUCUUAUACUUUUUUAUUUUUCUAUUUUAUCAAUUUAAAUAAAGAUUUGUUGUUAGAGAAAUGUGUGAGAAUGGCAAAAUAACAUUGUGGUGUUUGGAAAAUAGCAAACAUAAAAAGUAAUUUGAUUUUUAGCAAAAUUGCAAAAGAUAUAAUUUUUUUUUGAGAAUUUUUCAACCGAUUUUAUCUCUUGAUAGGAUGACUAUCAUUUUGUUAAUUACAAUGUAUUUGUGAACCGUAAAAUAAUAAAACAUAACACAUAAUUACGAUUACGAUGCAUUUGGAUAUCAUUCAAUUUUGUAAUAAUAUUAAAUAAAUAUUUAUUUUAUCUAUUAAUCUCAUUUAACUAAAUUAUAGAUUCAUGUCUUAAAUUUAUAACAGAUUAUCCUAUUACUUAAUUGUAGGUUUUGUUGGAAGAUUAAAAUUUUAAAAUUUAAAAUAAUAUCUUUGGUUUAAAAUUAUGCAUUUUAUAUAAUAACAACUUCAUAUAAAUGGUGUAUUUUUCCUAUAAUUAUGCAUAUAGCAAUUAUACCAUAUUCGACCAUAUUAAUAAUAAUAAAUUGUUAAGCAUUAUUUUAGAGAAUAAAUGGUAACAUAACGAUAAUGCAAUCUUAUUAUAUAAUUAUCAUUAAAUUAGGAACAUUUUCUAUAGAUAUUAUUUACUACCAUUUAAAAAUUGAGUUUAAAUUCUUGCAAAUUCUCCUAAAAUCGUAUUAUUACAUUGAUCUCCCUAAAAUAAUGACAAACAUAGAUUUAACAUUUUUGGAUUAUUUAUAUUCCAAAAUAUUUAUAAAAUUACCCUAUUUAAAUUUUGUAUUUAAAUACCUCCAAAAUACAUAUUGCUCGUAACAAAUUGAAUUUAAAAUUUUAUCUUCCUCAAAAAUUGUGCUAAUUGGUUGAUUUUUAUUUUUAAAAAAUUGUUUUAUUGUGCCAAUGGUAGAAAUAAUUAUUUUCAGACGUGUUUUUAAAUUACGUUAAUAUCUAUGUUUAUUUUCAUCUAGUAAGAGUCUCAAACACACCAUAAUUGUGAUUCACAAUCUUAUAAUUUUAUAGUCAUCUAUUAUACAAACAUAUUUCAAUCAGCAGAUUUGGAAUACACAAAAAAAGAUAAAAAAAUUUGGUCAUCAAGAUGUAGUAUCAUUACCUAUACAAUUUAUUUCAAUAGGUCAAAAAAACGAGAUAUGAUAUUGAAAAUAACAUAAAUUUACUUUAUUUUGUAAAUAACAUUCAAAUUUGAUAAAUCUUAAUUAAACAUGUUAUUUUGUACAAUUUAUUAAAUAAUACAUGAUAUAGUUUUAAUAACAAUUUGAAUUUAAAUUUUAGAUCAUUCCCUAAAAUUAUAUAUAAAUCCAAUAAUUUCACUUUUUUAUAUUUUUAGCCAAUUUUACUUGUAUAGAGGAAAAUUCUUAUCUUAUUGGUAUAGUGUACUUGUGUAGGUUAAAAUGAUGAAAUAUAACUCAGAAUCACGAAUAUAUUGUAUUUGCAAAUCAUUAAGUUGUGUAAAAAUAUUAAAUAAAUAUUUAUUUUCGAAAUGAAUUUGAUUGAAUCAACAUCCCCUAGAUUUAAAGGCUGCAAUUUAUUCUAGAUUUUCUUGUUUGUUGGUUUCAAAUCAAGUAAUUAACAAUUUAUUUAGUUGUGGUUGUUCAAAUUAAAAUUGUAUCUUACCCCUAUAAUUAUGAUGCAUUUAAUGUAUAUAUGAUUAUUCUAAUAAAGUUUUGAUAUUCCUCUAUAAUCAUGAUACUUGAUUGAUUUCCUAAAAUGAUGUCAAACAUAAUUUCAAAAUUUUGGGAUUAUCUUGUUAAUAUUCUUUAUCUAUUCUCCAUAAUUGUUAUUUAAAAAUAGAUUUUAAAUUUUGAUUUGAAACCGUCAAAAUAUUAAAAUUGAUUUAAAAAUUUAUAAAAAUAGUUAUUGUUAACAAUAAUUUGAAUUUAAAAUUUUGUCAUCCCUAAAAUCAUGCUAAGAUAUCUUUAUAUCUCCAAAAUAAUAGCCAACAUAAAUUUAACAGUUAUUUAUAUUCUAUUAUAAAAAAUAAAUAUUUUAAUUUUGGAAGGAAUUAAUUGAGAAGAAAAGAUUUGUUUUAUUUAAAUUGUAAAAGAAAAAAAAAAGAAAGUGAAGAUAUUUAAGGGAAAAUAAUAAUAUAAUAAUAUUACUAUUACUAUUCAUCAUCUUCGUCACUCUCACCAAACCCUGACUGCCGCUGACACCUCCAUCUUCGUUCGCCAUCCCAUCCAUUCUGUUGAUCGAGAACUAAACCGCAAGGAAACAUCUCCUCUGUUGCACGCCACUAGUCGCAUGUUUACUUCAUCCGAAGUCAAGCGUCUUUGUGCCGCUUGUUCAUUCGCAUCGCGCGUCGCACGCUCAGCCGCGUCGAUCUCCUUUGUCUGCAUUCGUUCACUGGUUAUACCAAAACUUCCAGCCACAAAACUUCCAGUCACCGUCAAUCCCCGAAUUUUAGUGACUCUGUUGUUGUGGGGGUUUUGUGACAUACAAUGUAUCUUUUCUAAAAUUCAAGUUGAUAUAUUGUUGCUAUAAUUUAACAAACGAAGAAGAAAAUCCAUUGAAGAAGCUCACUUUUGCGCGAAACGAAAAAGAAUCUAUAAUCGGUUUGAUGAAGAAGAUGGUUGGCAAGAAGAAAUUUUUUUAAUUUGCAGUAAAUGUAUAAAGACUUUGAAGGUUUUGAAGAGGACGAAGCUUAAAGCUCUAAUAUUUUCUGCAAAUGAUCAAAGACUUUGAAGAUUUGGUAGAAUCUACGAAAGUAGAAGGUAAUGAAGUUGGAUUCUUUUCGGCUUUGAAUACCUAAACAUACACAAUUUCAACAAGGAUGUGUUAUUUAAUUACAAGGUAUUUAGGUUUUAGGUAAACAAUUCCACAAUGGACUUAGCGUUUUUGUGAUGUCAGGACGAAUCUUAAAUUAAUGGCCAAAAGUUCUUAUUCAAUCCGAACUACAAGCGAGUAUUAAAGAAAAGAAAUGAAAGCAAGGGCGAGAGAAGAAACGGAGGUGAUGGAGCAUAAAUUAAAACGAUUUUGGUCCAUACACUAAUCACAAAUUACAUUUUAAAUAUUUUUUGUUUUCUUGUUAGGUUUAUCUCUUGCUUUUCUUUUUCUCUUUUCCUUCCUUCAAUUCAAAGGAUUUUUUUCAAAAUAUUUAUAAAUAUAAAAAAAUAGUACUUUUAAUUAGCCAUCGAUGGUGAUAGGCUUAUCUAUGUGACGAUGGACCUAGAUUGCAGUCUAUCUUGAUUUAUUAUUAAUAUAAUUGUGAUAUUUUGAUAUAUUUAGAAAUUUUUUCAUUUAAAAUAUUUUUCUUGUUAUAUUUUGAGUGUGUAUAAAUAGAUUAAAAUUAAAGGGUAAAAAAGGGACAAAAGGACAAAAAGAAGGGUAAAAAAUAAAAAGAAACGUUAGGAAAAAGGGGAAAAGAAAACAUGACUAAAUAAUAAUGAGAAAAAAGAAUGGAAAGAAAAUAAUGCAUUAAAUUAUAAAUUUGGUCGAUGAGCUUUAACAUCCGUGUUUAUCUUGUCCUUAAACUACCAAACUUACAAACUUUAGUUCUCGAUCUUUUAAGUUUUAUCAAAAUUUUCAUAAUCUAUUAAAUAAAAUAAAUUAAGAAUUAAAGUUGGGAUGAAACACAAAAUCAAAAUUCAAAGACCAAAAAUUAAACACAAACCAGCUACGAGUUUAACAACUAGAUUUAUAGGAGAACCAAAACACAUAAAUUAAAAAAUAUGAAUAAUAGAUUCAUAAACUUUCAUCAUAUCCAAAACCCUAAACCUAAAAUGAGGGAACACAAACUAGACAUGACCAAAACUAUUUUUUCAGAAGUACCAAUAAUAGAUUUGAUCACAUGACCAAACUUAGAGCACAUGUUCUUUCUAAAAUAUAUCCAAAGGGUAGCCCUACCUGCGUGAUUUGUUGAAGUAUACUCUCUUGGGGACCUCAAAUAAUUAAAUUACUUUUUCCAUUGUUUUAUCUUUUGUGUGGAUUUUUUUCUAAAAAAAUUUCACGUGAAGAAAGAAGGCCUUAGCUAAGCUCCAAUAAUUCAACUUGACAUUGUACCCUAUGUAGUAAUCCAAGAUUUCAAAUAAAAUGGCACGUGAAAAGUUAGUUUUUUUUUCUUUCCCAACUUGUGAUUAUAUCAUUUUGGAACCUAUCGUUCUUAGCAUUUAGUGCUAGAUGAAGACUCAUUUGCCGUAUAUUUGAAAGGAGAGGUACGUUGACGCUCCUUGUUUCUCUCAUGUUACAAUCCUCUUUUGUUUGAAACCUAUUUUAAUUCAAUCCACAAACACAAUAAUAGAGGAUUGAUAUCAACCUUUCAUUAUGGAAGAUAGAAAUUUUGAAAUGAAUCUAGCAAAAAAACAUAGAAGUCAAGCACGAUGUUGUGGUAGAUAAUGAUAAGCCAAUGAGAGCAUAGAUGGAAAUACACCUAGGAUGGUAACCCAAUUAGUGAGUGUAGUCACCUAUUUCGAAGAUUAGUGUAUUAGAUAAAGAGUCGAGAGAUUAUCAUUUCAAUGGUAAACUCUCUCUUUAAAAACUAUUGUCACACACAAUAUUUUUUUGGUAGCCUUAAAUGAAAUCUCAUCAAUACAUCAACUACUCAUCUUGAGUUUUCACUUUCACCUUUAACUAAUUCGACAGUACAUGAAGCCAAGUAAUAAUACUUGGUCAGAACAAAAACUCAUAAAUUAUAGACGAAAGCAGGCAGGGAAGCAAUUCAAACUUGACUUUAAAGCACAUGUAACCUGUUAUAUGUAAAGUAGUAAUAGCGGCAAAAUUUUAGGGUUUUAGUGUUUUACACAAUAUAGGUUACUCUAAUACCAUGUCAAACAAUGUAAAUUUUCUAUCUUAUUUCACUUAGAAAGAGGGGAUUUCUUAAAUAUGUUUGGAGAAUAUAAUAAAAUAAAUACAAAAAAAUAUUAAAGAAAAAGGAAACAAUCAAUUAAUUCAUGAUUCAUGGUUGUUUCAAGCAUUACACAAUAAACACUUCAAAACACUAAAAUUAUUAGUAAAUACAAAGAGGUUUAUUCGAAACACGUUAAUUAAUUAAUUAACUUGAGAUUAAAAACUAAAUAGUCGACCCACACCUUUCAUGCAAUUGACAAAAAAGAAUAUUCAUCUAAUUUUUUAGUGUCUGAAUUGAUAACUUUUCUUAAAUUGAAGUUUCAUUAACAGAGAGUUCAUUCUUUAUAUAUAAAAACAUACUUAAAAUUGGUUAUAUAAAAUUUUUAUUCAACAUAUAAUAUGUAAGUGAGGAGAUGGAUUGUUUGAAUUCUCUUAUCUAAUUUUAUACUAUUUACUAACAACUAUUAGAAAGUAAAGGAAAUUUAUUUUCAAACCCCACCAUUACCUUUUAUUACCUUAAGAAAGGACAUAAACAUAUAACCCUCAAAAUUAAACCUUUCACAAAUCUUUUCAUCCUGCACACUUCACCAUGGCAAAAAAAAAGAGAAAGAUAUAAGGAAAAACAUAACAAUGAUAAGUUCACACUAACAAAUUAACUCUAAACAACAUUAAUUUUACUUCCCUACACCCUCAACUCUAAACCCUCCAAAACUAUAAUAUUCCCCAAAACACAAUAUGAAUAUAUACCACUUGGCCCAAAACCACCUCCUAGGGUUUUUUAGUGGCUUCUCAUUCUAUGGUGUUUUAGGGGUUACGUACCUUACCUUCCUGAAAUAUUCACGAGGGUUUUUUUUAUUAGGGGUUUCUCUUUCUAGGGUUUUUAGGGUAAUCGGGGAUAGUUCUUAACCAGCGCGGUACUGCCACAAGCCAAAGCCUUCGGCGGAAUCAUUCCCACCAUAUGAACUCCUUCGGCAAACACAACUCCCAUUCCCAUAUGCAAAUGAGGUUCAAUAUGGCAAUGGAACGCCCAAACACCUGGGUUAUCCGCCACAAAUCGAAUCGCCGUCCACCCAUAUGGGAAAAUCACCACUGUGUUCCUCAACGGUGGAUUUUUCAAAUUCAGUUUCUUCUCAUCCUCGGGGGCGUAAAAUUUCCCCUCUCCAUACCCCAAAACCCAAAAAUCAUGGCCAUGCAAAUGCCAAGGGUGAAUCUCACUCAUAUUGGGGUUUAACAUAUUAGCGUUUUGUAGAAUCACAUCUACCGUUUCCCCCAUAUUGAACUUGUAAACGCCGUUGCCCGUUGUCGUUUCAGGGUUCGGCGGUGGGUUGUUGAUGUCGUAGUUCAAUGGGAAUGUUUCUGGUGGUGGAUUUUGGUUGAAGGCAGUGUUUAGCCUCAUUUUCAUGGCGGCGAGGUACGGCGUUGGAGGGAGAGCUAAAGAGACAUUGUUGAUGGCCCAUUUCAUGAACCCGUUUAUUCGAUUUUGGGUGUUGAGGAGGAAGAGUCGGCGGUUGUAUCUCACCGGUGGCUUUGGACUGCCCAUGGCAGCGAAGAUUCUGAAUGUGAAGUUUUUGCUCCGAUCAAAAUCCUCCCAGUGGGGGGUUUCCGGAGGUGGAGAAAUGGGUAAUUUGGAGGCGGAGUUGGGGAGGUAAUUGAGGAGGGUUAGUCCUGGAGGGGUUUUGGGUAGCCGUGCGCGGACGCCGAUGGAUACCCAGUAAUUUUCCAAUGGGUUUUGGUCGGUGGUAAUGAGGACGGAGUAUGACUCGCCGGAAUAAAUGUCGAUGUCGGAAGUGACAAAUGGUUGAACGUAGUUGCCGUCGGCUUCUACCACUAACAGUUCGUGAUUCUGCAGAAGAAGAGGAGAAAAUAAUUAUUAAAAUUAGUUUUAAAUUCAUGGAUAAACAUUAAUGUUGAAAGUUGAAGAUAUUAUUUAGUGAAAAAUUAAAGUUUAAAAAUCUAAAAUUAAAUGGAAAUGAACAAUUUGAAACUUAUAAACUAAAAAGGAGAUUAGAAUUUUUUGUUCAUAAUUAUUCAAGUUUACUUUUGAUUAUUUUUAUUUUGAUUUUCAAUUACUAGUUUGAAGCAUGAAUAUGAAUUAUUAACAUUCUAACAUGCAAUUAUUCUAAAAAGGACAAAACAAAAAUGAAAUUUUGAUCCAUUUCUUUCACCACUGAAAAAGGCUAAGAUUUUGUUUUGUGUAAUUAUUAUGUGCAUAAUUAGAGAGAGAUGGACCUCAUUUUGUUAUACCUUUGACAAGGAAUUAAAUAAAUCUUCAUACUUAACAUACUAUAGAUUUCAUUUAAGUGUAGAAAGAUUUGUAUUUAGUACUCUACUUUUUUAUUAUUUUUCUCCCUUUCCUUUUUUGUUUAUUAUUAUUAUUAUUAUUACUUUCUUUAUAAUUUUCUUUUAAAAAACUAUUCUAUAUCACCCAACUUUUAUAAAUAUUUACUAAUAUAACAAAUUGAUAUCGAUCUAUCAUCUAACUUAGUCUAUCAUAGUCCAUUUUCCAUAAUAGAUAAAAUAUGAAUUUUGCUAUAUUUUGUAAAUAUUUUGAUUUAUUUUAUUAUCAUCUAAAUUGAAUUUUAAAAUAAUAUUUUAUUAUUUUUUUAAUAGUUUUUGUACCCUAAAUUUAAUAAUAUAUUAUAAAAUCUUGUUUAGAAUUUUGUUUCCUAAAGUAUAAAUGUAGAUCCCCACCACAGUACAUCUAGAUCUCAAACAUUUAUGUGGUAACCUUCAACUUUAACAAUUAUUCCAUAAAACAUCUUCCCCAUUAUUAAAAUAAAUGAUAAAAAAAAUGAGGCAAUAGUUUAGAUAUAAAAUCAAAAGAUGGGAUAAGAUCACAUAUUAUUUUAAUCAAAUUAUACAAAUUUAAUCAUAGUAGUUGGGAUAAUUUUAGGAGUUAGUUCCAUAGUUUAUAAAUUACAUAUAUUAUUCACAACUAUUAGCAUUUAUUUCAUCUAGAAAGAAGCAUUAAAACUAUUUAUAAUGUAAAAUCACCUUGGUACCUCAAGGGUCACAUCAAUAAAUAAGAAUAAGAUAUAGUAAAUAAUAUCACUUAUGCUUUACAAUUUCUUACAUAUUUGUUACUUCUCAAGUGGGUUUAUAUAUGUGUGUGUAUAUAUAUAUAUAACUAAAUAAAAGUAUGAUUAAAAUUCUAUAUUAAUAAAAGUACAUAUAUAGAUAUUUUAAGUUUAAGAGUAACAAUCAACUCUCAAGUAAUAUUUUUAAAACAAAGUGAAGCAUUUAAGUGUUAUAUAUAUAAUUGGAUUAGAAAAAGAAAAGAUAAAAAGUAAUAUGAAUAGGACAAGAAAGAUGGGAGCAAAACAUGUGGGAUACCUAAGAGAAGAGUUGGUCAAUGGGAAUCACAUCAUAUUAUCAAUACCAAUAUGUCCAAAAUGUCAGAAAUGUUAGAUUAGGUUAUCUAUUGUUUGUACUCUCCCAAACACUGCUACAUGUGUUUAAAAGUAAAUUUAAAUAUUAUCUCUUAAAUUGCUAUUUUUAAAUACAAUGAAAUAUUAUUAUAUUAUAAAAUUUUGUUAUAUUUAUAAAUAUUUAUGUAAAAAUUUAUAUAUUAAAGGUGGACGUGGAUUAAAAUAGAAGAGAUUUAAUGUAAAGUUUAAAUAUCAAAACGAAUAUUUUAAAGUAUAAUGUGAUAUAUUAUACUCCAGAAUUCAAACCCUAAUAUUCUUAUAGUCAAUUUUGAAAGGAGGGUAAAGUUGAUAAAAUGGCUUUUGAUUGUUUGGUAGCUAUUAUUCUCACUAGUGAAAGAGAAGUUUGUGUGUUUUGGUUAGUUUCCUCUCUCUCUCACACACACACAUAUAAUAUAUAUUUGCUUUCACUAACUACUCCCACUUUUAGGACUUUAUGAGUCAAAACCUUUGAAAUUAUUGGAAGUAAUUUUCAAACAAAAAGCAACUUUCAUACUUCUAACACCUUUUUAACAUAUGGUUUGAUAAAGCUUAAUUAUUUCUUUUGUACAAUUUGUCAUUGGAUGGAGUUACUUUAUCAUGUUUCUUUUAGAUUCAUUCGUCGUGAUUGAAAUUGAACUACUUAUUAAUUUACUCGUUGAGGCUAUUUGAGUGAUUUUUGGAUGUUUAAUUGUUUAAAUUUGAUGAUUUUCGACUGUAAUAUCGAUUUAGAAAGUUUAUUUGGUCAUUACUAAAGGUUAAAUAUCUUUGAAAACUGCUACAAUUAUUUAAAAUUGAAAGAUUAAAUCAUAGAAAAUACCUCAAAAUUGUCAUUUGUUUAAAAAAAAUUAUACCUUCAAAAGUUUAAUACAUACUAAACGUGGAUGGAAUGAAGGUGCAUCGAACUAUACACCAAAACACACAUCCAAUGCCAAAAGUGAAAAUAUUUCAAAAUUACUACGAAAUAUUUACGAAGGGUUAGAGGUAACACUUGAAGGUUUCAAUAUUACUUCUAACUUUCAUAAAUAUUUUAAAAUUUCCUUCGUGACAUGUUAAUGAUGUGACAGUGACCCGUUUUAUUACAUGAUUUCAAGUUUAAUUUUAUGUAUAAGUUAAUACAAUCACAAUAGUUUUGAAAAGACUAGAUACCUAACUUCAAUAUAAGAUAAUUUUGAGACAUUCAUGCUAACAAUUUUGUUACUAAUUUUUUAAUGUAUUUAGUCUUUAUGUUUUAAUCCUUUACCGUUCGAUAAAAAUUUCAUUAAAUAUAUUCAAUCUAAUUUAAAGAUUUUAUCGAAUCAUAAAAACUAAAUUCUACUUUUUUUACGUGAUACGACUAAAUUUGUGACUUAAACCAAAAUGAAAGAUAAAAAGAAGCAAGACUUACUCCAAUGGCAAAGUUGAGGGAAGCCAAGGCAGUGGUACUAGCAAUUCUUAUCCGAUAAGUUUUCUUGGGUUGAACAUGUAGGAUAAAUGGUGCACAUUUUUCUUUUCCACUCAACUCACAUUGCUUCAAACCUUGGUUGUAUUUGGCUGCUAUUGAACAGUCAAAUUGCCCUUUCCCAUUUAUCAAUAUGCUCUGAAAAAUAGUAAAAACACACAAAUAUACGAAGUUACAAUAUUAUUCUUGAACAAAUGUGAAGUAUAUAUAUAUAUAUGCAGAAUUUUAGAUGGAAAUUAAGACUGGAGAUGAAAUGUAUGGUGUUGGCAUGACAAAAUUUUACUUUAUCUUAUAUUCUCCCUAAAUGAAUUUUCAAAAUUUCGUAUUUUGUUUGUGUUAUAUAAAUUGAAUAUAUUUCAAACAAGGGAGGAUUGAUUUUGAAAGUGGGAGAAUAUAUAUAUUUUCUCCAAAUAUUUUUUUCUUUUGUUAGGAGCUAUGGCUUAACUUAGUACAUGUAUAUAUAUAUGUGUGUGAGAAAAGAUAUACAUGUGUUGUUUUAUCCUUGUAGUUUGAACAUGGUGUUCUUUUAAUUAGAUUAUACAUUAGAAAAUUAUUGAAAAAAUAUUACAUUAUAUUGAUAGAUGUUGAUAAAAUUCUAUCAAAUUCUAUUUGUGCAUUGAAAUUGUGAUCAAAUUUAAAAAAAUUUAUUUUUAUAAUGUAUUGGUUAAUUUUGUUUUUUAAAAAUGUUCGAUAUAUAUACUUAUCUUUUAUACCUAAACAAAGAAUAUUUUAAUUUAUUAAGCUUUCUUUUUAAACAGUGGAUUAUUAUAAGAAAAAGAAAGAAAAGAAAAGAAAUGGUCAUUGAAUUAGUUAAUAAUUUAAAUUAAGGAAAUUGAUUUAAGGGUAAGAAGGACAAAUUAUAUACCCACCAACCUCUCAAGUCUAUUCAAUCUACUAACUUUUCUUUUUCAAUUUUCAAAAUGCUUUAUUUAACAAAAAUAUAUUUUUUUUAACAAAUGAAAGCAGAUUCUUGAAAAAAAAAAUAGAAUGAAACUACUUACGAAAUAUAAAUAAUUUCGUCACCUAUUCAACGUUAUUCACAAGUUUGUAUGCAAAAAUAUAAAAUAAACAAAAUUCAGAAUAUGUACUUACUUACAAGUUUAAAUAAUCACUGACAUACAAAACCUAAAAAGUUAUGAACACUUAUUUUAUAUUUAUAACAAUUGAAGUCAAUUAUUUAUCUUGUUAUCAAACAAAUAUAAACCAAUCAUACAUUGAAAUUUUCAAGUCAAACAGUACAAGAGAUGAAGAAAAAAAUGAUCACACACACACACACUUCAAGAAGAGGAAUGGAAAAGGACAGAGGAAAAAGAAUAAUUGGUGGAAUAGUGGUUUUGGUUGUGUAAAGCAAAUUUCAGCGAUGCAUUUUUUCUCAACUUUUUCUCAUGUGUAAUAAAAUAGGAAAGAAAACAAUUAACUUUAAAAGUGGUUUGUUGAUCAUCGUCAUUUAAACAAUAAUAUCCAAAUCUCAACUUUACAUAAUGAAUAACACUUCUUGAUUUUGAAAAAAAAAAAACAAUUAAUUUUUACGCUUAAUUAUGUUAAAAACUUUGUGUUGAAAAUGUGUUUUAAAGUUAUAAAUAUGUUUAAUUAUGUGUUAAAAGUACAUCUUUAAUUUAAAGUUCUACUCGUUACAUCAAUCUCCAUCUUUUUUAAAUUAGUAAGUAGGGAUCUUUUUGAAAUACAAAAGAACAAAAAUUAAACUUUUCUAACCAGUUAGUGAAAAGAAAUUAAACUUUUCAAAAUUAGAGGCAUGUUUCAAAAGCUAAUGAGUCUUCUUUUUUUUUCCUAAUUUAACUAAAUACUAAUAAAUGAUUGUCAAUUCAUAGUUGAUAAAGUAGAGAUGGACCAAUUGACACUACUUUAUUCAUACAUAUUGUCAAAAAGAACUAAAAAAAGAAUACUUAGUUGGUAAAGCACUAAUUACCUGAGGCUCACCAAUCCAACGCAUUGGUUUGGAGCUGAGACCAACUUCUUGCUUGUGAACACUCUGAUGCCACCAAUCACUAAGCAAUAAGUUGAUCUCUUCGUCAUAAUGGAAUGGCUCAGAUCUUCCUUCUGGUGGAUCCACUAUCAAAGAUCCAUACAACCCAGCCGAUCUUUGCAUCCCUAAAUGGCCAUGAUAGAAAUAUGUCCCAGCCUACAGUAAAAUAUGAAUAAAUAUUAUAAAACAACUUGCAAUAUUUCCUAUGGACUCAAUACGUUUUAAACCCUUCUUACCUUAUCUACCACAAACCGGUAAGUGAAGGUCUCACCCGGGUUAAUGGCACACUGCGAGAUGGAAGCAGUGCCAUCAGCCCAAGGAGUACCUCGUUGUAGGAUUCCAUGCCAAUGAAUAACAACACCUUCAGUGUGGAGCUUGUUAGUUAGCUCCACAACGACGAUGUCGCCAGCGUUGGCUCUAAUCGUCGGUCCAGGGAACUCGCCGUUGAUUCCCAUAACAAUGUUUUCAACACAAUCUGGCGACCAAAACAUGUACUCAACAUCCCAUUUGUAGUGUUUUAUUUUGGGAAAACCUGCCUCAGAGAGAGUUAUUCCAAAUCCAAAAAUGAUUGACAAAACAAGGAAGGAUAGAAAAGGCUUGGGGAAGAAAGGCUUAUCUGCAACUUUUGCCAUUUCGAAGGGUUGAGGAGAUGAAAGGGAAGAAUAAUGAUGCAAUGAGGAAAAAGGAAGAAAGGAAAAAAGUGGGAAGUUUGUGUGUAAGAUGCCACUAGAGUUUGCAAUUUGCCUCCUUUUUAUAAUGAAAUUUUGAGAUAUUUUGUUUACCCACUCCCUCUCUUUCGUUAAGUCAAGUGGUUGAUUUUAAUUCUAAUUUUCAUUUUUAUUUUCAUUUGUUGUGUGUGUGUAUAAUAUAUAUAUAUAUAAAUAUAUAUAAUUAAUUUGUGUGUUUAUACUUUUUUCUUUAAAAAAUUACUACAAAAGAAAUGGAAACUGUCUCUCAAUCAAUCUCAGACCUAUAUGAAAUGAGAGACAUCUAUGGAAAGAGAUUAAAUUCAAAUGUAGGACCCUAUAAAUGUUGAUCUAUAAUAAUUAAAUUAUAUAUAUAUAUAUAUUAGGUUUGCUAUAUAUAUACACACACUAUGAAAGAUUCCAUUUAUCUUUUAGGUUGUUUGUUUUUUGGAUCUAGAUAAUAAUCAAAGAGCUAGUUGUUUCAAUGUUUGGAUGUAUUUAUUUGACUAAGUUAUAAAGUAAUGCUUGAAAAUAUCAAUAUUAUUAGUUAUGUUUGCUUUGUAAAAUUUGUGUGCAAGAAAUAUGUGUGUUGAGAAUUAUGUUAUAUACCAAGAUUGUUCAAACAAAUUUUAGGCAACUUAAAUUAACAAUAGUUCGAUACAUUGUUAUGGAUACUUUUUGGGUUAAAGUAUAAAAUCGAUAUGAUGAUAAAUAAGAGAAAGUCAUCGGGUGAUCAAGAAAGCAACAAUAAAUAGGGGCUCGCUAUCCGGCCAAGAUAAUAAAAUUGGCUUAAAGAAAAGAACUAAUUUGUCCCGAUUGGUUUGCUUCGACCAAGGCUGAACCUACACAAAACAUAUAUCGUUACAUCCCAUGCAUGAUGUGAGCUCACACACGAGCCUUAAGAAGAGGAUUGACUUGACCUAAAACCACUUCGAUCGACUCUACUUUGUCCUUUGUGAAGGCUUAACUCACUAAGUCAAACCUAUUUUAAUGUUCUAGAACAAAUUAAAAGAGAAUAUUUAGAAGCUUAGGAAAACACUCUUCCUAAUUAAGGAGAGGAGAAUCCAAUCACCCGCUUUAUAAAUAAGAUGGUAAAAAGACAUAAAAUGUUAGUCGUUCUCUCUCCAGUAACAUCAUACUAUAAUAAAAUCUUUAGAUCAUUUUCCUUGUUUUAAGUAACAAAGUGUGUGACGCCCUAUAUCAUACCAGUGUGUCGUUCUUGCUAAUUAACUCGUAGUUGAUCUUCUUCACCAAAAUAUAUAUUUAUCAUAGUUAUCGCUUUGAGGUCAGAUCAUUUUACCUGCUCAAAUUUUAGAAAAUUAUUUAAAUUCAUUUAACAUGUUUUCUUCGUGGUAAAUUUAUUUAUUCAAUAUUUUAAUAUUUUAAUUUUAUAUCAAUUAGGUAUACACUAACUUUAUUGGUUGUUAAAUUUUAUUUAUUCAACUUUACUUGAUGGUGAUGGUUUUGUAGGCCUUCGGGCAUUUUGGUUCUUUAAUCAAUGAAGUUCUUUUGAAUAUACAAUAUAUGUAUGUUGUAUAUAUAUGAUUUAUUAAAUUGUAAUCAUUUUCAAGAAAAGACAAUUAAUAUUUAAUUAUGAUAGUUUUAAUAGAUCACGUUUAUUUGAUUGCAAGAUUAUAAUUUUUUGUGUGAUUUUUUAGUACAAAACAUUGACUUACUCAAUUAUCCAUCUCUGAGUCGGUAACUAAUCUAUUUUUAUCUCAAUUGAACUAUAUUGAGUUGAAUAUAUAUAUUUAAUAAUUUAAAUUUUAAAAGUAAAAGUGGAUAAUUAUAUCAAAUAAGAAUAUGAACAGUUGGACACUUAUGAAAUCUAGUACGUUCAUGUUUACAAACUCACUUCAAUUCUUUGAAGAAAAAAAACAAAAUACAUGUUUAAUAUGUUAAGGCUAAACUAUGAGUUUUGAUCCCUAUAAUUUGAAUAAUAAGGUUAAAGUUUUAGUUCAUAAAAUCAAGAGUAAUUUAUUAUCAUCUAACAUAUUGAGGGGAUAACCACGACUACUUUACUAUGUUGAAAUUAUUAAAAUGUUCCCAAUUUCUAAAUUAUGUUAUUAAAUACACAUUGGAAACAUUUCAUUCAAAUUUUUUUAUUUAAAUUUUGUGUUUUCAAAUUUCUAUUUUCAAACUGUCUUUAACCUACAUAUUCAUUUAAUAGAUAUUUUAGAUUUUUUCCAAACAAACAACUUCUUUAUUUAUAUGCUUUGUUCUGUGUUUGUGUUUGCAAGUUAAGUUAACGAUUUGUUGUAUUUAACAACAUUCAAUGAGUCAAAAACUAUAUCUAACUUAAUUAACGAAAAGUAUAUAUCACUUCGAUAAAAAAGUGAAAUUUCAUAUCCUUUUCUUUUCAAAAAUCAAGCAGGGUAGGUCAUAUCAACACGCAUUUUUUUAAAAUAUUGUUGUUUCAAAAAGAAAAUAGUAAAAUAUGGUUGUUGGUAAGAUAUACUUUAUAAAAGGAAUAAAAUAACUGAAAUUAUGAACUAAAACAAAUGUAAGGAUUGGAGUGGGGAAAUGGUGAUGUUAUAUAAAAUAUAGACAAGUUGAGACAAAAGUAAGGAUAAGAAAAAGUGCAUCAAACUUUUUAAUUUUCAAAAAUCAUUCUAUUUUUCUUUUUAUAAUAUAUAUAUAUAUUAUAAAGUUCUAAUAUUUAAUAAGGUAAAUCCAUGUAUAUAAUCUUGCUAUUUAUUUUUAAACUCUCUAACCACCCAUUAUCGAUUGAUGGAUAUAAAAUUUUGAAUAUACAAGAAUUGAAAUAUUUAAAAUCCUAAAAAUGUUCAUUUUUGAAAAUUGGUGAAAUAUAAAAAGUAAAUGUUUGUGUUUAUUUUAUUAGUUUUUGUUUACAAUAAUUCUUCUAAAUUAAAGGUAAUUGUUUUUAUUAUAAGAUUGAUCAAAGUUAUGUUUAUAAAUAUAGGAAUAUUUUCAUUAGCUCUCUUAUCAAUAAUAAAUAUUUUAUUAUUUAGUUUAUAUUUAAUUAAUUAAUAAGGAAUAUUCUCCCUAAAAUUAGUUUACAAAUUAACUAAAAAGUAAUCAAUGAUUAACUUUCUCUCUCCUCUAUUGUUCAUUUUUCAAAGAAAAAUAGGUCUAAUCUCCAAUAAGAACAAUAAUACAAAUUAAUUCAAAGUUUAUACUCCAUUAUGAUACUUUUAUAUUUGGAUAAUAAUUAUCUAUUUAUUAAAAUAAAUAUCCACCGAACAAACGUUAGUUGAUGAGAGAAUACAUUUUCUUUUAAACAUUUUCUUGAAAAUGAGUUUAAAUUUAAACAUUUACAUGUUUGAUUAGAUUUUUUUAUGAGUGUUUAUAUAUGAAUUUUGUUUAAUUUAUCUUAAACCAAAAAUGUUUAUACUUAACUCAAAUUAUACCAUAAAUGACUACUAAACAGUAUGACCUAAUUUCAUAAAAAAUACAUAUAUUUUAAAUUUAAAAAAAUAUAUAUACUUUGAAAUUAAUGGCACAAUCUUUUGGAACUAAUUGUUUUAAAAUUUUGAAAUUAGUAAAGUUAGAACCAAAAACAUUAUUUUUUUAUUACUUUUUUUAGAUAGUUUUAUUUUAGAAGUAGAGGUAUACUGAUAUCUAAAUUCAUAAUCAAGAUAAAAAAUAAAAAUAAAUAAGAGAAAAGAAAAUUAAUAAUAACACCAGAAAUAAAGGGAGCUUGAUUUAUUAUAUUGUUUUAGUAAUUAUUCAAAAUAAAAGAAAGAAAAACGUGAGAUAAAAAUUGCCAAUUUUUCAACUUUAAUUUAUAAAAGUUUGGUUUUUAAUGAUUUCUUUAAAAUGAAUUAUUUUAUAAACGAUUUUUUUAAAAAAAUGCAUUAUUCUAAUUUUUCAUAUACGAAAUUUUUUUUUUACAAAAUUAAACACUUCAAAAUCUCAAUCAAACACAUCAUAAUUCUUAUUAAUUUUUAAUAAACUUUUUGUCGUUUGUAAUUAAGUGUGUUUAUUUAUUUUAUUAGUAGUCUUCAUCUUUUUCUAAUUAAACAAUUUUAGUUCAAUUUUAACACGAAAAUAAGUUUUAAAAUGAUAUAUUAUCAUACCAUGAUUUUGUUUGUGACUUUUUAUAAAAUUAAAUAAACCAAGUGAAGAAAUCAAUAUUAAUUUUCUAACCAUAUUUUUAAAACAAUAAAGACCCAAAAACAAGUUUAAUUACUCUUUUAUAACUAGCAAUAAACUUUUUCUUUAGUACUAAUUAGCAAUAAAUUAUUGAGUACUGUGUUUACAUUAUUCGAACUUAAAUUGUGGUAACAUUGGGUCCCAUUUCUACUUCUAGGGCUUAUUUGGGUUUUCAUUACAAAUCACAAUUUACACUUUUGUUAACCUAAUUUUUUUCUACUCUUCUUUCUUAAGGUCAAUUUUCAAUUAGAAAGUUUCAUAAUAUAUAUAUACACACACUUCGUUUUUCCAACUUUUUCACAUUUUGGUACUUUAGAAAAUAAUAAUAAAUAAUAACUAUGUAAUUUAAAAUUUUCUAUUUGUCCACCCUCGUAUUUUCGUAGUUGUCGAUCAUGACUGAGUAUUUAGCUAUAAAAAGGAUUAUCCAAUAAAUCAUCCAAAAGAGAGUGAUUUUAUUUAACAAAGUAUGGUGGCCGACUCAUCGAUUCAACAAUUAGAAUGACUAAAUAGAUAAUUAAUUUGAACUGAUUAGAAACAUAAAGGUCAACUCUGAGACAAUCAACCAUCAAAGUUAAGAAAAUCAAUUAUGUGGAUUUCAUGAAGGUCGACUCAUAGGGUUAGUUAUGGUAGACAAAUAUAAGGCCUAAGCAUGUAGAUAAACCCAUAGAAAUCAGAGUGGCUAUAUAACGUAAGAUCAAGAUCAACAUUACGAAGGCAAAGAUUAUUAUGCCUAAAUAAGUGUUUUACUUUUACAUAUGUUUGGGUCAUUAGUAAAGUAAAUCCACCACUUCAUAGCGGCUAAGUAACGAUUUGAUUAAUGAAUCAAGAAGUUAAUUAGCAAAUGGUCAUUACAAAUACGUUGUUUUUUUAUAAACAACAGGGUGCAUGAUGCUUGUUCGCUUCCUCUGAACAAGCUUUGAAAAUUCAUGGUUGGUACCGAAGUUUGGUAUUGAAAAAGUAUAAAUAAUUGUUCAUAUUACUUUUGUUCAUAUAAUGUCAUAAAAGGAAUAUUUAAAUGCGUGACAUAAAAGACAAUAACAUAUCAUCAAUUGAGGAGUCAAAUCACCCAUGGAAGAAGUAUUUAUGACAGUGGUACCACAAAUUUCAUACACCCGAUGUUAGCAAGUUCCAAGAUAUGUUAGUAACUCGUUGAAACAAGAUGCUUUUUACAAGAAGCUUUUAGUUCUAAAAUGGAAUAACAAUUUAUUAUUUAUUUGCUUUUAUUUUAAAAUGAAAGUAACAUAUCUUAUUUAGGAAAAUUAAUUUUGAUAUGAAUUUAUAAAUUUUCAAGUCAUUGAAAAAAUACUUUUUUCUAAAUUUAAUUAGGGUUUUAAUCCAAUUUAUUUUGUAUCUAGAAGUUACAAAAGGUUACAUUCUACGUUGAUGGAGUAAAAAUUUCAAAUUGGUUUGAAAAAAAUAUGGUAAGAAAACUAAUUAAUAAUUAUAAUUCUUCAAAAUUAAUUAACAUUAACAAUAAGUACCAAAGGGGUUAUUUAGUGAAAUUAAAUUUAAUUUAAAAGUUAGCCGCAAAAUGAAAAUAAAAACUUAAAACUUGGGUAGAUAUAUAAUAUUUUGAAACUUAUAGAAAAUGAAUCUUAAACUUAAAACUAAUGAUAAAUAUUAUAGUAGUUCAAAAUGUAUAAACUAACAUCAUGUUUACCGAACUAUAAAAAAAAUUGAUGUGAUUAUGAAAAAAAAUUUAUUGAUGGAUCAAUUGUAAUGAACUUGAAUCGUAAAUAUAACUAUAUUGUUUUUUUACGGCGUUUACUUACAAUCAAGAACUUUGUCAUAUUUAUUUUUACUUUUACCUCUAUCUCUUAAGGUCAAACAGUAACGUCGAUAAUAGUAAAAGAUGUCAAAAUUGAUAAUUUUUCAGUUGUAACAAUAAAAAUAACAGUAGAGAUAAUUAUAAUAAUAAAGUUAGCAAUACAAUGUAAUUUUCAAAGGAACGGUUGCAAAAAUAACCAAAAAUGUUAUGAUAAUAGGUUCUAUAUUAUUAUAUUUUAUAAAUUGCAAAAAUAACAAAUUUAAAAAUCGACAACCUUUUAAUAACCCUAUGAUAUAAUUAAUUUUGUCAUAUUAGCAAUAUAUAUAGAAAAAUAAGUGUUGUUGAAUAUUUUUUUCUAAAUGUUUUUAUCAUAUCAUACAAUUUUUUAUUUUGAAACGUAAUGAAAUUAUGAAAAGAAGUUUUUUGGAAAAAUAUAAAAAUUUGAAAAUUUUGAAAUAAUUGAAAAGAAAAGGGAAAACGCGUUAUGUGAUUUGAUUGAAUUGCAAAAGGGCAGGCCGAGGCUGCUCCCUUUAUUGUUUUUGUAUUAUCACAUAUCUAUAUUCAUUUCUCACGUGGGAAAAUGAAAAUAAUAUCUCUUCUUGCUCCCUACCCUUAUUAUCUACUCCUUCCCUUACAUUCCUUUUCUUCCACUUUUCUUUUAAUUUAAGAAUUUUUAGCCUUAAAGCCAAGUGAUAAUUGACAUCUCAUUUUCGAUCUGGCCUACAUGUGUGAGAUUUUGUCUUGGUAAGUUUACCAUAAUAGGAUGGUAACAAAUAAUUAAGGAAACUUUAAUUUUAUAGAGUAGGUCUACAAAAUAAUAAUGAUGAGUAUUUUUAAUAUAGUAAAAUAAAUUGAAAUAUUUACGAAAACAUACCAACAUUUCAUAUUUUAUAUGCUCAAUUUAUAUAUAAAACAUUGUAUAAUUGAAGGUUCAGUCCAAUAAUUGUAAUAUUCAAUGCUUCACUUUACUUCACUAUAAAUAUACUAUAAAUAUUCAAUAGAGUUGUCCAUUAUUUCAAAAGCAAAUGCCUUUACAAUGAGGAUACUGAGAUUUCCAUUCUUUUUUACUUGCAUAUGCAAAACUUUGACUAACAUAAAACGUAUUAAAUUCAACACCAAACAAAUUAAAAUAAUAUACAUGUUUUUUUUCACCCGUUUUAUUUUAGUACAAUAACUAUGAGAGAGAUGAUUGAGUAGACUUUUAAAGAUAAAAUUGAUGUCAAUCAUAUUAACCUAAUUAAGCUCGUUUUGAUAGUAUAACUUUGUCGAUGAUACGUUAGAUUUUCGUAAAGUUAAAAGAUUCAAAAUUGAUAAAAAAAUAAUUUAAAAAAGAAAAGAAAAAUGACAAAAUGGUGAUGUAGGAUUUUUUUUUUCUAUAUUCGUAAAUACAUUGAUAUUUUUUGAAAUACCCCAUUCAAAAUUCUUCUUCAAAUUUAUGAAAUUAGAAAAAUUAAAUAAGUUACAAUUGUUUAAUUACUACAAUUCAACCCAAUAUUAACCAUAUAUAAAUUAAUUAAUGAUUCUUCUCAAAGAAAAAUGUGUAUAUAAAUUAUCACCCCAAUUUUGUGGCACUAAAUGACCCAUUUUGUGCACUAAACAACAACAUUGAUAAUUACUAAUUAAUAUUAAUUAGUUAAAUUUUGAUUGACGGAUGACUUUAAUUAUUUAGUACUCUUAUUGAUGAUCAUCAUCAACUUGGCUUGAUACUGAUAUGUUUAGAAUAAAUGAUUGAUUUACAUUAAUUAUGCAAAUAAUUGUUUAAACAAUUUGAGAUGGAAUAUAAUUAUAAAAAAUGUAUAUGGAGAAAUUUUGAUGCGUAUAAAAAUGUCAAACUAUUUACCGAUAAUAGUAAGAUCGAAAAACACUUAUAGACAUUCAUAAACUUUAUCAAUGAUAUUCGUAUAUCGAUUUUCAUUACUGAUAGACAUCAAUAAAAUUUAUGAUAUAGACUUUUAUAAGUUUCUAUCUGCAUCUAUUAGUGAUAAGAUUAUGAAUUAUUAUCCAAAUAUAAACUAAAUCAAACCACACGAUCGUUAAGUUUGAGAGUGUAACGGUAGCUGCUUGUGUACCACAAAAAUAGUUUUUGAGAUUUAUCGGAUAAAAUAAUAACGUGAGCACAUGGCAAAAUGAAGUACGUUAAAAUAAAGAAAAAGGCAGUCUACCCCACACCAUAAACAUAGCCUUUUGGAGUGGGGAUUGAGACAACUCACUGUCCAUCUUCAAUAACUCAACUUUGUGUGUAACCAUUGCUUCAAUUCAUUAUUGGAUAGGACGUAGAUCUUUUAAGUUCUCUACUUCUACUUCAAACCACAAACAUUUAAAACCAAGUUAUUAUGAUUAUUAUUAUUUACUAUGUUUUUAUAAAUAGAGAUGCGAAUAGCACAGUUGGGAUUGAUUCAGUUAUUUAUUCAUUUCUUUAUGUUGAUCAUAAGCUAAAGAAUAAGAAUAUUGUAAACCAAAAUUGUUUGAUCGAAAAUAAUUUACAAAAUUUUAGAGAUUUGAUUAUCUAUUCCAAAACGGUUUGAUGUGUCCUUAAUAUAACUUUUGAAAUUAAAGGGAUUCAAUAUGGGUUAUCCUUAUACUCAAGUUCAAAAGUUAUUUGACAAUGGAAUAGGUACAUUCCAACUAAUAGGGAUUAAGUUGCUAAAGUGAAGAAUAAAUAAUACACUAAUUUUAAAAAAAUAAUAAAUAUAAGAAAACUCGAGGGAAAAAUCAACUUUUUCUUAACUUGGUAACGUAAAUGAAAAUGAUCGAAACUAAAAAAAAAUAAGGGGUCUUUUUAAAAAUAUAACAUAGCCACAAAAUAUUUACACGAUAUAUAACAAUUUCAAAAAUGGAAAAAAGCCCACACAGAUCCACCGUGAGAAAUACCAAAAAUAUCACGUGAUUAAUUGACAUCUAGUGCGCAUAAUUUUCUAUACCAUCGUUUAGAUUUGGAGUCAAGUCUAAAUGAUUUUUUUUCAAUAUUUUUUGGUACACGAUAGUUUAUAUUUGAAACACAAUCGUUUAUGUUUGAAAAACAAUCAUUUAGAUUUGACCUUUUAAAUUUGGCUACCCAGAUCUAAAGAAUUUUUCUUUUAAAAUUCUUUGUACAUAAUCGAUUUUUUAAAGAUUUUUUGUACACGAUCGUUUAGAUUUGACUAUCUAAUAUCCUAACGAUUUUUUUUUUUUAACAAUCUUUUAUUUUUGGAACAACGAUCUUGAACCAAAUAACAAUUUGAAAAGAAAAAAAAACUGCAGAAGAAAAAGACAACGAAAAUAAGAGUAGAAAUACGAUGAAAACGAAUGACAGACUUGAAAUAUUUUUAAAAAAUAGCAAGUUUGAUGGACUUUUUUAUUUUGUUACAUGGACCGUAAAUGUUUCACUGGACUGUUAUAUUUGUGAAAAUUAACGAAAAAGAAUAAGAGGAUUAUGAUUUUGAAGAUUGAAGAGAGUUGUAGGAGCAUGUGGUAUGAAGUUUGAUGAAUGAUUGUGAUAUGAUUUUAUAUGUUGUGAGAUCCUUUUAUUGCAUGUUGCAUGCCAAAUGAGUUAAGUGGUAAUUAUAUACUCUCUUAAUAGCAACUAUUCACACACUAGUCUUUGUCCCUUCGGGUACACCAAUUACUUUGAAUAUGUCUCACCUAUAAUACUAUAUAUUUAGUUAUUAUUCACUUAAAUGUUUCUUCAUAUAAAAUAUUUUUGUGUAGCUUCACCUCUAUAGUGUACGUAUUUUAAAUAUUCAUCCUUUCAUGAAACGUGUUAUUUUAAUCAACAUUUUAAGGGAUUCCAAAACCUAAGUUUGUUUUGAAAUUCCUACAAAAUUAUUUUACUCAUGUUUUAUUUAAUCAUCUAAUAAAGAUGUUUAUUUUAAGUAAGGAGGCCCCCUACUAUAAUUAUCUAAAGGAUCAUUUGAUUCAAUGUUUAUCUUGACGGUCAUGUACGUCAAGAAAAGCCUUCUUGUUUUGUUGAAGGAAAUAUGACAAAAUGUAAAAAAGAAAAUGUGGAUUCUUAAUUUUCUUGAUGGACAAAGUAAAGUUUUCUUAGUUUUAUUGAUGAUUCACAAACGUCAAGAAAACUAUUUCUUGAUGGACAAUACACAUCCAGGAUAAUAUAUUAGUUGGACUGACAAUAUUAGGUUUUUUUAUGAACGAUACCCAUCAAGAGAUGAAUUUUUGUGAUUCGCAAUAGCCAUCAUUGAAAAAAAUUAAUAUAUUUCUUUUGAAUUUCUUGAUGGGUCUAGGGUUUCUUGAUAGACAAAGACAAAAAAAAAAAAAAAUUAUGGGCAAUAUCCAUCCAGAAAAAUGGUAUGCUCGUCAAGAAAUUUUUUUAUAAUUUUGGGUUUAGGAUAAAAUCAUUUGUAUGACCCAUUAAGAAAAAUGAUAUGUCCAUCAAAGAAAAAAAUUAUUUUUCACAAAACACGAAAUUUAGACCCUUGUUAACCGACUCAGUGAGCACCAUAUUCAUCAAUAAAUGCCUUAAACAUUUACUAUUUUUUUUUCAAUUAUUACUUUCUAUUCAUCAAUAAUACAAUAUUAUUUUUCUAAAAGUUAAUUGUAUUAUUACUUUUCUAAAAGUUAAUUGUUUUAAUUAUAACUAGAUUGAAAUAAAUGUCUUUAUCAAAAUAAUUAUUGUGUUUAACUUUAAUGAGUUUUGAAGUUUGUAAUUUAGGAUUUUUAAAAUUUGUAGAAACUGGUUAACAUGAGCUUAGUUCAACGGAAACAUAUAUGCACAUGUGGCCAAGAGGUCCCCAAAUUCAAAUAUCACCACUUGCAUUAAAAAUUUGUAGAAGCUGUUUAUAAAUUUGGAAUUCAACGUUACAAAUGUUAGUACAAGAAUCAAUUAGCAAGGAGCUAAGGUGGGUGUGAGAAAAGAUGAACUCAAGAUCAUGAAGAUAAAGUCUCGUGUGCAUGUAGUGGCGGACGAUAAACUCCAAUUAACUAGCGAUUAUCAUUUUGAUAAAAUCUAAGAUUUUACUAUAUUUUACAAAUAUUUUUAACAAUUUUUUAAUUAACUAUCCAUUUCCUAAUAUUUAAAUAACUUUGCAUACUUCUUCAAAACUUUUAGAUUAAAUUAAAAAAAAAAAGUUAUAAAGAAAAAAGAAAGUUAGAAAAUGUCAGAAAAGUCAUGAAAAAAAGCUAUGGUUCACUCCACAAGUGACAAUUGCUAGAAAAUGAAAAACUGCCAAAAGGCAACAAAGGAAAAACACAGUUGCCCAACCUUUAUCAUAUAUAUGUAUCAGUUCUUUUCCAUCACUGUUUUGGACCAAUUAGUUCAUGAUUUAAAUAUGAAAAUACAAACACAAAAUGAGAAAAAAGGGGGGGUUCACUUCACGUGAAUCACUAAUGCCCACACCAUAACCUACUGCCCCAUCGUAAUUAAUGUAUUGUUACACACAAAAUCCCAAAACUUAAACAUCCUGUACUGUGCUAGAGGGUGACGGUGGGUAGUGCCAUUUGCCAACCCAAGCGGGCACCAAACAACGAACCCAACAUCGCAUCGCCCUUGUAAGCAGCAGUCUACUCAACAAAAUCCACAAGCUUCGUAUAAUAACCAUCCCCAGCCAAGUUUAAUUUAUUGCACUGAUAAGAAUCAGUACAAUCAGACAAACUGGAGGGGAGGACCAAAAGAGUUUACUCUAAAGAGACAAACCUAAUAGUAAUUGCUUCAAGAAUUUUGAUAUUUCAUUUGUAUUCAACCUUGGUACAACUUGCAAAAGAAACCAAACAUUUUUAAUGCUUACUUUGAAGUUUUGAGAAAUCAUUGAUACACACGUUUUAAUUUUGAGGAUUAAAAAAUGUAAUUUAUUCUGAAUUCUUCUAUCAAAUUAAAAUAUUAUUUAAGUUUUUUAACUUGCUUCCUGUUUUGACUCACAAACUUCCUCACAAAAAGUUAAAUAAUUACUCAACUCUACUAAUAUUGAAGUUUGUAUAUUGAUUGAAAAACUCUAUCAAUGAAUCCAAUUGUUUCCCCCGCCAAUGACAAAACUCGGGUGAUAUUCAUUGCUAAAGACAUGCUUUGAUGACCACUUCUAAUGUCUAACUUCAGAAGCACCUGUUGUUGAUGACCACUACUGCCCUAUUCCAACUACAAUGGUUUGAUGACCACCUCUGGCAGCAAACCCCAAUAUUUUACCACCUCCAACAAUCCUCUCCCGCGACCACCUCUGGCGUUCAACUCCGCUUAAGUACUACUACCUCCAACAACCCUACAUUAGUGAUCACCUACAGUGACCAACUGCGAGCACCAAGUUAUUGAUCAUCUUCAACAUUAACUCCCAAUGACCAUCUCAAUCAAUCAUAUACUAGAAAAGCAUGAUCAUUAGUGAAAGUGUUUUAUAAGCAUAAAAACAAUGGGUUAACAGGUACACCCAGAUCAUUUCCACUAGAUGAACAUCUCCUUUAACACUCUUAGCAUUCCUACUUUAUUGAUGAUCAAGAAAUACAAUACAUGAAGCAAGGAACAAGUAAAAAGGGCUAGAAAUAAGUCAGAACAAGAUCCUAAAAUUAUACAAAAGCUUGAAGAUUUACAACAAUAAAGCUAACAAUGUAAUUGUUAAAGAGAUUUGAUCUACUAUUCCAAUAUCUGGUGAGAGUUUGAAUGUCUUCCCUCCACCAUGGAACUAUUCUUAUUCUUGAAAUUUUUGUUGUUCUUCUCAAACCAAAUGGUCCAAAGGAACAAAUGAUGUUAAAAACAAUAGUAUCUAUUUUCCUUUUUUAUGCCACAGAUGUUCUUGCAUAAUGAAGCUAUAUUGUUCAUAAUGUUUAACAAUUGUCUUAUAUAGUAAUCUUACAUUAAUAUAAAUACUUUAAUUUGAGCAUUACAGUCAAACCAAGAAAUUGUGUAUGAAAACACUUCAUGAGAAAAUGAACCUAAUAACCCAUUUGUAUUUUUUAAAAAUAGUUUUUAAUUAUAAGAGUUAAAAAUGCAAAUGACUUUCUAAAAAACAUUUUACAGCUCAACCAUUGGAUACCACCAUGAUUGCAUCUUUUCAAAUGCUCAACUUCUUUCUUCAACCCUCAUUACAAGUAUAAACUCUAAUGAUUUUAUUUUUAUUUUCAUCCAAAAUGUCCUCUCGUAUCAUUCAAGAUAGUUAUCCUUUCAUAUAUACUCAUUGUUGCGAAAUCAACAAUUAAAUAAUAGAAGAAUAUAAAGAUCGACAUAAAAAGAUAUGUGUGGUUCAUUAACAGUGUAUUAGCUAUAUUCACGUAUAGAGAAAAAAACAAAUAUUAUUAGAGCGAAUGUUUUCACAAUACAAUAUAUGACGUCACUGGAUUAGAAAGUUUAUAUAUAUGCACUUCUCUAAACCUUAAGCUUAAAAUCAUAAAUAACAACAUAUGCACAUCUCAAUUGUUUAUUUAGUGCCACAUAAAGAACCCAAGAAGAACACCCAUGAUUAUGAUCCUCUCAUCCAUGCAAUGUGCGUGCGACUUCGAUCACAUUCCUAAUACUAAAAUAGAGGCAUAAUACACUGCAAUCUACAAUUUGACAUAAUGCCAUACAAAGUCCUAUGCCACCCCUUGAUGAAGUACUACGUUUUUUAUGCAUUUUACUUUGAUACAUUCUAAUUUCUACUAUUCAGAAAGUGUAAAUUUUUUAUGUUUAAUUUGUGUAAAAUAAUAGUAUUUUGCAAACCUCGAGUAGAAUGGUUACAUAUUUUUAGGAGAAUUGUGACUAGCUAGAGAGAGUCAUUAGGGUACAAUUAGUUUUACUCACAUUAUAAUUAUGGUCUUUUUUUAAUGAUCAAAUUACUUAAAUCAUAUAUAAUUAUAUGAUUUUUUAUCCGUCGUUGGGAUUAAUAAUUGGAAAAUUACAUCAAAUAACAAAAACAUUUAGAAAAAAAACAAUUCACGACACUAAUUAUUUUGCAUAUUGUGAAUAUAAAAAAAAAGAGUGAUAUCAAAUGAUUAUCAGACAGUAAUCGAAGGACUAUCAAACGAUGGUCAUAAGACUAUGAGACAAUCACCACUUUUAUAUUUGUUAAUUUUACAAAUUUAGAAAAUAGUGUGACAUGAACUCUAUUAUCAUAAAAAAAAUUCUAUUUUUGCAAAAGCCUCUUAAUAAUUGUGUCUCAUCAUCGUGAAAAUCAUCCUAAUUUAUCUAAUACAUUAUUGGAAGAAAGAAACUUUCAUAUUCUUUUUUCAUAGCUAUUCAUUAUUAAACAUGAAAAUAUAAAAGAUGGACAUUGGCAUCCAACAUAUUUACUAGAGCUAGUUAUAUAGUUUAGUAGUUAAGAUAUAUAUCUGUAUACUUUUAACCUCAAACGUCAAAGUUUGAUGUGAUUCCAACUCUACAAUUAUUGAAUUUAGAAAACAUGCAUAUAUACAUAGAUUAGAAAAAAGUAUAUAUUAAAAGCAUGAAAAUUUUUCCAUUGAUCUUGAAAUUGUAUAGAGUAAAUAAGGGACCUUGGAAGCCAUUUAGUAGCAUCAUUUUUCUGUCGUAAGCUUUAAGAAUUAAUACUACUUACUACUUGUUCUCUAAGUCAUCACGUCUCGGUCAUGUUGGCGAUUGCAAAUUGUUGGAAAAAUAAAUAUCAAUCAUUAUUAUGUUGUAUGUUGAACCACUGUCUUAGAAACAAAACUUUGGUCCAAUCUUAGUGCUAAAUCGCAUAUAUUGGUUGUUCCACAAGAUUAACACAUCUCUAUUGCUCUUAAUUUAAAUGUUUUUGUAUAAUCUACUUUUUCGGAUUGGUUUCUGACUUUGGAUCUCCCUUGGACUUUCCUCUAGUCCUUAUUUUUGCUUCCUUGCUUCAUGUACCUAUCGUUUAUUAUUAAUAGAACGAGAAUGAUGAUGGUGCUACAAAUGUGUCUACCUAAUGAAGAUGUUUCAGUGCAUCUGCUAACUCAUAUCAUAUUUUUUUAGAAAAAAACGUAUACUUCUCUAACUCACCGUGGAAUGGAAUCAAACAAAAUGUUACUCAAAACAAACAAAUGAAAGUUUCAAAAAAGAAGAACCACUCCCAUCACCAAAAUCUUUCUUCAAAUAUAUAUAAUAGUUUUAAAUCUAUAAUUUUUAGUGCAUUAAAAUAUAUUAUUAUAACCACAAAACCAUUAAAUAUUCUAAUAAUUAUCAUUGAAACAUUAGUUAUAAAUCAUUACAAUAAUAGUCAUUCAAUUACACAAAUAUCCUAAAACGAGGCACAAAUCAUUACUAUAUAAAUUCAACUCGUAAUCGUGGCAAGUAUUAAGAGCAUCUUGAAUCAUCUAACAGCAUUCUUCUACCCAUUGGUUGGGUGGAUCAAAAUCAGUUGCAAUAUCAACACAUCCUAAUAAUAUGUAAUCACUUGCAAUUGGUGGAGGUGGUUGAUCAGCAGUGACAAAAGAAAAGAAAAAAGAAGGUUGAGAACUGGAGAAGAAGAGAGCAAGUGAAGAGGUUUUGUUGGAAGAACCCAAAAGAGGAAAUUCUUAGAGAGAUAUUUUUAGAGGGGUGAAAAGAUCAGUGUGGUAAUUAUGGAAGGGUUUCUAUAGGGUCUUAAGAAAGAGGGCUGUGCAUGAGCGUCCUGGUGGAUAAACUCAUUGUUAAUUAAGUUAGGCUCAUUAUCUAUAUUAAUUGAUUUGCAAAUCUUUAUGAAGUGGAGAUUACAAUAUUUGUUGAUCAUAUUUGCUGUGAUUUCCACUAAAUUACUUUGUCUUUCAGUGUUAGUGUGAUUUAAAAUAAGCAGGCAUUCGGUAUUUUAAAACUCAGUUAUUCCUCUCAAGUUGCAAUGCUGAAGAUAUUAUUGAUGAACAUAACAAAGUUAAUUAGUGGGCUAACCCAUUUUCUAAGAUAUUGGGGAUGAAAAAAAAUAAUUUUAAUAAUAAGUAUGCAAAACCUAAUGGGAAUUUGACUUUUCUCCAUGUCCAAACCAAAAUUAUCUCUUUAUGAAAAGAAUCAUUAAAAAUAUUUUUUAUUGGCAAUGUCAUCCAACCAUUUGUAUUAGGUUAAUCCCGAACAACGAAAUUUUACGUUCACCCCAAACUUAAAUCGCUCUCAAAUUUUGUGAGUAGAGAUUUCUUGAUUUGCAUACUACUUCAAACAACAAAUAUUUCAUGAUUGACAUGACUUAUCAAAAAAGAGUUACCUUGACUUUUCAUGGCUAUCCAACGAAUUCAAAAACUGAAAAAUCAUCAUUUUUACGAGAGACGACUUACAUAUUUAAUUUGUUUAUCAAGGAAGGUAAUUUUCUUGACGAACGUGCACAUUCAAGGUAAAUAUGAACAUUUAUUGUAUAAAAAAGUAUUUUUUUUUUAUGGUCAAGAAAACUAAGUUUGUGUGCGUAAGAAAAACAAAAGUUUAAAUGAAACAAGAGCAUUUUGUCGGCCAUAAAUAAUACAUUACGUUACGUACGUAUACAAAAAGAAAUGUAGAAUUUAUGUCUUAAGUUAAGUUGAUAUAUAUUUUUGUACGGUAAAUAUGUGUGUAACUGUAGUGUUAAACCAAAAAUUAAGCAAAAAAUUUAGUCUAGUUUUAGGUCAACAACAAAUGGGAAACAAAGAUUUCUUAACUUCACUGUCAUAUUAAUUUCAGAUUUUAGAACUUUACUCAAUUGGUCACUUAGAAGGCUACGUUUUUUAUUUUCUAUAAAAUAAAGUAAUGUAUUUCAAUAUGUCCUUUCUUUUAUUAUCCACAAAUAAGUUGAAUUGUCCACUUGUCACUCACACAUAAGAUAAAAUAGACAAAUGUUAUCACAUUUAGAAAAGGUAAGAUAUGAUUGUACGUGUAAUCUUGUAAGAUAUGUCGUUUGUGUUUCAAUAAUUAUUCAUGGAAUUCAAAUAAUUAACUCAUCACGUUUCUUGUGGUUCUUAAUUAUAUAAAGUUUUCUUUCUGUCCCAUUGAUUAAAUUACAAAUGUACUAUAUCAUAUAAUUGAUCUCUAAUCACAUCAAUAAUAUGUAAUCAAUUUUUUUAAUUUCUAGUGUGAAGUAUCUUUGGUAUAAUUUCUUUUUUUUUUAUCAUUACUUUAGUUUAUUUAAUUAACAAUAAAUUAUGAAGAUUAAAAAAAUAUCUAACUUUUGAAACAAACGUAUAAGUCAGCUUAAAUAAUGUUACUCUCUAUAUUAUCAAAAGUAUUAAUUCAAUGUAAUGUUCACACCCAAUCGUUCAUGCCAUUAAAUCUUAGUUCGCUUUAAUAAUUGGAUUAUGUUUGUGUGAACGAAAAAAACUGAACUGAGUUUAAGAAAGAAAAAAGUAUUACGAAAAAUAUCAUCUAUAUAUAAAGAUUUGUCGGUAUAUAGCAAAAAAUAUAUCUUGCGAACAAAUUUUAAGUUUAAUCUACUGUAGCCUUUAAACUUAGAUUUAGGUUGGAAAUACGCUCAAAAUCUUACGGCGGUUAAAUAAUAUGAGUUUAUAAAGGAAGAUACAAUUAUUUCUAGUGGUUAUGAACUUUUUAGAAUGUGAAACUCAAAAGAAAGUCUUGAAGAAAGUCGGUCUAAAAGUUGAUAAUAUCAUAUCAUUAGAGUAAUAUCUGACAAUUUAAAUAUUAUUUUUCAAUACAAUUUUGAGUUUAUUUAUUUAUUAUUAUUUUGUAUUUUAAAACUUUCUAAGGCCCCAAAUUAAACUACGUAAAGCUAAGCUUAGGUUUUCAAUAAUCCUUCCUAACUCUUUUUUUCACUAUUCCACGUCUCUUUUUCAAUCAUUUUCAAAUUUUGAGAGAUGGAUCCCACACGUCAUUUUCCACUUUUCUACAUUUUCCCAAUUUCCUUUUCUCUCUCUUUCUUAAUUUAUUUCUUUAUAACAUCCUUUCUUUUUCUAUUUUAUUCCUUUUUUUCCUUUGUUGUCUCUUUCCUUCUUUUUUUUUUUUUCCUUCAUUUUCUUUUUCAUUCUUUUUUUUUUUCCUUUUUUUUCUUCUUAAAAUAUAUAUUUAGAGUGUGUUUGGAGUGGAAAUUUACGACGAUUAGAAAAAUGAUUAUAUGGCUCAAACAUUGUAUGGGUCAAGGUUUUCCAUUUUUGAGGAUUAGGGUUAAAAAACCCUAUAAACUAUCAUACUUUAUCUUUUCAUAACCCUACAAAUUUUCCUACUUCACCUUUUCAUAAUCCUACAAAUUUUUCUACUUCAUCUUAUCAUAAAAUUACACUCAUAACUCUUCUCCCAAACACUUGUUAUAAUAACACUACAAUUAUAACCCUUUCCCCAAACGUAUAUUAUCAUAAUACUAUAACAAUAAUCUUUUCUCCAAACACAUAUUAUCAUAACACUACCAUUCAUAUUACUUCUCCCAAACACAUAUUACCAUAAUACUACCAAUAAUAACCCUAACAUCAAACAUAUAUUAUCAUAACACCAUCAUAAUCUUUUUUUCCCAUAACUCAUUCCCUCCUCCAAACGCACACUUAAAGUUUAUUUUGUAGACUUUUUCACUUCCUAUAUAUGAAUUAUAAUUGUUCUUUUUCCAUUGUUUACUCGUAUAUUCAAUAACUCUUCUCUUUACAUUUUAUUUUUAUUUGUUUUAGUACAAUAAUUUUAAUAAUAUAAGUUUGUAAUUAUAUGUUUUCUAUUACAUGGGCACACAAAAAAAAUAAAUUAAUGAAAACUAACGAUUCAAGCUAAAUUUAUGAAAUGAGUUUGAACGUCACAAUUAAGAAGAUUAAAAAAAUUAAUUUGAAGCAAAAUUUUGUAUUUCAUAGAAAAUAUAUAUGCAUAAAAAAAAAAAAGAUUAGUGCAAAAGAAAGAUUGAAGCUUAAUUUAUGAUAUAGACGUAGUAAUUAAAAAACUUUUUUCAUUCUGAUGUACCAUAUAUAUGCAUGCAAAAAAAAAAAUGGUAAAAAGUAACAAUUAAUAAUAGCAGUUUUAACGUUGUAAUUAUGAUGAAUAAGGAAAAUGUGUUUUAAGAAAAAUAUUGCAUUUCAUGAAAAAUAUAUGUGGCAUGGAAAGAAAUAUUAGUGAAAAUGCAAGAUCCAAGCUUAAAUUAUUGCUAGGAAUCUUGUAAUUAGAAGCUUACUUAAUUCGAUGUACAUUAUAUAUGUAUGAAACAUCACGAUUGAUGCUACAUUUAUUGAAUGAAUAUCAUAAUAAAAAUUAUUUAAUAAAAUCAAUUUAUGAAAAUCGUGUAUUGGAUCUACAAUAUAUAUUUUAGUGAAAAAAAUUUAUAAAAAACCUAGAUUGUAAUAGUCUCCACCCAAAAUACACAGUUUAUAAUAACACAUAUUAUUAUCAUAUAUAAAACACAAAUUAUCAUAGUCUACAACCCAAAUGCAGACUAUCAAAACAGAUUAUAAUAGUGUAUGCGCUCCAAACGUAGACUAUCAUAAUACUAGAACUAUCCUAAAUCACUCGCUCCCUAACGUCCCUUUAAAUAUAUGUAUGAAAAUUUUGUUUUUUAAUUAAUUGAUUUAGUUUUUUUUUUCUUUACUUGUUUUAGGUUUUUCUUUUAAUAUUAUCAAAAUAUCUAUUUAAUCUUUUAAACUUUAAAACAUUGGCCAUUGGGUAGCAAUUUUAAUUUUUAGUUUUUUUUUUUUUAAAAAAAGCUAAAAGCAUUUAAACAUUCUUUCCCUUUUUUUUUAAUCUUUUAUCUACUUCUUUACCAAUAUUUUAACAAUCCAAGUUAAAUCUUGAAAAUUAAAAAAAAAAUUGUAAUUUCUUUCGCAAAUAAUUUAACUAUUAUACAUAAGAAUAUGCAAAUUAUGGUAAAGAAUUUGAAAAUAAAUAUUCUUAGUUAAAAAAAAAAAACAAAAGUAAAAAGAUUAUAGAAUAAAGUCUAGUACAUUUUAAAAAUAUCUCACACGUAUAAUAGAAAUAAGAAAAGUACUUACAUGCAUCUUAGACAUUUUACUUAUGUUUCGUACAUUCCACCAAAUUGUCCAAUCAUAACUUAUCAUAUACCAAAUUUUGCUAAUUUUCUUUUCUUUUAGUAGAGUAUUUUAAUAUGUUUUUAUGUAAAUGGUAAGAAGGGAUGUACAAAUUAAAUGAAAUGCACCUAAGCAUACUUACUCUAUACUAAAUAUUCCCCCAACUUCAAUCAACCCAUGCCAACUUUCAAUACACGACCUAUGCUACGAGAAGAUUUAAAAUAAGGGGAAUGGUUUCGAAUACAGCAAAAAUGAACUAAAAUAUUUAUAAAUUAUAGCAAAUUUUUAUAUUCUCUAUCAACUACAGACACUCGUAGUCACUAAUAGAAGAUUAUCAAUAGUUAUGGGUGUCUACAAUUCAUAGAAUAAUUUAAAAUUUUGUUUUAUUUUAUAAAUAUUUUCACCAAUUUUAUCAUUUACAAUAAUUUUUUUUAAAAUAAACAUAUUUAAAUAUGGGAAUAAACUUUGAAUAAUGUAUAUAUCUCAAAAAUGUUUCCACUCUAAAAUUUUUAGUUUCAUUCCAAUUCAAUAUCUUAAAGUUCAAUAAUUGUUACAAACUUUACCCUAAUUUAUUCAAUCUCUAGCAAAUUUAAUUUAUUCAAUCUCUAGGAAAACAUGUCUCUCAAAAAAAAAAAUCAAAUAACACAAAAGAAAAAAAAACAUCCAUAAUUCAUUGAAUUAUUAAAAGCAAACAAACAUUACACCAAACGAAGCCUGCAUAAGAUCAAAUUAAUCGAUCAAAUUCGACUGAAUCAAUAAAAAAACAGAACUUUAGAGCCCCGUUCAGUCAUUAUUCAAUUUUUGGCUUCGAAAAUUUUGCAGUACCAAGUGACAGUUUAAGAAUAUGAUAAUCAUACGUUUUUUUUCCUUUUGUAGAUAUGACAAUUUUUAGUGUGUCAAAAAUAUGAAGUGUAUCGUAUAUAUCAAAGGUGUAUUUUUGUUUUUACUCCCAUCAAUUUUAUAGUGGAGAUAUGCUAAAUUCACAUCAUAAUUAUACUUUUCUAACUAUGAAUUAUAAAAAUAUAUUAAAAGGUAAAAAGUAUAAUAGUUCACACCUUUCGAGGUUUGUAUUCAAUUUAAUUUUUCAACUGACCACUAUAUCAAUUUAAAUUUUAAAUUUUCAAAAGUGUAUUUCUUCUUAAUCAAAAUAUUGUGUUAAACUUUAUUGAGUUUACAUUUGAAAAUCAUCAAAACAUUUAAAAUCCUACACAUGUGCAUGUAGAUGUUUUCGAUCGUCGAAUUAAUAAAAUGAACUAUUAAACAAAAUUGAUAGAUGGAUAAAUUUCAAACAAAAUGUUGAAAAGUAUUCCAAAUUGAUUCGUGAAGAAAGUUUAAGCAUUUAAUCAAUAAAAUUCAAAAACAAAACAAAACUCUUGAAAAGUGUAGGAAUAUAAAUGACUAUUUUUACAAUAAUAUUAUAUUGUUAGACAAAUCCAUAGAUAGUGUAUAUACUAUGCUUAUACUUCCAUCGUUUAUUAUUUGGUGGUAAAGGCACCAUGGAAUUGUGUAGAUAUCAAAUAGAGUGAAAAUCUUUUGUUGGAAACACUUUUUCAUAAUUACCUCAAACAACAAUUGAUGGAUUCAAAGGAAAAGAGGCAAUAAUGGUGGUGGAGGGGUAAUAAUUCCAUCAAAUAAUUAUAUUUCUUUAGUGCAUUUCCUUUAGUUGUAUUUUGAUAAUUAAUGGAAUGAUUAAUUAUUAUGCUCAAUACCUUUUUUUUCAUACCAUAAUUAAGUUUGGUCUUGCAUUAAUGAUAAAGUUUUGAAUUGUACAUGUAUGAUGAUUUUUAACUAUUGUAUUUUUUAAUUUUGUUACGGUACAACUAUGGUGGAUGGUUAACAGUUAAAUGAUGUUAGUUCUUAGUUCAUAAUCAACAGGAAGCUAUUAGAUUAAAUUACGAUAACGAUUUAAUGGUUGGAAAGACAAUUUUGGAAUACAAUGGUGGUAGUUUAUAUGUAGCCAACAUCAUAUAUUUUCAAGCUAAGUUUAAAUAAUGGAUGAAAAAAAUGUUUCAUAGUCCAUUUUAACUUGUCAUUCCUAUAAACUAAGAAAACUCCAUUAUCAUUGUCUCUUCUUUCUUUGUUAAAAUACAACUCAAUUCACAUCAUGAGAAAAAAUGGUUAAGUCAUAGAGAUUAGGAUCAAACCAUGGGGACUGUUUUUAAGGUUUUAUAUAAAAAAAGAGCUGACAGAAAAAAUAGCAAAUUAAUUUACUGGUUUAUUUUAGAUAAAUGACAAAAUUUAAUUUAAAUCGAUAAUAUAGCAAAAUUGUUAAAAAUGAAAAGCAAAAAAGCUGCAAAAAGACGGUGAAAAAAACCCAUCACAAAUAUAAUUAUUUCAAAACCCAAAAUACCUUAUAAUUGAAUUAGACUCCUGACUAUUACCAAGAUCGUUUCAACUUUCUCUCUAAUUUUACCCUACCAAAACUAUCGAACCAAUUAAAAGCCAUAAAAUUUCAAUUUUCCCUCAAACUCAGUUCGUCUACCCUCAUCUCCAUUGAAGUCAAUUUCAAAACUUGAAGUAAAGUGUCAGCUACUAUAACCUUUGAAAGAGCAGUGAUAGUUCACAAAAAAUCCUCUCAACUAAAAGAAAGACAUCCAACUUCGAUUUCUGCAAAAACAAAGUUUGUUUUGCCUUUUCUUCUUUUGUGUUCUCCUCUGAUUCCUGCAGCUUAGUUAAAUUGAUGGUUAAUAGCACAGUGUCAAUUAUCUUGAUGGACCGAUGCAAUCAGUCAUCCACUCCACCAUAAAUUGACUGUAACAGUAUCCAUUGAAUUUCUCCUCUAAAAAUAUCAACAUGCAUAAAAAUAUUUAAAUUUCACAAAAACAUGGGUGUUAUGGCCUAUUUUUCUCAAAAUGUUUUUUUUUGUCGGAUAUUUCUCAAAUUUAAAGGAACCUUGGGCCUUGGGCCUCCUCCCCACAAAAAUCUCGUUGGGCCAUAAACGAGUUACCCACUACCCAAGGCGUCCACUUUAUUCAUCGGAGCUCAGGUUGCAUGAACCGCGGAGCUCCGUCCAUCAAUGGCCAUCAACAAGCCUCCUCCUACUACAAAUUCCGACAACGAACGCAUCGUUAUUGGAUCUGCCAUAGCCUCACGGCUUCUUCUACUCUUCUUAAUCGUCUUCUGGCGUUUUCUCCUCAGCCCUUACGACACUUCAGCAUCGCUUAAUCCUUCAUGCUUAAUCAACCCAUCUUCUUUACCCCUCACCCAACAACCAGUUCUUUUUCCUCAAAUUGGCUCCGCCAUUGAGAGCAGCAUUGUCUGGGAUGGCGUCUACUUCGUCCGAAUCGCUCAGUGCGGUUAUGAAUAUGAGAAAUCCUACGCCUUCUUGCCCCUUCUCCCUUUCUGCAUUUCCCUCCUGUCCCGCACAGGUUUGCUAUUUAUACUUCAUUUCGUUGUUUAUUCCAUUGUUAUUUUUAUUUUAUUGGUUAUUAUGUAGAAUGAUCGCUUCUUACAUUUUACUUGGGUGGCUUAUGAACAACUGCCGAUGUGCUUCGGGGAUUAAUUCAUUUUUUGUGUGGUUAAUGCGGUUCUAAUUUUGGUACAGUAUUGUUGCCUUUGGUUCCGGUAAUUGGGCAUAGAGCUGUAUUGGGACUGUCUGGAUAUCUAAUUAAUAACAUUGCUUUUGUCCUUGCUGCACGUUAUCUUUUCAGGUGGGUUUGUUGAGAUUACGAGUUUUUGGCCUGUAAUUCUUAGGUUUAUACUCUGAUUUUUCAAAUGGGUAAAUAGCCAUUCAUCUGCUUUUGUACUUUCUUGCUUUUAUUCUAUGUAAAAUCCUGACAUCUUCUACCUGGUCGCUGUAAUAGGCUUUCACUUAUUAUUUUGAAGGAUGCGGAAGCAGCAAUGCGGGCUUCAGUUCUGUUUUGCUUCAAUCCUGCUUCUAUAUUUUAUUCAUCAUUGUAAGUGACUUUUUCUUUCCUAUAUCACUAUGGGCGUAAAAGGUUUUGAUGGUGAUGGACUAUACUUGCAAUUGUAGAUAUACUGAGAGUUUAUACUCGCUAUUUUCAUUGGGUGGAUUAUAUCACUUGAUGAGUGGUAGAAGUAGUGUUUCUGCUCUGUGGCUAGCUCUUUCUGGCUGUGCUAGGUCCAAUGGAGUGCUUAAUGCUGGUUACAUCUGUUUUCUGACUAUGCAUUGGGCUUAUGAUGCUCUUUUUCUGAAGAAAUGUAUCCGUGUAAGUAUCCUUUCUAAUUAAUUGAUAAUGAGUUUUAUAAUGUCUGUUUGUUAAGUUAUCUUGGUUGAGAAGUAAUGCAUUUCUCUAAUUGUUUGUGUUUCUGAUUUAUUGGUCAAAUUUCUCUUUUGAGUUUUCCUUUUGUGAUGCAGAUUUCUUGUGCUUUUAUACAAGACAGAAUCGAGUUGUUUUGUAAUUAUUCUCUUUUAGAUAUUGGUAAAAGUUGGAGUAUUUUUAUGUAAGCUCUUAGGCAAUUUUGAGGAGAACUCAUCUGCUCUUUUAUGCUUCAUUUUCUGAUGGAGUAGGUCCUUUUACCCUUCUUUUUACUAGGAGAUUUCUUUGGAAAGUUGGGCUCUUGAUUAUUUUGUAGUAUAUUUGGUCAGAGAGAAAUAGAAGAGUUAAGGUCCUUAAUCAAAGUGGCUUUAUUUAAAAGAAAAAAAAAAAUUUAGAUAGACAAAAUUUCACAUUUAUUAGAAGAAAAGUACAAGAGACGGUGGACAAAAGCUUCAUUUAGGAAGGAACUUAAGAAAAAGCAGUCCUGUAUUGUUUAACUAUGAUAAACAAAAAGGAAGUUGAAGAUGUAAUGUUCUAACUUUGUUUCAUGGUCAGCAAUGUAGCAUUAAUAAUAGUUUAUUAUUUAUUCCAGAAGGGACUGCAGGUUCUCAUUUCUGGAGCCCUAAACUGUGUCUUUAUAUUUGCUCCAUUCAUUGGAUUUCAAGCAUAUGGGUAUUACAAUAUUUGCAGUGGACGGAUACCAGAAGAAAUGAGGCCAUGGUGUAAAGCUAGGGUACCGCUGCUAUACAACUUUGUUCAAAGUCACUACUGGUAUUGACUUUUUAACUUGCCCAGUAUUCCAAACUUUAUAUCAAUAUUCUGUAGACCAUAGAUGACUUCGUAAUUAUUUUCAAAAUCUUUAGAUAAUCCUGUAAUUCUAGGGUUUCUCAUAUAUAAAUGUUUGAACUUGAAAUAGUUUGGAAGUGUAGGAACUUGUCGACAGAGAGAAUUAGGUUACAAGAAUCAGUUAUUAAUCUAACUAUCAAUUUGAACAACUCAGUAUCCCAACUCUAGAGGAUACUAAUUAUACUUUACAAGUGAGAAAAAGAAAUUAUAAAUUUUAUCAAUGAAGAGAAUUUUACAAAGAAUGAGUCUGUCAAGACUCGACAGGAUAAAGUUUCUUCUCUCUGAAGGAAGAGUUAUGAAGAAGAAUAGGGUUCCAAUCACUGCACAAAAAUUCUAAAGGAAUCCAAUUCAUAACAUUGCAAAUGCAAAGUUAUAGACAGCUUCCUAACAUCCCCUGAUACUGACAGGAUGAAUAUGUUAGAUACCUAGAUUAGUAUAGGGCUAAAGGUAGUUAGUUAUGUAGGCAGUUAGAUGGUUAUAAAUAGGAAGUUGGGGAGGGAAGAAAAGGGAGAUUAGUUUUGUGGGUAGUUUUUCUGCACUCUUUCUUGUUCUUAGUUAGUUUCUAUAUUUUCAUUUCAUAUCAAAUUUUUUUUGUAAUAGUGAGUUUAUAUCAAUUGAACAAGAACACGUUUAUUGGUGUUCCAUCAGAAUAACAAUCACAUCCUGAUGCUAUCAUACUCAUUAAGGAAGCAGUGAGAUUAUGUGGCUUCCCACGUUCAAUUAUCUCUAAUCGUGACAGGAUAUUUGUGAGACUUUUGGAAUGAAUUGUUUAAGAUACAAGGAACCCAACUUCAAAAAAACGCCACCUUCCAUGUUUAGAUGGACGAACUAUGUGAGAUUGUCAACAAGUGCUAGGAGAUCUAUGAAGAUAUUGAAGAAAAUGAUUUGUAAGAACAUCUUUUGAAUUUUCUUUUGUUACAUGUCAGGAACCAUGCGAUUUUGGUAAGUUGAAAGGGUGGGAUACUUUGGUUGGGUGUGAAGUAGGACCAUUUCCUUCUUCAUACUUGCAUCUCCAUUUGAGCCACAACCACAAGAUUUGUUUUUGGGAUCUCAUAUUGAGUUAUUGUGAGUAAGAUUCAUAAGAGACUCGUCUUGGAAAGAGCUUUUUCUUGAAAGGUGGUGGAUUUACACUCAUUCUAUUUGCGGAGUUCUCGAAAGAGGUUGCAACGAGAUGGUUGAGAAGUUCCAUCUCAAUCCUUCUUUUUCAUGAGAAUGAAAGGUUUUUAUGGUGAAUCGGGAUGUGUGCAGUCUUGUGGGACUUCUGGGGAGUGCAGAGCAAAGCUUGAGAGAUCGUUGAGUGAUGUUUGGUUUAUUGCUAGUUCUAACGUUUCUUCAUGGGCCUCAAGUCUAUUCUUAUGUGAUAGAAGGCCCUUGUUUUAAAUUGUCCACUUUUAAGGAGCUUUACUUUUUGUAUCCUCUUGUAUUAUUUCAUUCUCUCUUAAUAAAUCCUCUGUUAUAAUCCUCUGUUAUUCAUUAUAUAUAUAGAUAGGUAGAGUCUAAUUUUAAGAGCUUUAUUUUUUUGGGGGUUUUUACAAAAAUAACAAAAAAAUUUAUGAUAAUAGAGUUUAUGUCACAACAUUUUCUAAAUUCUAAAUUUGCAAAAGUAGCAAAUUUAAAAGUGAUGACCUCUGAUAGCCAUAUGAUUGUCGUCUGAUAGCCUUAUGAUUACCGUCUAAUAGUCGUCUAAUAUCACUAAUUUUACCAUAUUUGCAAUAUGCAAAAAAUUGAUGUCAUGAGCUUUUUUUUUCUAAAUAUUUUUGUCAUUUGAUGCAAUUUCCCUUAUUUUUUUAUGCUCUUGAUUUAUUUCAUUUCUGCUCAAUAAAUCCUCUGGUAUUCAUAUAGAUAGAUAGAAUAUAACUUCAAGUUUUUUUGGACACUCAAAUCGGAAAUUAAGGCUCUGGUAGUUUUCAAAGAAGCAGGCGCACAGGAAAAGAAAGCAUGUAGAUUUAAUUGUUUAUACAAUUGGGAAAUAUCAUUCGAUUUUCAGUAUUCCUUACAAACUAUUGUGAAAAGACAAUACGUUAGAAAUGUUUACUUUGUUUCAGAAAUUCAUUAUAAACCUCUUUUCAGAUUUUAUUAUUUAUAUUCUAAUUGAAAUUGCUAUGCUCUUUUUUUAACAUCUUGCAUACGUCUUUUGGGAUGGCAGGGGAGUAGGUUUCUUAAAAUACUUUCGAUUCGAACAGCUACCAAACUUUCUACUUGCAUCCCCAAUUUUGUCUUUGGUUUUUUUCUCAAUUCUCCACUACGGAAAGUCAAAGACAAAGCUUUUAUUCUCGGUGGGUUUCCAACCAAUGGAUGAUGAUAGAAAUUCUGCUGCCAUGCUUUACUUUCCAGAACGUGUUUCAAGGUCAAGCACACCUCAUACUACAUCUUCCUCUGGGUUACAAGGUAAUGCUUAUUUUUCAAUGGUAAUGUAACAAGAUUUUGUGUUGUAUGAGUAGGUAUAAGUUUUGAAAUUGAGUAGUAUCUUGUCUUGACUUUCCUUGUCAUUUUGUUUUGUUGCAAUUUUUAAAGCACCUUAAGCUAUUAUUUCAUAGGAAAUCAGAAUCUUAGACAGAGAAAGAAGAUUUUUGUACAGGAUCCUGCUGAGCUUGCAGUAGAGGAUAAACCGUCCAAUGGGUCAGGAUACUUUUCUGCUCUUGUACUUCCAUUUAUCCUACAUUUGGGGUUUAUGGCUGCCACAGCAUUUUUUAUCAUGCAUGUACAGGUUUGUCUCCUCUCCAUAAUUUGUACUUUUUUCAAAAGAAUAUGUACAUGGUGUGUGCUGAAGAAUAUCAUUUGCUUGCUUUCUGUUAUUUCAGCUACGAGUCAGCAUUAUUGUUUGCAUUAUAAAUCUAGUUUCAAUAUAUAUACAUAUAUAUAUAUAUAUACACAUUAGCAGCUGUUGAAGACAACUAUCAAGUAAUUUUUGAGUUUGGAACCCUCUGGUCCUAUGAGGCAAUAGUUCUCAAGUUAUUCCUUAUAAAUACCGAUAAAUAGUCCAUAUGGUAUGAAUUGUGUACGAGAAUUUUAUCAAACCAUUAGACUAUUUGUGAGAUUUUAUUAAAUCAAAUGGAUUAAAUUCCAAUUAUAAAUCAUAGGGACUGAAUUCUAAGUUUCUCCAAACGAUUCGAACCAAAUUUGCAAUUUAACCCUAAAACUAUGGUUCAUGUUGUAUGGACAUUACAUAGUUAAUUUUCUAUAUUUUAGAGAGUAAUAUUCAGCAUAAGCCUCUUCUGUUAGAAGCAUAAGUUAUUCAAACCCUAGCAAAUAGCAAAACAAAUCCAUAAAAACAUUCUAAGUUCCAUGUCUUGUUUUUAAGCUUAGUAUCUCAGAGUUCAGAAUUCAACAGGUUGCAACACGAUUUCUCUCUGCAAGCCCUCCUCUCUAUUGGUUUGCCUCAUACAUUACAGUUAAGCGAUGGAGAUAUAUUAUCUGGGCAUACUCUAUCGCAUAUAUCCUCCUCGGUAGUCUGCUGUUUUCAAAUUUCUACCCAUUCACAUGAUUUGUUGCAGCAAAACAACACUUUAGCUUUGGUAUCGAAUCAUCUUGGUUGCUGAUGAUCGUGCUAUUGCUUCAUAGUCCACACUGUUUUGGAUGAGAAAAAAUGUUUAGAACAAGAGCCACAAAGUUCGUUAUAGUUCAUGUAUUAGGGGAGUUCUUCGAGUAGAAGUUAUUUAAGUAAUUUAAAGAAAUUUUGUUCACCUUGUAUGUAAUAAUUGACUUAAUGAGGGUAAUUGUUGAUUACCAAGUUGUAUAAUUGCUUGUGUUUCAGGUUGCUUUUAGGUACUGUCUUCAAAUACAAAGCUUUCCUAACUAUUCAAAUGUUCCAUUUACAAUUUCUUCUCCUUUGUUUAUAUGUAAAUAUUUGGUUAGUUUUAGCUUUUGAAUUUCACUUUUAAGUUUAUUUUAGUCACAAACUUUUAGAGAAAUGUAUUUUCACUUUUAAAAAGUGAUUAUUUCAAUUCCGUUCUUUUAACAUGAGACUUUAUUUGCGACAGUUCUUAAAAUAAAACCAUAAACUGAUAAUAAAAAUUUUGAACUGUGUCAAAUUUAGGUUAAAAUUUUGUAACUUUGGAUCAAAACAGUCACUUUUUUAAAGACUAAAACAACAAUUUAAACUUUUUUUUUUCUACUUAAGUUUAGUAGGAGAAUGUUGAUUAUUAGUAACUAUAAUCCAAGUCCAACGACAAUGGUUAGAUGUCAUUUUUAAAUACUCGUCAAUCGAAUUGCUGCUUUUGUUUACAGAUUUAGACAAUGGUCUCAUGUGUCAAUACAAACUAAGCAUAAUCAAAUGAAGCUCAAUUUUUAAAUUACAAUUAAUUCAUUCUCAUUGCACUUAGUAAACAUGGUCUAGAUGCCGUCUUACUACUUUAUAGAAAUGAUGAUUAAAAAUGGUUAGUGAUAGUCUGACCAAGUCCAUCUAAAGUUUCAUAACUAAAUUUCAUAAAAUUGAAACCUUGAUGUCGAUUAAAUAACCUAGGCCUAUCAUAAAACGAUCACAAUGAGACAUUUCUUCUAAAAGCAAGUCCCUAUCAACAUUAGAGAUGGAUUAGUUUCAACUUUCAAACACUGUACAAAGAAGUUGAGAUACAAUAAUACAAAGAGAUCAAGAAAUAUCUCAAACAGAGGGACCAGAUCUGAGCACUCUCUCCAGUUUCUCAGCUUUUGUGUAAUCAUUUUCAUUGAGAGGCCCAGCAGGGAAUGGAGUUAUUUCCACAAUAAGAUGUGGGGUUGGAAGCUCAUCAAACAAAGCUCUCACAUUGUUGCAACAAACACUCUCCCCAUGAGCACUUUCCCUCCUGAUUUGACAACCCUACAAAUCACAAACCUCUACAUUGUGAUGUCUUUGAGAAUAAUCAUGCAAUUGAGCAAAAAACGGAACGGUUUGUGUGUGUGAAGAGUGAACAGGAUGGAUAACAAGCAUGAUGUGGAAUGGAAAUGGAGGAAUGAAUAAUUCUAGGAUUGUGAUUAGAUUUAGAACCUUGUGAGAUGUGGCAUCAACGAAGUGAUCGUCGUCGGAAAGGAGGGACAUGAUGGCUUUAAGAAGACGCCGUCCUUCGGAUUUAGAUGGCACUCGAUAGUUCCUUCUGAGGGUUCCCUUUGUGGUAGGAUGCCAUUUGCUCACUAGUUUUCUUUUAUCAACUGCUUCAUCCACUGUCAACAAACACAAGAAAGUAUGAUUCAUUCAUCCACUGCCAAUUCCAGAGGUUGAGGAAAGAAAACACUGAAAGGGAUUAAAACAAAUUCCUUUAACCACACUUUUUAAUUUCAUAUACAAAACUCUAAUUUGCUUGUAUCGUUCCAAAUUCCAAUUUUAUCAGAUGUCUCCAAAGGGGCGAUACAAAACUCUAAUCUAGAUAUAUUAUACAAUUCAACAGAGCUACAUAAGGUGUAAAGAAAAGAAUCAAAGAAUACCAGAUAAUUAGCAUACUAAACUCUAGGAUCAAAUUAAACAAAAUGUUGUAAGCAGAGUUGUUCAAUGUUUAUAAGUAUUCCAUGUUUAUUAGACUAAUAAACAUGGAACAACUCUAGAACAUUCACAAAGAUCACUGAGAAUUAUAGAUGGUCUGCCAAACCUAGCAUUCAAGACUUUCUUUUAUAGGAAACAACUAUAUUACAAAAAGAAAACUCUAUACAAGAGAUCCCCAUCAAAUAGAGUAGCAAAGUGCCUUCCAACCCAGCAUUCAAGAUUCAGCAGAAGAAUGGAUUAACAAAGCCCCAAAGUAUUAGUUCCAACAAUGUUUACAUUCAUAACUUAACUGCUAAAACUUUUUCUAUUAAUCUUUCGUACCCUAUCAAACAAAAAGAAGUCAUUCAAUGUCAACUACAUAGCUAAUGAUUAUUGAAGCUUCAGCCAUAUGAUUUGUAGAAUUUUAGUCCCUUGUUUCAAUUCAAAAUCAAAACAAAAGGCAACGUUGAUCAGUGAAUUCUUCAGUUAAUGUAUCCUUCAGUGUAUUCUAACAAACUAUGCUCAGUUUGGUAAGUUGAUAAAAUUCCUUUACAUAACCCACAAAUCAAGCAGAUUUAAAAGAUCACCAACAAACCUGGCUUUCCUCUUACGCUCUCCAACCAUUUAGAAAACCCCAAAUCACUGCUGCUUUCUCCAUCAGAACUACCACCAUAGGAUAAGUCCAAAUCUGGAAAGAAAGAAGAACCAAAAAAAAAAAAAAAAACACGAACACAAACACAAAAUUUCCCUAUAAAAAUCAAAUCCCAUAAUAAAAAAUAAAAUAAAAAAGGAAAGGAAGAUUGAAAAGGCAAGAAAAUCAGAAAGAAGACGAACCAGAGAUAAGUGGGUUGGAUUGAGAUCCAGCAAGACCAGCUCUUAGAAGGGCAUAGAAGAUGCAAAGUCUACCAGCCCACAAAAUAGGAGCUUCGAUGAGAGAAGCGCGAGUGGAUGAAGGAGAAUUGAAGGUGUUGGAGAGGGAUUUGUUGGAUCUUGUUUUGUGGAAAUGGAGGAAGGUUGUGAGGGCAUUUUUGGGGUGAGAUGGAAAACCAGGGAAAAGGGAUUUGGGGAGAAGAAGAUUAAUGGAAUUGAGAGAGUGAAAAUGGAAGGGGAAAGUGGAGGAUUGGGAAGGGGAAAUGAGAGAGUGAAGCAUUGUUGAGUUGUAGACUGAUGAAAUGCUCUCUAAUCCACGCAGUGGCAGUGCAUAGCGAGGGAGACAAGCUGACUCUUAGCCUUUCUACUCACAAAACGCUACCGUUUAACCCCUUGAAGGGAUUUUUUCUAUUUUUCUUUUUGUAAGUACAAAUGUCUAACCAAGCAAAUUAAGAGCAAAUUCAAGUUAUAUCGUUAAAUAAAAGUAAGCAUUGGAUAGAAUCAUGGUUAUAAAAAUCACAAAUCAAAUCAACCAAAAUUUCAUUCAAGUUUCUAAACUUUUUUAUCAACAGGUUUUCAACAAUUUGAGAAUCAGUUUGAAUCCAAAGAGAGAAAAUAUCGUUUUAAGAGCUCUAAUCAAACAUGUCAAAGGACUUAGCAAGCAAUUCAAUUUUGUUGAGCAGAGAUGUAGACAAAUUGAAAAUAGGAAGGAUGGUGAGUGGGUCCAAAUGGGCCAUUUUAAUGCCUUAUCCAAAUGCAAACAAUGUAUCUAACAAAAGUCUUUAAUUUCCUAAGAAGUUGUAACUUUUGGAACUUACGAAAUUAAUAGCAAGAGUGAUUUUAGCCUGUCAAACUCACUUGUAUUUAAAAUAAUCAUGUUUGACAAUAAAAUAAAAUUAAUUUUUAAAAAAUAAAAAAAAAAUCACUUUAAAUUGAAGUGAUUCUUCUUUAGCAAUGGUAAGGGAAGCAUCUCCGAUAUUAUUAGAAAUAAACUAAUAAAAUUAGAUAUUUAUUUAAAAAAUUGACAACCACUUUCGGCAAACUUUUGAUUUUUUUUUUUUUUUUUUUUGUAACUACGACUGCUUUUCUAUAGCCAUCGAUCAAUGUUUGAUGAUCACAUUUCUUGGAUAUGGGAUGAAAUAUAGGUUGAGACGUAUGUGGAUAUUUUUUAAAAUGUAAAAUGUAGGUUUUGGUUGUUAUCGUUUUGUAAGUUGUCAUUGUUUUGGUUCUAGAGAAAAGUUUAUGAGCAACACUAUUUUUUUUUUUUGUAAGUUAUUAUUGUUUUGGUUAUGUAAAGUAAAAUUAUUUAGUAUGUAAGUUGUUAUGUUUUGGUUGUAGAGAAAAGUAUAUAAGUUUAUUUUUCAAAGUGUGUUUAUUGAAUAUGUUUCUAUUUUUUACUUUUAUUUGUUUUUCAUAUUCAACUUUCAAUGGAGAUCACUUCAUGGCAUGCAAAUAAAAGUUUGUGUACUAUUUAUGUAUUGUUUAUUGAAAUUUUUGUUACUUUAGAUUAAUUUACUAUUUUUGGUAUGUUAAUUUUGUAAGAAACAAUUGUAACUUUUAUUGAAAUAUUAAAUAAAUUCUAGUAUUUUCUAUUUCUACCGUUUGAAUUGUGUUUAGGUACAAACCAAAAGUAUGGUGGAAAAACAAUACAAACAUAAAAUAUAUAAUUUUUUUAAAAAUAUAGGCUUCUACCCACAACACACUAUUUUAUAGCGUCGACAUUUCGUGGAUUUGUCGACAAAAUCUAUAAUUGUCGGCGUAAUAGAGCUACAUCGUCGACAAUACAAGGAUAUGUCGAUGACAUUCUUACAUCAUCGACAUAAUAAAUGCCCACGAAAUAUUUUCACCGUUGGUGAAUAGCCCUUUCACCGAUGGUUAACUUCUAAUGUGGGCAUAGUUUCGUAGAUUCAAUUCUGUCGGCAUGCAAUUUCAGUAUUCACCAACGAUCACUUUUUCGACAUCAACGAAGGCUCUUUCAACGAACCUACACCAACGGUUUGUGUCAACAGCUUAAUAUCGUCAACAAAAGAAAAGUCGACGCAUUUUUGAAGAUAUGUCAACGAUUUAUGUCAUCGGCAAAAUGUCAAAUUCUUGUAGGAAUUAAAUUUUUGUAUUUAAAAAAGUGAUAUAUAGAGUUGGUGUGAAUGAUUAUUUAUUAUUUAUUACUAUGAAAAGAUAUUUUUUUCGAGAGAGAAAAUUGUCAAUAUAAUAAUUAGAUUAAGAAAGUGAUUAAUGAAGCAACAUUUAAAAAAAAAAAUCAAAUAUUAUCAAAUUUGUGAUAGCUAUCAAUGAUGAGAUAAAAAUCUAUAAUUAAUAUAUUAUCUUAUAAAUAUUAAUUUAUCAUUGAUAGACCAUGAAAGUUUAUGACAGACUUUAUUAUAUUUACAAUUUAAAAUAAAAAGUUAGUUUUAGACAUUAAUAUUUCUUAAAUUGCAUUUACACAUUUAUAACUUUAUUAAAAAGAUGGCAUUUGGAAAGAAAGUGUCUGGGCUUUAUGGAUAUGAUCAUUGGGCUUACCUAUACAAUGCAUAAAUAUCUUCUCUUUCUCCUUUCUAGGCUACCUUAUAUAUAUUUUACUUUUAACUUUUUCCAUUUCCUACUUAAUCCAUAAUGAUUCGACUUAACAGAAAACAUAUCGUAAUAGGUCAAGAGUAAUUAGACAAGAAAAAUAAAUUGACUUAAAAAUAAUUAUUACCUAUACCUUUUUAUUUUUGUCUAAUUGGGAUUACCAUGGUUAGACUAAACAUUAUCAAAUUAGAACAAUUGUUUAAAAGAAAUUGUGGUUUAUUAAUUUAGUAGUCUACAACCCUUCUUUUAAGGGUCCAAAGUUUGCAAAUUUUACAUUGUUUUUCAGCAAAAUAAUACUGCAUGCAAACACCAAAAUGCUCCAUUUCAACAAAGGAAUGAUCCUUCCUAAUAGAUCUAGAAUCUCAACCAUAACAUAUUUGAAAAUAAUCGUCAACAGGUUAUUUGGUCAUUAAGUAAAAUAAAUUAAUAAGUUGGAGUUCAAAAGUUAUUUCACAUUUGAAACAUAGAGCUGUAAGAUUGAGUUUUACUCUAGUUGUGAAAAGUAAAAAGAUGAAGACAACGAUAGAAGAUAAUGUAAAUAAAUUAAAAAAAGAAAAAACGAAUUUGUUCGAAAAACGUAAAAAAUAGAGAAAUAAAAGAAAAGAAGUUAGUACUUUAAAGUUUAGUUAUCUAACACGAAGCUAAUACAAUUGGUUGCUCGAACAACCCUAAACUCAUUAAUUAAAAGUAUAGUUGUUGGUGUCUAUAACUUUGGCAUUUCAAUUCCUCUAACAACUCUAUCUACAGAACACCCCUAAUUUAUCAACUCUCUUAAUCGUUCUAGGCGUAUUUUUCUUUUCAUCAUUUACCUUCCUAAAAUAUGUACAUAUCUACAUUUCACUAAAUUAGCAAUCACCUUAAAUAUAUCUAAAGAAAUUGUAUUUGUGUUUUAAAUUAGAGCGCUUUGUUGUAUAUAAAAGGUUUUCAAUUAUAUACCAAAAUGAACUAACUUAUUUAUAAAUAUAGCAAAAUUUUAAUUUUUAUAUGUGAUAAACCACGACAGACUCAUAUAGAUAUCUAUUUACCUUAGUGACAGACAUUUGCAAAUGUCUAUUUUGAUCUAUCAUGUAGUCUAAGAAAAUUUAACCAAGAGAAAAAAAUAAUUGAAAUUACCUUUUCCUUUCUAAAAAGAAAAAUGUUUAAACGAGAAACUAUGAAAAACUAUGCACAUUAAUCAACCAUAUGAAAUGGCAAAAGGGUUAAAAGAUCGUGAGUUAAAUUUUUUAUUAUCAUUUACCUAAGAUUUAGUAUCUACGAACGCUUUUUACAUAUCUAAAUAUCAUAAUGUCAAAUUAAGUUUAUUGUCGUGUAUGAUUAGUCGAAUUACAGGCACUAUAUAAAAUAUAUAUACACACACGAAUGAAUGUUGAUUGAACUUACUGUUAGGAAUUUUAAUAUUAAAAAAAUUAUGAUGAAGUUAAUUAAAAUUAAAACUUAAAUAAUUUUUUCAAACUCUCUAUUAUUAGGGUUUUGAAAAAUCAAGAAUAUGUGUCAUUUUUGUAGCAUGAGAAAUAUAUAUAUUAUAUAUAUGCUCCACUAAAUCUGAAAAGGGCUGGAAGAGGGCUCUCAUCAUGAGUUAUAAAUAAUUAAUGAAAAAAAUAUUGUCCCAAUUUUGAUUCUACUUUUUAUUUUUUAUUAAAAAAAAUACAAUAACCAAAAUCACAAAUAAACAAAGAAAUAAAAAAGUCAUAAGUGGUUGUUUAAUAAUUAGGUUUAAUUAUUGGUUACAAAUUAUAGAGGAGAAAAUGGUCCUCCCUAUGUAAAGAAAUUUUUGUAACAGAGUAGCCUUUUCCCUAUUCAAAAUUUAAAACCAACCUCUUUUAUUGUGAUUUUCAAAUUAUAUGAUGAUAAUUUUAGUGAAUCUAUCAAAUUUUACUUAUUUAACUUCUUUUUAUAAUUUUAUAUAUAACCUUCUCAUAACGACAACAACCGUAAAUUUAUAAUUUGAAUAAGAGAGAAUUUUAUAAAACAAAAAAAAAAAAAAACGACUUUAAUAUUGAAUUCAAAGAAUAAAUAUAUUUUGAAUGGAUUUGAUUUAGGUUUAUCUUAAUUGGACAUGGUGUUUUUUUCUUUCAAUUGAUAUGUUAUUUUAUUUUUUAUUUUUUAUGUAAAAUUCUCCCUAGUUCUAAAAUUAAAAUAAGUAAGUAAUUGUGUAGAUGAUAUGAGAUGCAUUUCUACCACUAAUUUCAUAUAUAUUAUUUAACCUAAGUAAAUAGGUUUUUAAUUCUUAAUUGUAGCCUUUAUAGGGUUGAGGGGUCCAAAUUGUGUCAUCAACUAAAGAGUGAGGAUUUUGUUAUCGAGAAAAGAAAUGGUAAUAGAGAAGAAGAGAAAAAAAAAUCCAAAGGCUAACCUUAGGGAGGGGAUAGGAAGGAAGAGAGAAGCUGUGUGAUGAUUGAUAGAAGAUAAAAGAAUAAAUAUAUAGUUGGUCAAGCAAAGUUAUGGAGAAAAAAGGAAUCUAUUAUAAUAGGUGGUGGAUAUGAUUCGAGUCAAAAGACGUUUUAGUUGCUAGCUAGCUGACUACCAAAGGUAUAUGUUGGUUAACCUAUGUUUGCUAUAGAAGUGUUUUGUAUAAUAUGUGCUAUAAAUUGUUUUUUUAUAUGUCAUUUGAAUUUAUCCAUGAAAAUCUUGUUUUACUUAAAAGCAUGACUUAAUAUUCGAAUCAACGUAAGCAUGACUUAAUAUUCGAAUCAACGUUAAAUAUGAAUUUGGUCUCAAAUACUACUGGAAUAAUCAAUGACUCUAAUUCUCAUAGUAAGAUUUCUCACCAAAUUAUCAUUUUAAUAUAUAUAUUAUUCUUUUUAUAUAUAUAUUAUUUCUCUAUUUUUAUUAUUCAAAUUAAACUACAGUAUAUGUAUAAAUGAAAGGAACUAAAUUUUUUUAAAAAAAGUUGUAAAAGUGAGUGUGAAAUAUGGAAGCUAAAUCUAUAGGUGUAAAUUGAAACAUUAGAACUAAAAAUAUAUUUUGGAAAAAGUAAUAAUUAGACUUCAAAAGAUGAGCAAUUUUAAGGGUGUAAGAAUAUGGGUUGAAUCUGAUAACUCGAACUACCCGAACUAUUCAACCCAUAUUGUAUGGAUUGAGUUGAUUGGGUUAAAAAAACUUGAUUUUUUCGAGUUGGGUUGGAUCUUAGGUUGAAGGAUUGAAAAAUUCGGUUCAACCCAAUCCAACCCAAAUUAAUAAUAUAUAUAUCUAUAUAGUAUUUAUUUAAAAGGUCUUCCUCUUCUCCUUCACGCACGACAUUCCUAUUUUCGUUUGUAACCUUGAAUGUACAAAUAUAUAUAUAUAUAUUUAAUAAAAUAAAACUUAAAAAUAUAGGUCUUCCUCUUCUCCUUCACCUUCAAGCACGGCAUUCCUAUUUAUGUUUUUAACUAUGAAUGUUUGGAUUUAUGUAUGUUUAAGAACUUUGAAUUUAUUUAUGUUUGUAUAACGACUUUGAAUUUAUGAAUGCUUCAAACUUUGAGUUUAUAUAUCUAUAAAAUUUUGAAUUAUGUAUGUUUGAACUUUGAAUAUAUAUCAAUUUUGAACUUUUUUUUUUUUAGGAACUAUUUUGAAUUUUACAACCCUUGGAAAGUGUAGGGAAAAAAAAUGCAAUCCGACAACAAAACUCAUAUUUUAUGGGUUGGGUUGGGUUGGAUUGAGUUGGAAACUAAAUAACCCAAAAAUAUUGGUUGGGUUGAGAAUGUCUUCCAACCCAACUCGAUUACACCCCUAAGCAAUUUAUAUGUGUGUAAAUCGAUAAAAAUAAAAAAAUAAAAAAAAAAUUAGGUUCAAAACAUAUAAGCAAUUUUUAAAAAACACUUUAAGAGAUUAAAGAAAAAAAGAUAGAUUGAACAAGGAAGAUUUACUCUUUUUGUUUAUUUUGUAGAAUUUUUUUGAAAAAGCAACAACAAAUAAAAAAAUAUAUCAUUUUUCAUCAUUUUUACAAUUUCAUUUAUACGUGUGAAUCUUAUGAAGGUUGUGAGUUAGAAAAUCAAAUAUUUGUGUUAUAAAGACUUGCACUACGGUGAUGUAUUCAUGUUCUCCAUACUUCGACAAUUAAAUCACGAAUGUAGUGUUCAGUAAAAACGUGAUUAAUUAAGUUUUAGUACCUUUAUCAUAUGAUAGAGCUUAACUAUUUACGACCGCUCGUUUUUCAUGCAUUUAAACUUGUUCAUUAACGCAUGACAAUGUGUCAUCGAAAAAUAUGUCAAGGUAAUCAAUGGCAGCUAGAACAGUAAACCCAAGCUCAAGGAUUUCUAAUUUGAAAGUCUCACUGUUUCUUUUAGGUCUAGACCUUGCUUGAAAUUUGACCCUAACAACAUAAUUAUUAUUAUAUAAAAAGAUGUCCCAACCAAAUAUGUAGUAAGUAAGAAGUUGGAAUCGAGUAGUAGUAAUUAAUUUGGAGUAUAAAAGCUUUUUUAUUUCAAAAGAGAAAAAACAAAAGGAAAUAAAAAAAAAAAUAGAAAGAAUAGUAACUAGAAGAAGAAUGAUAGAAUGCAUAUGAAUGAUUGAAAAGAAAAUUUUGAAGGAAAAGUUUAAUAACAAGAAAAAAUGAUAAGAAGCACUUGGAAAGUACAAAUUGAGUUAUGAAAGUAAUUUGGUGUGUUUGUACUAAUAAAUUAACUAAUAUGCUCACAUGUGUAGCACUUUUGAUAUCAUUGGAAACAAAUGGUUAGUGGCCAAAAGAGGGAAAUAAGAAUCAAAAGGGGACCAACUAUGCCCUUUAAUUUUUUAUUUUUUAUUUUUUUUUGACAAAACUACAAAAAUCAUCGAAAACUAUAGCGGUGGUUGCAAUUAUAACCACAAACUUUCAAAAUUAAAAAUUAAGCUUUCAAACUCAUUCAGAAUUUAAAUUUUGACUUUCAAACUUACAUGAUUGUAUAAAUUAUUAUAUUGAUUUUAAGGUAUGAGAAUUAAACUUUUACGAUUACGGUAAGUUCACAAGGGUUCAUUUAUUACUUUUGAAAGUUUAAGGAUCUAAUUGCAAUAAUUAUCAUAUUUUAGAAGUGGUUUUUGUAAUUUGCCCUUUUUUUCAACAAGUGUGUCCUUUAAUUUAUCGCAAACAAGAGAAGAGAUCUAAUGUGUGUUUGAUCAAGUCAUACCAAAUGAUUGGAUUUUGAUAUCAAAUUUUGUGAUGAUAUAUCAAUGCUCAUUAUAAGGGUUGAUCAUGUAAAAAUAUGGCAUUCUUUUUUUUUUUCUAACAUGGUUUUAGUACUUUGUUUAAGAAAAGUCUUUUAAGGAUGCAAGAUAGAUUUCAAAAUUUCUAAAAGAAAAUUAAAAAUUAUUUACAAAAUUAGUGCAAAUUAUUGCAAAAAAAAAAAAAAAAAACUUUGAUUACAUCAUGUAUCGAUAAGAUAAAUAAAAUCAUGUGUUCAAACUUUGAUAAUGUUAUUAUGUAUUUAAUGUCAUCACAAUAUAAUCUUCAAUUAAUAUUAAUUUUUACUCAUUCAAAUUUACAACCAAAUUAAAAGAUUAUAAGUAAAGAAAGGGUGAAGUAUUCGUAAAAUUAAGUUUAUUUUAAUUUAUAAAUAUCAAUUUGAACUUUUGCCUUGAUAGAUGCUUUAACUAUCAUUACUUUUAAUCUAUGAAUUGAGACUUUUGAUCCCUCGUUUCAUACUGUUAUUAUACUAAAAAACUAUGAAACUAUUGAAAAUUUCAUAUUCUAUUUACGUUAAAAUCAUUAAUAUUAAUUGAUAGAAUAAAAUUUUGAUAUGUUUUAUAAAUAUUUUACGUUUAAUGUGUUAUAAAUUUGAAGAUUGCUUGAAUCAAUACUAAUAUAAAAAGAAAAUCUUUGGGAUAUAUACAUACAACUAAGUAACAUGCAAAAUCCAUAUAAAUUAACCUUCGUACCUAUAGCUUAUACAAAUUAUCUAUUUGUCUUCACUAAUAUAAUUUGAUUAAAAUAUUAUUUUAGUCUUUUUCUUUUUUAAUUUAUUCACUUUUAGUUCAUAUAUACUUAAUACAUCUUAAGUAUAGUAUCUUGCUAAUUUAUUGUUGAUUAAAGAUUGUAAUCUAUUAGUAUUUUCACAAUAAAUUUUAAAAAUAUAUUCAUCUUGUAUAGUUAGUAUGUUUAUUAUUUAUGGGUGAUUUUUUAUAAUUAGUAAAAAAAAUAAGAAUAAAAGCAAGAAGACCAAUAAAUCAAAAAAUAACAAAAUUUUAGACUGAAAGUACUAGCCUAAGCAUAAACGGGCUUAAAGAAGAUAAGUUCGUGCCAAAGCACAAACUUAUGUGUUUAGCUUCGGCCAAGGUCAAGGACAGUUUUAGCAAAAUAGUUAAUAGGACAUAUCCUACAUAUGCUCGGGCAAAAAAGGCAUUGUCCUAAGAUCAAAAUAAGGGCAUGGCUGUAAAAUUAUAGGAGAAUAACCUAGUUUUAAGUUUCUCUAUAAAUUACGUACACAUUGCUAUAAAUUCACGUGUUAACUUGAAUCUUACUCUCAAACUCUCUAGUUUCCACUCUUACUUGAAAAUUAUAUUAGAGUGUGUAUGGUCGUAAAGCACCACAUCAGAAUGCAAGUCUUCUCUCCUUCAAACAAAUCUAUUGUCAGUGUCACACGUGAAUGUCAAGUACGUUUUUCGAAUUUAAAUUUUGACAUCAAAAUUAUUUAACCAAUUUUAGUCAAAUAUAACUUUCAAAUACUAAACUCAAGUUUUGUUAAAAUUAGUAUAGAUAUUAGAACUGAAUAAAUUUGGAAGUAUAAACACUAAAAUGAUAUAUUAACGGAUAAACUAUUUAUAAUGAUUACAUAAGUUAGGAAGUUGUAGUUGUAUAUUAUUUGAUCAUUACAUUGGAGAGGAUGAACUUCAAUGAAAAUUAAUUAUAAUAUGAUUAGAACAAGCUUUUAGAUAAAGUUAUUAAUUGAUUUAAUUAAUUUUGAGCUGACAAAUGGCCGAAAGAAACGUUGGAUCCCACAGAGAGUUAUGAUUUUGAGUUAAAUAUUAGGUUUCCAUUAUGGUAAUACUUAAUAUUAUUUUCAUAUGCAUGAGAGAGACUUUAAUUUUCUUUUUUAAAAUAGAAAAAAGAACAAUAUAACAACUAACUUUUUGGGCAAUUAAGGUUUAAAUGGUUACCAUGUGCAUGGAAAUUAAAUAGUAAAAUAAAGGUUACAUACAUUACUAUUAUUUUCUCAUUAAUCAAAUAAUAAUUUGGCUAACUGGUUUGAAUAUUCCAUCGUUUUAGAAUCUUAUCAUUAUCAUUUCAAUGCUAAAAUGAGUUUAGCUCAAUCAUGAUUGAUAUCAACUUUUCGUCCGAGUCUAGUUGUGGAGUUGAGGGUUCUAUAAUCUGAUUUGCAUAUUGCAGAUUAAGUGGAAUCUACUAGCUUUUUCUAUAUACUUUUGAAUGAUAUUCCAAUUUUUCUUUUGUGUAUACCAAUAUAGUUAUCGUACUAUUAUAGAUAUUGUUUAUCAUUACAACCAAAAUGAGUCUUAAUGUUAAUUUAAAGAUGCUAUUAUAGAGGUACGAUGUCAGUUGUCAAAGUAGGAGAACUAUAAAUAUGUUAAAGUAUUAUUGUCAUUAUAGAUAUCGAUUAUCGAUUGACUCUAAAUGGUAACGGUAACACUAAUGAUAAAAACAUAAUGAUAUUAGAGUAAACAUCUCUUCCAAUAAUAAUUAAAUUACAUUUUUCGAAGGUAUAAGUAAAUGUAAUCAAAAGUAAUCCAAUUGUAUUUUACAAUCGAUAUACAUCAACAAAAAUCCACUAUGUGAUUACCCAUUCCUUAUUACGAUUAGUAAACAUAGCCUAUAAUCAAUAUUGCAAGUUAUUGUAAAAUUAUUUGAUGAAUUUCAUUUUAUUUAUUUUAAUUGCGUGAAGGAUCCAUUUGACUAUUUAAAAUUUAAACCUCCAAACGUUAUUUUAAAAAAAAUAAUGAUAAAGAUCAAUUUCAUUUUAAAAUUUCAAUCAAUCAAACUUGAAUCAAGUUCAACUAAUUUAAAUAUAUCUUCGAUCAAAACAUUAAAGAUUUGAAUUAUCACGUUAGAUAAACUAUAUAGUAAGUAGAUUUUAAUUUUAAUAAUUACAUAAAGUUUUGGAUUAAACUUUGGUAUGAUGAGGAAAAAGUAGAUUAGAACGUGCAAAGAGUUGCAAUCAAUUUAUUUAUACAUAAAGCAUUAAGAGUGAGUGUGUACAUAAACUUAUCUUUAGUUGCCCUUUAAUUACUAUUAAUUUUGUUAAUUUUGCUUUGGAAAAAAGGGGAAGGGUCGAGAAAAGGGGAAGACCCUUCCUCUUCAUCCCUAUCGUUUUUUUACGAGUGAUAGAAUCUAAAAGUUUAUUAUAUAUAUAUUUAGUAAAUAUUUUGUUUAUUGAAUAUAUCUGAAAAUAUCUGCUAACCAAUUAAGAGAUAUAUGAACUAAUUGACAAAAUUAUUUAAUCUCCGAAAUUUUAUUAGCUAGUAACUUAAUUUUUAAUUUUGUUGUAAAUUAUAAUCCAAUCUCUAUCAUUAAAAUUACCAAAAAUAAAGUGUUAAUAUUUAAUAUUUAAUAAAUUAGUCUAUAAAAACUUAGAAUAUAUAUACUUUGGUCUAAUUUGGUUUGCCUUAAAAAGAAAUUCAUAUUGCUUUCUUCUUGUGGGUUUGGUUUUAAGCAAUUUAUUGCUUUACAUAAUGAUAACCUCAAAUUACUACUUAACAAAAAUAUUUAUGACAUCAAUCCUAAAUUAUUAACAAUUUUAAAUUACAAAAAUGAAAGAUUAUUACCUAAUCGAGCAAUUAAUUAAAUCGUUACCAACUUUGGAUGGACUAAAUAAUUACUUCAAUUAAACAAUUACCAUCCUUUUUAUUUUUUAAAAAAAAUCUUGUUCUUUGAUCUUCUUAUCUUUAAAUAAGGAUUAACAAAAUUACAUGAACAUAGAUCACAAAAUCUCUCAUUUUCUUGGUGGUUAGAUUACCUAUAGAUUGUACUCAAUGAUAAAUUUUUACAAUUACUUGUAAAUUCAUUUUACUAAAUUACAAGUCAAGUCUUCCAAAAAAAAAAUUUAUAGAUGCAUCACUAACAAACAUUCUUCAUAUUUAACAUAAGAAUUUAAAAAAAAAAAAAAAAAAGAUGGGUUUGAGUUUUUUUUUUUUUUUUUUUUUUGUAAUAUAAAGUUCAUCCAUAAUAAUAAAAAAAUUUGUCUUAUUACAUAUAUAUUGAAAAAGAAAUAGUAAGAAGAGAAAUACAAUGUACAUAAUUAAUAGUUACUUAUUUAUAACUUUUACAAACCCUUGAAAUUACUUAAAUAUGUUAAUCUUACUGAAUAAAACUUUAAGAAAAAAAGAAAAACUUCUACAUACUUCACUAUUGUACCUGAAAUUUCACAAAAUAAUACACAUUGGGUUUGAGUAGUUUUUCUUAAAUAUGAAGUUCUUCCAUUAGAAAUUUACAAUGGUAAUUAACCAUAACAUGAUGAUAAUUAUGAUAAUUGGAACCUUUUCAAAUAUACAAUAUAUGACCCCAAAAAAAGAAGCCAAAAAAGGUCAGAAAUGCACUGACAAUGGCAUCCUACAAGUUAAGACAUAUAUAGAUAGAAACAAAGUUAUACUCAUAAUGCAUCCCUUUGUAAUUUUAUAUAUAUAUAUAUAUAUGUAUAUAUUGUUAUUAUUUUAGAAUGUCUCAAUUUUAGUCCAUGUUUUUUCAAAAAAAAAAUCUUAAAUUUAAUGGUUGUUAGCUUGUUUAUUGUUUAACUUUUCAAAUCAUUUUUUCCUUUGUUAUUUAUUAAUACUUUUUACUAUAAGUUUUGGAAAUAUUGAAGUUCUUUACACGGAAAAAUAUUAUUUCUUUACCCUAAUUUGAUAAAAAUAUUAACUUCGACAGAGAUUAAAUUUAAGAUUUUUUUGAAGCACUUUGCAAAAUGGUAUUUUAAACUGAAAAGAAAAAAAAAGUAAUUUACUUGAGAACUUACAAAUGAAUUAAGGGAAAAUUCAAUUAGUAAGAAAGAAGAAAUAAAGUAGAAGCAACAAAAUGGCAACACUCCAAGGAAACAGAAGCAAAAGCAGAAGAAACCCAACUCCCCAUGGGAAUCCCACAGCUGAAUGGUUGUUGUUAUAUCCUCCGUCGCGGCCGAGAGAUAGCCAGUGAACGGCAACAACCAAAAGCAACGGCGAAACAACGACGAGCCUCUGAAAUACCUCUGAUGCCGAGGCAACGGCGGCAUCGUACACGGCAUAAGCCAAGAAUCCAAAGAUUAUAAGAGCAAUGGUUGCAAGAAGCCAUUGGUCUGAAAAGCUCAAGCUUGAAGAGUUUCUACAAGUAGCCAUAAGAAUAGAGAGAGGGGGAGAAAAAAAGUGAAAAGGGUGUUGUUGUUUUGGUGUUUGUGUUUAGGAGUGGGAAAUGAUUUGUAGUUAAAAAGAAGUGAAAUGUGAAGAAAUACAAAAAUGGGGUUUUCUAGUUUUGGCUUUAUAUUGUGGUCUUUACUCAUACUAUUGGGUUUAGAAGAUAAAUAAUUGACUGUCCCAUUGCUGCCACAAUCAUACAAACCCUUAAAAUUACAUACAACACCCUCAACAACUCUAGUGUCUGCCUUUCAAUUAUGUUUUUUAACUUUUAAAAAGUAUCUUUGUAGAGUUUUUAAUUUUUUUUAUUAAAAUAUGAUGAAAGGUGACGUGUUGGUUAACGAGAAAAGAAAUUAAAAGGCAUGUGUGAUAUUGUUUUCAAUAAUGCCAUUUAUGUAAAUCGAUAAAAACCGAUGAUGUGAAAAUUUUUAUUGUUAAAAUGCCUUGAAUCUAAUAUUAGGUGCUCCGAAUUACUAAGUAUUGAGCCUUUGAUGGUUUGUAUUAAUAUAUAAUAUUAUAAAUUAUUCUCUUUAAUAAUAAUUUGUUUUUCAUUUGUCCAUGGUUAGUAAUUGUAGCUAACAAGCUGUUAGUUCCACGACUCGAGUUUAAGAGGGAGAUUACAUGUGAAAAGAGGAAUUAUGAAGACAUGAGAUAUUGGUAAAAAACACUUUAAAAGAAUUGAAAAUUACUAUAUAUACCAACAAGAGCGGUGUAUCUUCAUUUUCAUUAAUUCAAUCAUAAGAACUUUAAAGUUAAGUAUGCUAAAUUUACCUAGAUGCAUUUAAGUGAGAACAAAGCAUGUUGAAAGAAUUCAUGUUUGAAUAACUUUCACUUUUAGAAGUAUUCGAAACAAGCAAGAAUGAAGUUGUUAAGUCACAGAUGGGAGUGUCGAGGUCAUCAAGUGUCAAAUCCUAUACUUACAGUGUUAUAGUUAGUAAAUCAGAACCACAUAAGUCUAUAUGUUGAUUCUAUGUUGUUUAUACCAUAUUGCUAAUCGAUUUUAGUUAUAUGAACAAUUUUCGUUGUCAAAUCAAUUUAUAUCCUUUUAAUAAAAGAAAAAAUUGGAAUGAAUUGCAAGGUUGAUUGGUAUCUUUAGAAUAGAAAGUUGAUGAGUAAAAAAUAAAAAUCUUCAAAGUUUGAGGAGAUGAUUGAAAGUUUAGGGAUGUUUUAGUGUAAUUGAAGCUCACAAAAACAAGAAAUAUGAGAGCAAAUAAUUGCACCAACUGUCUAAAUAGUCCCCAAAAUGGAUCCAAACUUACACACCCUUUGCUUAUAAACCUAUAGAGAGAAAUAGCUUUGAAGUUAAGAACCACAAGGACACUUUAUUAAAAUGCUUUACUCUUCUCGCAUUUCUAUUUGCUUACUUCAAAGGAAAUGAAAAUACCAAAUUAAGAAAUCAAUAUGAAAACAAUUUGAAAUAUAACUCAUCAUCUCAAAUAUAUAUAUAAUAAAAAUUAAAAACACAAUGAGAUUUAUGUUGUUUUUUUUAGAAUUCGUACUAGCCAACCAAUAUAGACAUGACUCAAUUAACAUAAUGUAUAAACAUUCAAUCAAUUUUGAAUUCCCUACAUAUGAUGAUGGAAAAAAUGAAAAGGAAAACGUUGAAUAACAAAUACGUAGAUCUCAACGUAUUAAACAAUUAUUGUUGUUUUUAAAUAUGUGUGAUUAGGUUACACCUAUCCAAAAUCAAGGUGAUGCAUUUAAAGUCUCAAUUAAAACUUGUUAAAAGCAAAUAACAAAAAUCCAGACUUACUUUGUAUAAUUUAGCUUUUAAUUUAGACUAUUCUCUAAGAUCUCGAUGAUUUCCUUAAUGAACGUAAUAAAUACAAAAAUUAAUCUACUUCCCAUGCUUAAAAGAAGAGUUAACUCAAUGUGUAAUAAUUUUCUAUGAAGUUCAUACAAGUGUGUGUUUGAGGUGUAUAAUCAAGUUGAUUGAGGUCAAAAGUAUCUAGCACCAUUUUUGUAAUCUAAAAGACUUUGAUAUUUUUGUUGGCUAUUUUUGUUUGUUGAACUUUUCUUGGACAUUCAACUAAGAUACCAAUUUACAAACUUUACACAUACUUGACAAUUAUGUGCAUGCAACUUUUGUAAUUGAGCUACGCAAAAUACUUGGUCACCUUUCAUUACAACAACAAAACUGCAAUGUUAGGUACUUUACAUUCAAUUAGGCCUUCAUAUGUUAGAAUUAAGAAAUUCUUAUUCAAAGAAACAUCUCUUUUUAAAUAGAAAAACAAAUAACCUUAAAUACCUUAGCAACUUAGAUCAAAGUACAUGAAGAUAAGGAGAUAUUUCUUGCUUUCGUUCUUUACAAAGCUUAGCAUCUAACCUAACUCUCUAGAUCAGUAGCACAUGUCUAAAUGCCAACAAAAACUUAACUAAACUAACACGUGAGUGUACUUAAGAACCAAAAAGUUUCAUGCUCAAAUCUCUCCAACUAUAAUUUGCACUACAAGAAAUAGCAUAUGUCUAAAUUAAUUAAGUAAAAAUUUCAAAUUUUGUAUUUAAAAAUAUUUUCACCAACCAAGUUUUUUUUGUUUCAAGAAUAGAGUCAACUAAGUUAGUCAUUGGGAAUGAUCAACUAAGUCAAGUUAGUCAUUGGAUCAACUAAGUCAAGUUAGUCAUUGUGAAUGAUCAAUUAAAAUAGUGAUUAGAAUUCACCAAAAAAGUGGUACUCAUUAGAGCUGGUCGCUAGAUGUGACUCUUGCCAGAAGUGGUACUCAUAGAAUGUGAUCGUUAGUGUUUGUCAACAAUGGUUGUUUCCAAACUUAGUCAUCAACAAUGACUGAUGUGUAGAAUCAUUGCAAACAUUGGAGGUGAGGAGAUUUAGGUCGAUUUAGUAAUUUCAUCAACAACGGUGCCUCCUAGAUUUAGUUGGGUUGAGUUGAUAAAAACUAACCACCCAACUUAGUGAACAGAACAGCCAAGCAUUCUUAAGAUACUAGUAAAGAAAAUGGCAAAUUUUCAACUCGUUGGAUUAAAAGAUCAUACACAAUUCUUUGUCAAAAACCUUUUUAGUUCAAUUAUAAAUAAAGAAAAUUAAACUUCUAACCACUGGUUAGUUGAACAUAUACCUAAACUAGUUAAAGAAUGUGACCCGAUUGACUUGUAACUUAUUUUGCUUCAAAAUUCAAACCAUUGAAUCAAAAUUGGGUAUAUUUCUAGAGAACCUUAAGACAACUUGUAUAUAUAGCCAGAACAAUAUUGGGAAAUAAGAGUGUACCAAAAUGUUAAAGUAGAAAAACAACAUAAAAAAUAGAAACUAUCUGACUUUUUGCCAAACUGUGUUCAUUUUACAUGGUUCACAUCUUAAUAUCAAAAACUGCAUUAGAAAAAAAAAUUACAACGAUCUCAAGAACUUAAUAAAAUAAUAACAAGAGAUUCUAAUUACUGGAUGAGCAUAUAUCAUUACUAAAAUCAAAAAUCACAAUCGAUUCAAUGCGGAAAUCUAAUUCAAGUUACAGAAUAGGCACUGAAUAUGACAGAUUAGUGUAGUAUAAUAAAUGUCACAUAGCCAUGUAAUUGGUUGUGAUAUAAAUAUCAAGGCUAUCUCUUCGUUGUACAUUUCAACGAUACAACAAUGAGAUAGAGCGAAUAAUCCAACAUGUUAAGUCAGCAUACAAAAUAAUUUUAUAUAAGAUCUUUUGAAAGAAUUGCCUCUUCAAGCAACUUCUUCAGAUGAUUUAGAAGAACGUCGUUUGAGAAUGUUGGGAAAUCUUUUGGGUAGACUACAUACAGGCGUGUCUCCCGCUAAACCUUGAAACGCCAUGCCUAAGGAAUAUCCUAAAGCUCGAGCAACCGGUACCGCAACUGCAUUUCCUACUUGUAUGUACCUGUUACAUGACCAGUUCUUAUAUUGUUCGUGUUUUGGAAUAGGUACUUUGAUCACUAAUCUUCAAAAGAACAUAGUAUAUUAUUCUGGGGAUUCACUCACUAGAACAAGAAAAAUGACUAUGUUCAAUGGUGGUCAGUCAAAAAAUUGUUUUCUAAGGGACACGAAGCAAGUUUUUCUAAAACAAGAAACAGAUUAUUGAUAAAUGAAAACAUAUAAAACAAGAUGGAUAAAAUGCAAAUAAAAUACGCAGAAAAGGGGGAAAAUAAAACAAACAGGCUCGCCGAAAGGGCAUACUAACCAAAAACUCCAAAACAGCAGACUAGUCCACAAAGCAAGUUAUUGCAAAGGUCAACCAAAAGCCUCAAGAAAUAUUUGCUUUAAUUGAAUUGGUAAAGCAAUAUAUAUUAUGUUUCAGAUGGUGGAAUUAAGUCCUUCCUUAAAUGCAAAGUUUCUAAAACAUACCUUUCUUUCACAGGCCCAAAGAGCUUAUAAUAAUCUGGAAAGCCUUGAAGUCUUGCAUUUUCUCGAAUCGUCAUUACUCUAUCUUGCUCUGGAUGUGUAAUUGCCUGUACGUAUCAGUGGACAACACAGAAAUGAGUUGGUUGAAGGCUGGUUUAUACUGGAAAAUUAAGUAAUUUCUCCUACGCAAAAGAUAUAAAAAGGCAUACAAGUAGAGUUAUAACCUGGUUGUGAGGCUCUGCCCGAGUAACAACUGUAGGCACUGUCUCGUCCCACCAUAAACGAGCAAAUGGCCUUUUUAUCAUUUCGUAAAAAUGGGAAAUAUAAGUAAGGAACAGGGAAGUAAAAUGUAUAAAAAGGAGAACGAAUCAAAAUCAAUGCUUACUUUGAUGAUGAUCCAUUCACAAAACUCAUGGCAUAAUCAGGAACCUGCAAUUGCAGUGGCGUAAGAUAUAAUAGGACUAGGAAUGGAAAGAAACCAAAAAUGCUCCCAGGAACUUUUAAGCCAAAGUUCAUACUGAAAUGGAUACAAAUGAAGUAAAUAGAGAUCCAUGCAAUGAUGAAAAUUGCAAUGGUCGUAUCUCAAGUGUUGGAUGUCAAUUGAUAUUUCAGAAAAAAUAACAAUAGACCACCACAACAGAAACAUGUAAAUUUGUUUAAAUUGAUGAAUGAAACCUUAUUGUUUUUACAUUUAAAAGUACACAAUUGAAACUUGCAUAUUUUGCUCUAUAUUAAUUUUAAACACAUCUGAGAGACACAAGCAUCUUACCAAUGGCUUCCCAGAUUCCAAAUACACUCUCUUAACAUCAGGAUCCCAUUCAACUCUUUUAUCAGGGCGAACACGAACACCAGAUAAAUCUCUAAAGUUUGCUCCCUAUGGAAAACAUAGGGGUUAGUGACUGAAUUUUAAAAACUAAAAAAGUCCAUCAAACACAUUAACAUUCAAGAAAACCUUUCGCUUUGGAAUCUGACAAACACGUUGGUAGUCAUCUGUAUUUAGUUCAAGUGGCCGAUGAUCGUAAAGUGGGUGCGUAGCUGGCUUAGACAUUGUAGAAGUAUCAAACAUUUCUGUAAAUAACAAUCCACCAAAGAUAUUAUAAUGGGCAGGAACAUAUUCAAUCAAAUAAAUGAGAAGAAAAUCCUACAGAAAUAGAAUAACUUGUAUUAAAGACUAUAACCAAGGAAACCAUAACAAAAGGUUAUUCAGAUCCUCAACAUCACUUCAAAACAAGAGAUGAGGCUUCCAACAAGACACUGAAAAUACUAAUCCAUCCAAGGCAGACAGCCAAGCACUCAAAAAAAAUUCUAGAAAGGAUUCUAAUGGUGCCGUUUGCACCUUUUGCUUUCAAGAGAAAGGUCACAUGCUUGGCAAGCCAACCUUUUUGGUGUUUUCUAGUUUACUAGCUAGAUAGAUAGUUCAUAUAAUUAAAUAAUUAAAUCAAUUCUAGAAAGGAUUGUAAUGGUGCAUUUUUUUAGCCUCAUCUUUCAAGUUUCAUUUUAUUUCUUCUAAUUAGUUUUGUAGUGUUCCUUGCUUUUGGUUGGCUUUCUUUCUGUGGGUUGCUUUUACUUCCGGUUAUGAGUGAGCUGAUUUUCCAUUUUUUUAAAAUAACACAAUAGAAAGGUCCAUCCAACAAAUUUGGGUAUGAAGAUUUGGACACUCUACCUAAAAGAAUAGAGUGUAUAUGUUAGUUAUCACUAAGUUGGGCUCAUGUUAGACCUUUCUCGAUUGACCACUCUACCACUGCCAUUAAUAACAUUACUCUCACAAUUAAAAUAUUGUUGAUGUCACUCUCUUCUUGUUUGACCUUGCUUCUACAGGUAUUGCUUUCACAUUUCACUCUCUACCCUCACAGCCUCAGCCUCACUUUCUCCCCAGCCUCCCCUCUCUCACUCACUCUCUUUUCCAACUUGUCACUGCUGCUUGAUAACAAAAAUAAUAUUUUCAAGAAUAUAAUACACAUAUAUAUCCCAAACCAUCUAGGAAACUGACUGGUAGUCUGGUUCAACUUUUAAAUCCAAAACAGUUCUCAAUUUAGAAGAUUCUAAAACAAGAUGGUUGAGUUCAAUCAUUGAUUUCAGCAAAAAGAUCAAACUGAACCAAAUUGUUCAUAACCUUGUCAUAAAUCACAAGUUGCACAAGAGACAUGAACUUUGCAUUCAAUAAAUCUAAGAUACAUAUCAAAAGAUACUUGGGGAAGAAAUAAGUAGCUAACCUUCCCUUGGUGAUCUAAUUAAAUGCUGAAACUCAGUCUUGGGAGGUUCAUGGUAAGGCAUUUCAUCUCGCCGUUCAUCAUUUUCAACCUGCAUAUAGCAAAGCAAACAAAAAAGAAUAUAAGCACAAAAUUUAUAACUGAAAACCAAUCUGAUAAGACAUGUAUAACAUACAGCAGGAAGAUCAGAAAUUGCAUCUUCCAAAAGAAGCUUCUUUUCCAAAUGAACGUCUUUAUGUCCUUCCUCGUAAGCAACAACAUUCAUCUGCAUUAUUAUCAUAUGUUCUCGUUAGAUAAAAUAAGAAACGAACAAUAAUGCCUCAUUAACUAUCCCAUACCUCAAAUUCAGUAGGAAUUACACCCCUCACUACAACAUCGUGAGUUGGAAGAGGAUACUGUGGAAGCUUCUGAAAAAAGGGGAAAUUAAUGUUAUUACAAGUUCCACAAGGUCCCCAAUACAAAAAUCAAAGUUCUUAUGAAUCAACCUCUGUUGGUUGGGCACCCCACAUAAACAUUCGCAUACGAAAUUGUGGAAGACCAUAUGCACCUGCUGCCAUCAUUCCCAUUCGAACUUGAUAAUUCAUUGAUAUUAAACGACCAAGAGCAUAUCGUCCCAAAAAUCCAUUGGCAAACUUUACUAUAUCAACUACAUUCUCCAUCAAAACAUAUUUAGGCCUGAGAUACUCCACUAAGUCCAUAUAGACAACAAGCUGUUUGUUUUUCUCAUCUUCCAGUGGAUUUUCUUUGUUCCUAAAGCGAUUGAAACCACUAAUGCCCUGGCAGGGAGGCCCUCCACAUAUAACAUCAACAUCACCCUAUCAACCCAAAAGUUCUAAUUAGACCAACAUUGAAAAAAGAGGACAAGUAAUGAAAAAUUCAGCAAAAUACUUAACUUACCGGCAAAGGUAAGAUCUUUGAUUUGUAACCACUUGUCACAAAAUCUUUUAACUUUUCCUUGCAGUUGCUGUUCAAUAGAAUGUAACAUAUAACUCAUUCAAAUGCUUGAUCAUACACACAUAGAUCAUAAAAUUAUAACAGGCAAGACAAAUACACUAGAAUAUGUACCUCAACCCGUCAAUUGGCUCCCAUGUGUCUUCAUCAGAGCCAUAACCCUUCCAACGAACCUACAUUUAAAUAAAAAUAACUAAAAUAAUUUAAGGGGUAAUUUUAUUUUUAAAAAUCAAUAAUAAAUAAAUAAAGAGGAAGAAAAUGCGUCAGGAUUAUGUAUUUAACUCAUAUCAGCUACAACUUGACCGUUUGAAACCAUGCCACACAGCUAGAACUCACUCGAUGCUUCUAGAAAAUGCAAGAGCAUGCUAAUGCUAUCUUUCCACCUUCCCUUCCAUCUUUCCAUUUUAUGCUUCUUCUCUUCCAUUCUUCUUCCUUUUCUUCUUUCAACUCUUCCUAUUGUGGGUGAAGAAAAGUGGCAUGUUUCCAUUAAAACGUUCAAAAUCCACAAAUAGUGAACACCCUUGACCCUUGACCCUAUUGAAGAUGUUCGCAUAGAUGCACACAUGCAAUGGUCACACACCUCAUGCCACCCUCACCAAAGUCAAUCAUCUAAAUGCAGCUUGAAAACAUUGAUCAUAGCUUUUUCCAGUCGGAUGCACAAUGUGCAAACCUUGUUGUCCCAUUUUGGUUGUUCCAAAAUUUCCUAGAAAUUAGCAACACCAAAAUUCUCCUCCAUCCAUGUUUCCAAUAGCAUCUUCUUUAAGCCAUAGCAAAAUUUACUCAGCUGAGUGAUACUGCUCUGAAGGAUACAUAUUGAUCAAAUUGUCCAAGCAUUUGUGUAUUGUGAUCUCUGUACAUAUUGAUCUAAAUGAUCCAAGAUCCUCAUCUGUUCUACAUUCCCAAUUGCUCUCAUUAAAAUAAAUAAAAAUCACUCUUAACACAUUACUUUGCUCCAUAUAAAUAUUACUUUAAAAUUUACCUACAUCUCCUCGUAUCUUUAGAAGUUAUCACGAGGUAAAAUAAUAUAGCUAAGAACAUCACUAUUCUGGAACUCUAUUAGGAUCAGAAAUAGAAAGGAAGAAAGUGAUCAAAUAGACAAAUAUUAGUUCAAAAUCAUAUCUACAUCAAACUGAUUUGGCAAAUUGAUAAUUAUGAUUCAAGUUCAAAUACCUUAAGAAACAAUCCUCGCUUUUUAGUUUCAUUGGGAUCACCAUAACAUAUUGCAAGUAUUUUUUCUACUUCAAACACCUCUUCAUCCUCUUCAGUUUUUUCAUCCUCAUUUUCCUCUUCAUCUUCAUCAGCAAAAAGAUCGAUGUACUUUUGUUGAGGCUCUUUACUCUUUACCAAAGAACAAUAUUUGCAAAGCACUUCCCACUCUUUAACCAACGAUAAAAAAUCUUCUGCCAUUUCAUUUCUCACCUGCAAUAAAGAAGCUUAGAAAGUACAAGCCCAUAUUAUGGCAGAACAUCAAGUUGAACUCAAUUAUAAAGUGUACCUGAGUCUCUGGAUGAUUGAACCUCAGACUUUCACAAGCGUAUUGAUUUAAAUCAACGGCCCAUUUCUAUUAAACAAACAAAAAAAGACAUUUAUAAAUAAAUGUAACCAACCAUAGGUUCCAAAAAAAGGCAAAAUAAAAAAAAAUAACUGAUGAAAUAACUUUUUGCUCAGUGGAAGUAUUUAUAGCAACAUACUGUGACUAGGUUCACCCCAGACAAAUUGCCCCCUAAACAUAAUCCAGUUGACAUGGCACCACAUCCUGAAUACAAAUCGAGAAGUGCAACGUCAGGCUUACAGCACUGCUGUGCUUGAGUAACAUCCCCAAUUUGUGAGUUCACUUCACAUGCUUCAUUGGUAUCAACAUCAGAGGAAAUUGUUGAUGAUGUCUCACUGCCAACCUUUUUCUCACCUACAAGUUAAUAUGCAUGUGAGAACCACAAAUUCUUGAAACUUGAGUUACAAUUGAAGAAAGUGUUCUCAGAAAUUAAUUCUUUUACAAAAUUACUUGUUGGCAGUUUAACGAAUGAGGAAUAUGGUAGCAAGUAUAACAUGUCACAGUAGAAGUCACAAGAAGGAAGACAAUUUUUCUUCUCAUCCAUCUAGAAAAAAACAAACAGACAAACAAAUUAGUAUCACUCUAGUACGAAAAACCUGAAACAUUGACUAGACGUAAAUAACAAAAUCAUACAGUUAGAGGUAUUCUAGCAAUAUUUAGCUUCUUAACAAGACAAUCCAAUGGAUUAUCGUCCCGAACUUCUGAAAAAAAUACACGCUUGUCAUUGAUGAGAUGAGCGUGGUCUUUCACAACCUAACAUGUAAUAAACGAAAAUAUAGCGUCAGCUAAUUAUCUAAACACAUUUAUGACUAAAACAUAAUAAAAUUGCAUAAAGAUUAUCUUACAGUAUCUUUAGCUCUAUAAUACCAUUGUGCAGUGAAGUAGAGUUGCCCGUCAACAGCCUCAAACAUUUCAAUAAUUUUACAUAUAUAAUCAUCCUCCUCACCUUCAGCCUAAACAAAACGCUCCAUGUACAAUUAUAAUAAGAAUCUAUGCAAAGAAUUUAAAAAGGAAUAUACUACCUUACAGAAAUUUUAAAACUUCCUCUAAACGUGACUGUAAACCACACCUUCACAUGGGCAUCAUCAAGGAGAUUGUAUGUGAUAUUGUCAACUUUGGCCUGUGAGUAAUGAUGCAGAGCCUGGAUUACCUCCUCAGAGUCAUCCCUAUAAGAUAUCAGAAACAGAAAGGCACCGAGAAGGGAUAAAAAAAACUGUUAAUCUUAAGAACACAUUCAAUUUAAGAAAGAAACCGUUCACUCCAAGAAAAAUCUACACUGUCAUCCGCACAACAUUUCUUUCCUAGAGUAUUAUGCUUUCCUUGAACAAUAAUGAGAAGUCAUUUUUUGGUAAAAGAAACAUUUCAUUGAACUAAAAACUAUAUAAUUAAAGGUCAUAACUCAAAAGACUUGUAAACAAGUAACAUCAAUCUAUGAUGAAAAAAAGGUUAUCUCGUCCCUUCUUUGAGAUAACAGAGGAACUCUACGACACACCACUUUCCCCCCACUGCCGUAUCAGAUAUUUGACUUAAAGUAAAUAAUAGCAUUAUUAGAGAUGUGCCGAGCUCUUAGAAGGAAUUUAGACCUUAGCUAGGUUUAUUGCCUUUCUUAGGUCAUUCACCAGAAGAAAAUAAUAAAAAUAAAAAAUCAAAGAGUUGUAGUUAUCCUCUCUCUGGUUCUUUUGAGUUGCUGAGCUGCAGACCUUUUCAUUCUUAUGAAUUGUCUUUAAGUCUUGAAAUCUUUUUCUUUGUAUUGUCAUUGUGUAUUUUUUUUUUUUUCAUUUCUUUUAACCAGGCUAAUUUUAAUUUUUGAAAAAAAAAUAAUAAGAACAAAACUGCACAUCUGUACGUAUUCGACAUGCAUAGAGCUUAUCAGCAAGAGUUGGGAUGGUUCAUAAAAUAAAGACAGUACCUUGAUUUUUUUUCCUCAACCACGUUCUUCUUCUGAACAAACAAAUAAAGAAGAAAAUGAGUAAUGUUGAGUAGUGUUGAGAUAAGAAGAAAAUGAGUAGAUAUGAGUAAAUCUAUAACCAAUUCUGAAUACGUUGUCCAUAAACAAGCAUAGUUAAUAACAAUAUAGGUCACAAAAAUCAACUAAUGAUCAAUGUGCCAGAGAGCCUAAACAGCAAGAGCAACUACAUGGACAACUUGGAGAUCAAUGGCACAAUGAGAACUUAAGUAACACUGUAUCAGCAUGCACAUGAAGUGUCCUCUAAUAUUACUAAAAUUGAACCAAAAAUAACAUUAAGAUAAUGUCAACCAAAUGUAAUAGGAUCAAGUUGUCCCAUGAGUAAGUGGGAAAGUGGCCUUGCUACCACAAUUCACUGAGAUUCAAUACUUCUUUGCUCCAAUUAGUUACUUUAACAAAAAAAAUCAAGUUGUCUCAUGAGAAUGGUAGCACACAAGCUAGCCCAUACACUCAUGAAAAUUUUUAUUUUAGAAGAAGCUCCUAAUUUUUUUAUUAUUAGAAAAAUUAAUUAAGUUUACAUUUUAAAUUAAAUAAUUAUUAAAAAAAAAAAAAAGUAAGAAAACCCUCCAAAUAGGGUUUAACCUUCUUUCAUUUGAAGCUUUACUCUCCUCUUAUAUCUGAGUUUCAUCCAAUCGAUAAAAUUGUUUGAAAUAACAAAAAUUCAGUGCAUCAUGAGAAUUCCGACAGCAAAGAGUCUACAAAACCAUGGAAGCAUAGUACAAAUUCACACUACAAAGACUUCAAAAUUAAACACAAAACUGUUCAUAAAUCAUAGAACCCAAAACUUUUAGCAAAACACCCACUUGAAGCUCCAACCUAAUCGUAAAUACAAUAUCCCCAUACACAAAUAGCCACCUCACUCCAACCCCGCUCAAGAACCAAGAAUGACGAAACGAAUCCACUUUCCUCUCACGUAAAACCAGCACAAACCCCCCAAAUUCUUGCAGCUAAAUCCCUCCAAUAAACCCAACAAGCAACAGAAUCUUGAAAAAACCCAUCAACAUGCAACAACACAAAACCCCCAAUACUCAACUCAAACCCAUCCACAAAUAAAAUCACCAAAACCCCACAAAACAAAUUUCAAUUCUCUUUGAAAAUUCCAAUCACCUUUCUCGCAUAGCGAAGAGGCCACCGCACUCUGGCGUCACUAUCAGGGAAAUGUGGCUGUAAAAACCUAGCAGGAGCAUCGUCCUCCUCAACACUCAACUCCGCCUUCACUUUCCUAGUCUUAGCCGCACUCGGUUUAGGAGAAGAACGGGAAAUGGGAGUUAAAUCAGCAUUAAGCUCGGUUUUAAGCUUCUUCUUGGAGGAAGAAGAAGCUUCAGGAUCGGGCUUAGGAGAAAUGAGAGAGAGGGAUUUGGAGCGGCGCCUGGAAGACAUAGUGAGAGAGAGAGAGAGAGGAAAGGAACGGCCGGAAGAGAGAAAGAGCGGAAAAAAUGGAGGAGAGGUAAAGAAAGAAAGGGAGAAAAUGCAUUUUAUAGUGUCGGAGAAAAUCGAAAAUGGAAAAUAAAAUUGGGGGUAAGAUUUCGAAGUUGGGCGGGAACUCAAAUCUUUUUUCUUUUUCUUUUUCUUUGUUUUAUUUAUCUAAUUAUUAUAUUAUUGUUUUUUAAAUUUUAUUAUUUAAUUAUUAUUCUGUACGGUCUGUAUGGGUUGUGAGCCGGGUUUGGGGAUUCGGGAUUCAAAUUUAUUAUUUAGUUCCAACCUAAAAAUUCAACCAACAUAAUCCAAUUUUAAAUGGUUACUUAAUUUUAUAUUUUUAAAAAGGUUUCCAAAACAAAGUUUUUUAUUGUCUUUUUUUCAAAUGUCUCAUCCUUCCCAAAAGAAAUAAAACAUAUACAUUAAUGGAUAAUUACGAGUCGCACAAGAGUCAUUAAAAAAUAUAUUUUCUCUCAACCCAAAUCCUUGUCCAUCCUACGUACCACCAUGGAAGAUCUACUAGUUGUUGUCUCCAUUUGUGUUGUCAUCGACGACCCUUCCAUGCUGUUGUCAACAACGUGUUUGCCUAACUCAACCACCGCAUGAAUUUCUUCCUCAUAUCUUGCAAUUGUGUGAGUUUAUUUCAUAUAUCUCACCAUCGUAGUUUCUUCUUUACAUCUCGUCAAUAUGAUUUGGUUAAAUUUAAUGGAUAUGAAUCUGGGAAAUGACAUGAUGACAAGUACUUAACGAGAAGGUAUUCACAGGGGAAGAUGGUUGUGAAUACACACAAACACACGGAUGGACAAAUAGGCAUAUUGAAUUUAUUUCAAAUAAUCCAUAUAUACCUGACCAAUCUAACUUAAGGUUGAAAAUAAAUGGACGACAAAUCUGAAUAUAUUAUCAAAUAUAUGAUUUUCAAUUACAAGCAACAUAGUCUAUACCAUUGUUGUUUUAAUGUAUAUUAUUUUUUUAAAAAAAUUAUAGUUAGUAUGUGAUAUUCUAUUGUAUAUUAUAAACUCAUACAAUUUACCCUACAUUAUACAUCAAUUAUACAAUAGAAUAUGUAUAUUGAAGGAGAAAAAAGAUUAUUGACCCAUUUUAAUUCCACAAAUUUUGUUUGCUUUCUUUGAAUAAGUUUAUCUAAUUUGUGGCAUAUAAUAUGAGGUAUAUAUUUGCAAAAUAACUAAAUAUACACAAGUAUAUAUGAAAAGUUACAUAUAAUAUAUAACUCAAAUAUAAACAAGACCGUAUAUUCUAUUAUUCUAAAAUAUACUUAAAAAUAACCAUGAAAUUAACUAGACUAUAGUAUAUAUGAGAUAAUAAUGAAAAAUAAAAAGAAACUAAAACAAACAAUAUCAACGUAGAUAAGCUAAAAUAAGUCAACAAUGACAUACAUAUCAAAUAUUGUGAGAAUAUGUUAAA
rnacentral:lncRNA from 1 species